AGUGAACUGAAAGGAGCAUUGGACACGAAGACCUCACAUUUUUUGGAUAACGCCCAAGGUAAUAUACUUUGUGAGUUUCAUAUAGUUUUUUUUUUUAGCCGGUUGUUUUAAAUUGUAAAUAUUGAAAAUACCCUUCUGUUUGCUGCAAAUCAUUUGAUUCAUAAAUGAUUUACUGUAAGAUUUUGGAAGAUGCUUUUUGGAAUUGCAUUCGCAAUUUAGAAUUCUAGAGUUGCCAAUAUGCAAAGUUUGACAUGUUUAAAAAUACAUGCAAUCAGUUAACAUACUUUGCACAUCUUGUAAUACCAAGGUAAAGCCUGCUAUAGAUAUAGAUGUAUAUAAUAAGUUUAUAUAUAUAUAUAUAUAUAUAUAUAUAUAUAUAUAAUUAUUAUUUAUUUUUUUAAAUACAUUGUGUUAUCAAGCUUAUAUACCUAUUUAUAAAGAAUAUUUAAUGCGGAGGCUGAUUCCUAAACCGUAACUUUGUUUUGAACUGACUUGAACAUUUUUUGAUAAUAUAUGUACGUUAGAGAAAAUCUUAACAGAAAUGGUAGUUAUUUUUUUGGGGGGGGAGUGGGUCUGUUCCAACUCUAAUUUGAUAUUCACUGAGCAAGCUGGCUUGCAAUUCACCAUUAGUAGAUAGACCCACUUGAUAUUUUUGCAUUCUGAAAUGGCUUUUUGGAAGUAGUCAUGUUUUAUAAUGUCAGACGCCCUGUGCUCUAAGGAUUUUUAUAUGAUCGCAAACUUGUACCAGCCCAAAACAUGAGAAAUUACUGUUGCCAUGUUGAUAGCAGAAGCUACUAGAACUACCCAUCAUCUACAUCAUAGGCAAAGCUACGCCCCAUUAUGCAUUUUAUACUCAUGGCAGAACCUAUGUUCUCAAAAGAGGGGUUUCAGUGUCAAAAAUCUGCUUGCAGCAAAAUCCUGUUUUGCACAAUUGGGUUUAUUUUAAAACCUGGGUUUGUAUUAUAAAGUUAAUAACUAUUAAUUUUAUGAUGAACUUCAAAAUACUAUAUUCUGGAGCCAUAGUGUCAGCUGUAGUACAUGUAUAUUCCGACUAUUUUUGAAAGUAUAGCUUAUUAUAUAUUGGCCUAAAAUUGAGUGAAAGCAGGUAUUUAAAAACUGCCUUUUUCAAAAACAUUAUAGGAUGAAAUCUACUAUUAACAGGUAACAUUUAAUACAUUAGCAUGGCAACAAUAGCAUAUAGGUCCAGACAAAGUUAAUAUUCUGUCUAUUUGUUAAUUUGCGUUCUCGGUCUGUCUGUCAUGACUUUGUGUGCCGUUUGAUAAGUGACUACAUGCUCAACAUAGUCUUGUUUCCAGUCUUUCAAUGCAUGUUUUACCUGAUAAUAUUAACCCGUAGAUCCGAUCUUGUGGUGAAUUGUUCUACUCAAGCUCGUUUCUAUGGGUCUGUGUGAUCACGGUACUGAUUCUACGAUCCUCUCCAACUGUAAUAUCGUUAAAUCCGCAAAUGAUACCCGAAAGUAGUUACAAUUUUUAACAUUAUUUUCCAAGAAUUUCUUGAGCUGGUUUAUUAUGCAUUUAAUGUCUUUAUAUAUUUUUUCAUGUUUAAUUGGUAUCAAAAUAAAUGAUUGUGAUUGAGGGGUUAAAAAUAUUUUAAUGGCAUUUUUGUAAGGCAAAGAAGAAAUAUACAACUGCCAUAAAAAACGUUAUUUUUGUGGGGUAGUGAAAAUAUAUUCUAAAAUAGUAAAAAAAAAAAAACGAAAAAAAAAACCCCACAAACAUUUGAACUUAAAUAUACUCUGAAAAUGUUUACAAAGCAACAUCAUUGACAAAUAAUUUUUCAUUUUUUUUUUCUAACUUAGAAUGUGUGUCGAAAUAAAACUGUAGACGUAUUGGAAGCCAAUAUAUAGGCCGUAAAUGAAAUAAGACUAUUUUUUUCCUUUUUUUUAGAAAUGUAUGUCAUCCACUGUGGCAUUCAUUACUAUUGACAUUUUUAUAGUCUAUGACAAAGAAACCUAUAAAUAAUUUUUUAAAAAAUCAAUUAGCCAAAGAGUUUUUUAAUGCUUGUCUUAAUGUUUACUUUAUUGCAGGAGAUAAAAUGUUACUUAUUCAGCCACUUAGACCAGCUAGACUGGAAGGACAUGUACAUGUGCAAAAUUAACCAAAAAACGAGACAUAAAUUAUAAUUUUUUUUUUUAAUUACUACUUUUUCACGUUAAGCAAAGUGGUAACUUACUAAUUAGAUAAUGAGUUUUUGGUAAAUGUCAUAACUGCGCAAAUACUAGAUUCAUUAGUACAGUUUAAGAGCCCGAUAAUUUGUUCUGUUAACACUAUUUAAGCUAUUUUGUGAGGUUUUUAUGAGGAUUUUAUUCUGGUUUUAUCGCACAACUGCAAUUAUACUCCCUGGCUUCAUUUUUGCUAGCUAUAGCUGAAAUAAGGACAAUUUGACAGAAAUUGUUGUAAUUUUCUUUUAUAAACUUUUUUUUUUGUUUUGGUUUGUGGCGGGUUAAUAGAUAACCCCCAAAGUUCAUCAUGCCAAUAUUCUGCAAUGUUUGUAGAAUGUAAAGGAAUUGGCUUCAGGGUGUGCGACUCUGAGAAUCUUCUGACCAUUUGUCGGAGACAUUGGUAAACAUUCUAAGACCUCUUGGGUUUGCUUAUAUGAUUAAAAUCAUGUUUUUGCUUAAAUCUAUUUAAAAGUAAUAUUUUUUUUGUAUUGGCCCUGUCAGAUUCCAUUGUAUCUUGGUUUACAUCUGAUAUAUCCAGUGUCUUGAAGGGGUUAAAGAAUGUUCAGUAAUGUUUUUAAUAAAAUAGAAGUUACUGUGCUGAUCUACUUCAUUUUUUACAGAAAAUAUAUUUUAAGCUCUAUAACCCCCUAUUAAUUUCUGCUUCUACCUCAUAACUGUAAACCUGGGUGUGGCCAUGGCACAAUGAAGACCUGAAGAUGAGGACUACAAAGGAAAAUGUGUGCAUCCAGGUUGAGGUAGUAGGUUGUAUGGUUUAGAAUUACACCCUGGGAGUUAACUGUACAACCUUCUAGCUUUCCUUGGAGCACACUUGAACCAUCGAGGAAACGUCAACUCCAGAGUUAAAACAUCUGUCUAGCAUUAUGAACUUCAGCUAUUGCAUUCUAAAAGUUUUUUUUUUUUCUACUUUUGUUGGGGGAAGAUUGGCUGAUGACAACUAUACAAUAGUUACCAAGAGGGCUGCACAAAACCAAGAGGGCUGCACUCACCUGAACAUACAUACAUUAUAGGGUGCUGCUGGGGCCAAAAUAUACAAAAUACAGAAUCCAGCGCACUCGCUUAUUCACUAAACAAUGAUUUCAAAUCUUAGAGAUUGUAAUAGUUUUAUUUAAAAACACCUCACCUAGGCAAAACAUGAUGGGGGUUUAGUUACAUUAUAUGAUCAUACAUUGCAUAAGCCUGCCAACUACGUCAAAGUACCCCAUAUUCGGCAGGUCCUAUCCUAGCAGCCUAAUGCUUCCUCUUAUGAGAUUAAUCCACUUACUUGGGAAAUGCUUCCUUACUGGGACUCUCUGCAAGUCAAGGCUAAAUAGGGUCCUGGAAUGAGGCACCAGUGACAGGGAGGGGUGACAGGGAGGGGUGCAAAACCAAUUUGCUGGCCUGGACUCCCUAAUAUACAAACAAGGCUGCACUCACCUGAACAUGCAUACAGCACCCUAUAAUGUAUAUAUGUGUGUGUAUAUAUAUAUAUAUAUAUAUAUAGAUAUAUAUAUUAUGGUAAUCAGUUUACUGGAUAGCACUAUGUAUCUAUCCAAAUAACUUUUAUUUUUAUAUUUAACCUGCUGAUCUUGUGUUAAUAAAAUACACAAAAUAUUCAUGGAUACCAAACAAUUGAAAACACAACACAGGUUUAUAAAAAAAAUAUAGUUUUAAAUAUGUAUUUGGCAUACUUAUUGGCACCCUUUUACUUAAUAAUUUGUGCUACCUCUAUUUGACAAGCUAACAGCUCCUAGUCUUACUAUAAUGCCUGAUAAGGUUGGGGAAUACAUGGCAAGGGAUCUGAGACCUUUCCUACAUACAGAAUCUAUCCAGAUUUUAAGGAUGAUGUUGAUGGACUCUCCUCUUAACCCCCACAAACCUCCCAGGUUUUCUAUGGGAUUCAAGUCAGGUAAUUGGGAUGGCAAUGGCAGGCCAUCGAUUUUGUGGUCAGGAAACCAUUUGUGUUGAUUUCGAUGUAUGUUUUGGUUCAUUGUCUAUUUGGAAGAUUCAACCACAGCCCAUUUUAAGCUUUCGGACAGUGGUAGUCAGGUGUUAAUUUAUUAUCUGUUGAUAUUUGAUAGACUUCAUGAUGCCAUGUAUCUUACAAAAAUGUCCGGUUCAUAUUUAUACCCCUGAUUGAACAGUCAUGAAUGAACAAUUUCCUGUUCCUGGUUAUCCAGUUAUACUAAAUAAUGGAAUAUAUAAAUGGCAAUAUACUUCAAAUAUAUUUUUCUCAUAUGAAUUUAUAGAGGUGCCAAUUAUUGUGGAUAUAUACAUUUUUAUGAACCUCUGUUUGCAAUUAAUAUCCAUGAGAGCAUAGUACUUUUGUGUAUUGUUGGUACAAAAGAUAAAACGUUUAAGCAAUAAAGAUAAUUGUUCACAGCAGCCUUCUUUGCUCACAUCUAUUAAGGGUGCCAAUAUUAGUGGUGUGUGUGUGUGUGUCUAUUAAAAUGGACCUGCCAAUUUUUUUGUUUACAUAUGCCCAGUUGAGAUGUCCAUUGAAUAGUGGUACCCAUUGGUGAAAAUGGAAUGAGGUUUUCUCGCUUCUUCAUUCUUUAGCUCAUGGCAGAUAAAUAGCUUGCUUUUUCUAUAAUGCUUUCGGAAUGCUGUCCAUAUCCGCAUACAUGGUCUGUCAGUUUAUACUCUACUUCUAUUUGCAAGGGUCCAUUAAAACAGCCUGCACACCGCUUUCCCACCACUCUAUGGAUUGGAAACUAAAUAAGCCUUGAAGUCUUUCCAUAGAUAACUGUCUUGACUGAUUGCAUCAUCAGUGUUCAGCUGGCUUUUUGAUUGUGAGAAACAUACUGCAAUUAGUUUAGUUGAAUAUGCACUUUUCCAAUAUAUCUUCAACAUGCAACGCUUCAUCUAAAACACUUGCUUGUUCUAUAUCUGCAUCGGUGUUUGUGAUGGAAAGAUAGCUGUCACCUGUUGCGUACAACAAAAUGUAAGAUGCUCAUAUAUAUAUAUAUAUUCAUAAAAAAAAAAAAAAUAGUGUUGGAAAAGGCAGAAAAUUAUGUGAAUAAAUUAAAAAUAAUCUGAAUAUUCCUACAGAUGAUUUUUACAUAACCAACUGUUUAAUAUUAAUUGUAUUUUUAGUCGCAUGAUGCCCUGCAUUGCUGACAGUGACAUCUAUUUACUGUUCAUGAAAUAGCAACUGGCUUGUAAAGUAAAUAUCCUAAAUGUCGAAAAUCUAUAGAUUCUAUAUUAAUAUUGUAUUGUCUUACUGAUAUAUGGAAAAUGCAUCUGUUACAUACAAAUGUUACAUGUAACGUGUUGCGCAGACCCGCUACAUUUUUUAUUUUUUUUUCAUACUCUUCUGUCUGUAUUACCAACUGGAGAGCCUAGAUUUAAAAUUUAUACAAUUACUUACAAAUGAAAAUUAAAUAUUCAUUGUGUCUGUUUAACACAUUAUGAGGUGAUAUAUAAUUUAGCCAUUAAAAUAUUUUUCACCUGAGAAUCAAAUGGAAGAAUUUGUCGCUGUAGUUUUCCUCUAUAUUUGCUAACUAGUGUGUGUGUGUGUGUUUUUUUUUUUUUUUUGCUUUAUCUGUUAAUCUCUUGGUAUCUGCUCUGUUUUUAUGUAGGACUAGUAGUUCAAUGGUGGUCAUUUUAUCGGACUGCCCCACCGAUGAACCUCCACCAGAUAUAUUUUGUAUUUAUGGCAGUAGAAAUUUUGGAUUCGCCGUCUUCUAACUGCUGAGAGAUAUUCUCACAUGCCUAUAUGUUUGUGGAGGCAAGUGCUGAAUUAGGACUUAAAUGUAAAUGGCCCUAGUACAGUUUUAGGGACAUUUGUCACCAAUAGCCCAGUAUAUUCUGGGUGGUGGGAAGUAUUGUGCACUACAAGUAUCUGUCAAGUUUUAACGAGCUUGGCUCAUACAUUAAGCACCUUAUCACACAGCACAGGGAGCAGGGUUCAUGAAUGACAUGUGAUUCUAUGUAGCCUUACAUUCAAUACUACUUAACCCACACACCAUAAUAAGACCCCCCCCCAAAGCAUAUUUGUAACGGCAAGUGCAACCGUGUACAUAGUGUGAUCAAAGUGGUCUUCUUAUUUUUAAAAGAGGUCCCAAGGAGGUCCCCGAUGGUUUUCCUUGUUGCUGCUUUUUAUUUUUUAUUUUUUAUUGUUGGUAAAACAUUAUUGAUGCACAUUAAAUACUCCUUAACAUUUUCAAGUGUGGUGUUAAUCCACUCCUGCUAAAAAGCUAAUCAGCAUUAAGAGUACUCUGAGUUACUUCUAGACAUACAAUUUAAUAUCCCUACUUGCAGCAGCUGACUUGAAUGUACCUAAAAUAUUUCUAUUCAAUACACCUUUAAAAAAAAUACAAAAAUAAUUAGAUUCACCAACCCAUUAUUGCAGCCUUAACAGCUCUCUAGAGUCAACCAACAGCUACCACCCUCAUCCCUUAUACCAAAACACAAGACUUCACUAUUCGAAACGGGACAAGACAAGGCUGUCUGCUAUCCCCACUUCUAUUUGCCCUCUCCCUAGAACCCCGACUCCAAAACAUAUGAAACUCCCCAAAUAUCCACGGAUUGAAAAUCGGAAUGACAAAUAAAAAAUUGUGGCCUAUGCCGAUGACAUUCUUCUAACCAUCACCGAUCCCGAUCACUCCUUACCACCUCUAAUCACACUCCAACAAGAGUAUGCGUACCUUUCAGGAUACAAACUGAACCUGGAUAAAAUUGAAGCCCUCCCGAUAGGGAUCCCACAACCAACUCUGGACCAACUACAUCUGACACAACCAUUUAAAUAUAACACACAAAGCAUCCACUACCUAGGUACACACCUCCCCACAGAUCUCGCCAAACAUACACUCUAAAUUACAUGCCAUUACUUCAACAAGCACACAACGAUCUACAGAGAUGGAACACCAUGUCCAUAUCCUGGUUGGGCAGAAUAGCCUCUAUAAAAAUGAACCUCCUCCCCCGUUUCCUCUAUCUGUUCCAAGUCCUCCCCAUCCCCAUCUCAAAACAAGACUUCAAAAUACUCCAAACAAUAAUAGAUAACUUUAUAUGGUCGGCUACAAGGCCAAGGAUAAAGAGGUACAAGAUGUACAAAACUACUAGGACAGGAGGCCUCCCGAACUUCUAUCACUAUUUCCAAGUUGCCCAACUGGCGCAAACCCAAAACUUACAUGCGCAACAGGUAUGAAACUAUAGGUGGACCUCUAACAUGACCUUUUGGGCAGAGAUCAUCCAUCACUCCUCUUGUGGCUUCCCAAGAGGGACAGACCUAAAACCCCGGCCCCAACUACAUCCUUCCACAUUUGGGACAAAACCAUCCCAAAACACCCCUUGGCAAACACACCAUCACCACUCACACCAGUCCUGAGAAACAAACCAUUCCCCCCAGGCCUAACACCCCAAAACGUUGUGCACUUUGAGUACAAUGGGCUGCUUAGAUUCCUCCACUUCUUCCAUGACCAACGACUACUCCAAUUCCCAGAUCUACCAAGAAAGGUACCCCUGAAUACCUUUGAUAAUUUCUGUUUCCUACAUAUGCAGCUUCCUCAACGAACCAAUGAACACCGCUACGGCGACCACUAAACUUACACAAUUCGAAAAGGCAUUCAUACAUGCACCCAUUAAAAAGGGGCAGAUAUCCACAAUAUACUCCCUCCUGGACUCUCUCCCCAGCGGAUGCCCUCUCGUACACACGAGCAUGGGAAAGAGACAUAGGCCCUCCAAAAGACCCCUCAGAUUGGGUGGACAUCUGGGAAGCCACGGCUUCACUCAUGAUAUGUUUAAAUCACAAGGAGCAGGCAUACAAGACGAUGCUCCGAUGAUACCCAACAUCCCUGAGAUUAAAACAAAUGGGGCGAGCAAACAUGCUGGAAGGGUUGCAGACUCAAGGGCACUUAUAUCCACCUAUGGUGGGAGUGCCCUUUGAUUUCCUAGCUGUGGGUCGAGGUGUCCAACCUCACCUCUAAAAUCCUACAUAUAGAUAUACCCCUGGAUCUGGCUACUCUCCAGACCCCAAGACCCCCUCACUAGGGCACAAAACAAACUGGUGGCAAAAUUGGCACUGGCAACCAGAGGCACCAUUGCAGAACAAUGGGGCAACCAAACCAAACCCUCGCUUAUGGUAAUGCGUCACAAAACCGCAGAAACGAUGGCGAUGGACUGGAUCCUGGACCACCUACCUAAUCUUUCCAGGGAGGGACUGGGGUGUGCGGCCACCCCAUAGAGAAACCCCCCCCCAAUGCUACCCACCCAGCUCAACAACCUCACCAUUCCCCCACUAUCUGCAAGUCUUCAUCAUCCUCUCUCCCACCUAAUAUUCCCAAUCUCCUCUCCCCUUCCCCACACCCCUUUGUACCCAGCAUCCACCAGACACUGAUCCCAUUCUUGAACAGAAAACUUGUCCACUACAGCCACCAAAUUUAAAAACCAUACCCAAGAGACAGCCCCCCUCACGCAGACUAAGGCACCAAGACACCAUACACCACAACUAAUAAGCACAAAAGUGCAGAAACACACAGUACACCAUCAAAAAUAAAUGGGGGUAUGAAUCUUGGCAGAGACUGGAUACACAUUGCAUGACACCCUACCCCCCAACUCAAACCCAAUACCCCAACAUCACCUCAGGCUCUCACAGUACUACAAUUGAUUCACACUGCACAAUGAGCCUCAAAUCAACCAAUACUGUAGUUAACAAUAUAUUCUGUACUUGCCUCCAUAUGAAAACAGACCUUUUUAUCAAAGAAAUUGUUUCAAAAUAGGCUCAUUGAAAUAGUAAGGAAAAGAGCCAUAGACACAGAAUUUCACUACUAUGCCAUCACUGAUCUGUAUCCCUUCCCUUUCUUCAUUCUGUACCAUACCUAUGAAGUAAAAAUUUGAAAAUAAUUUCUUUAAAAAAAAAUAAAAAUCAUUUGCAUACUGUGUAGGGUUUUUUUUUCUUUCUUCUCUUUAACACUUUAUUUUUAUUAUCAUUAAAUCACUAUUUUAUUUUACACAAUGAUUAUUGAAUUAGCAGUUGGAUAUUUAACUCUAAGUUGAUAUUUCUAUCUUGAACACAUGAUUGAAGUUUGCCAGUGUAAUCACUUAAUCUUUUUAGUAUUAUCUGUCUGGUUUCCUUGGCUGAAUCUAAUUAAAGUGACAGUUGUUUUGAUCUCUAUAUAACGUGUGUAAAUCGGCAAUCAUCUGAUCAUCUGAGUAGCACAUACAUAGGACGUAGCUGAAAAUGUGGAAUAAACUAAAAAUGUCUUGUAGUAGCAUAAAAAAUUAAAUAAAUUAAUGGCUAGUCGAUUACAUUUUUUUUUAAAAAACAUUUAUUUUUUUCAGAAUUAAAUUCAUGCUAUAAUGGAAAAAAAAAUACUUUUUUGAUAUUUUAUGGCAAUCUUAAAAUGUCAAUACAGACUGGAGCUGAUAUGUAUCUGCAGGUGGACGCAUGAUCUUCCUCCUGUAACGUUACUGAGUGGGACGGAGGGCUUAUAGCUAUACUAAUUUGUGCUACAAAGAAAAACUGUUGAUUGAAGCGAAAGAGUGACUGGGGACCACCAUAACCUAUGCAACACUUUGAGUGUCUCUUAAAUGUAUGGCAUAUUUCUGUGUUGUAAUAAUCAUGCGCCCCCCAUUGAAACAUGAAAAAGAUUUUAAACUUUAAAAAAAAAACUAAAAAAAACUGAUGGUAUAGGGAGAUGGAGAGGACUGCAGUGCAUAGUGUGUGCUGAUGACAGAUGUAAUUUUUGCACGGAUUUCAUAUUGGGCAGCCCAGGACAGAGUUCUGGGCUGCCCUAGGUCACUUGUGCCGGGGUUGUAACUAGCCCACCAUUUCAAAAGGUAAUAGGUCUCUGAAUAUGCAGCUUUACAAAUUGAAAUGCUACUUACAGACUCCUACCACCAUGUUAAGACUCCUACCACCGUGUUAAGUAAUUCAGCCUUCAUAUCACUGAAGUGUUCAUGAUCUUUAGAGUAGCCCUUUAAAACCAUUCACAAAAGCCCAAAUACUGUGUCUAUUAAAUGUCUAUAGCCCCCACAACAUUCUAAAGUAUAAUAUAAUAUAAAGUAUAAUAUAUUAAUAUAUGCUUGAACAUAUCAAGUUACUUUGUAUUGAUGAUUUCCCAUUUUAACAACAUUUCCACCUAACUUCACAGCUGAGAGUGAAGAUUUUCACACAGAUAAUGUGGCAGUUAUGAAUGAAUAUGUAUGUACUUCAAGUAGAACCCUAUGUGAUAAUAAGAUGGGGUUCCCCUUUAGCUUUCUUAGUAAUUGGUUUCUUUAUAAUAAAAAAAAAAGUGUAUUUAAAAAAAUAAAUAAAUCGUUGAAACUAUAAAAUGAUUGUGGAUAAGAAAUAAUGUUGAAUAGAAAUGCACAUGCUAUUACUAGUAAAAAUAUAUUUGCCAGUAGUUUUCAUGAUGUAAAAAGAUAUUAAAAAAAAAAAAGGGCUGCGCCAAUAAACAAUAUAAAAAAUAAAUAGAUUUUGGAACAAACAAGGACUAAGUCUAUGUGAUAGUCCUCACAAAUAAUAGUCUCUUGAUAGUAGACGUUUAGUCUUUAGUACAGCAAGGACUUUUCUUUGGGUUGGGUAGCUGUCUUUAUUUUCUUGUUAAUGUAUAUAGAAAGACAAAACCAGAAAGGGUGGUAAUAGUGUAAUAUGUCAAAUCUAGUUAUGCAAUAAAAAUUGACAGUAUCAGACUCACAUUUUAUAGAGCCUUAGCCAGCUCUAGCGUGCGGUGGUAUAAUCCCCACUUAUUAGAUGUAUGGAGGUGUGCGUUUGGUUCACGAUGACAGGAACCCAGGGAGAAAUGGAUAGAGUGACCGAUAGUGCUCUCAAUAAAACAAGUGAUGUAUAUGAUAAAAAGUAUAAUAUACUCACAAAUAUAGAGCAGAGUAACUGCUCUAUGGUGACAGCGUUGAGUAUAGCAUUGGUGGUUUGAUCCCCACCUAGGAUUGCUUUGGAGUAGAGAUAAAAGAUGCCAGGAAGUAUGAAAACAGGAUUAAAACGAAAUAAAAAAAGGUAAUUGGCACAAGUGUAGUGACCAAAAUCCUUUAAUCGUUAAAAUACAAAGUAGUAACAUCCAUGAACGCGUUUUCACCAGUAUGGCUCUUUCAAAGGGAUUAAAAAGGUUUUCAUGCUGGUUGCCUUUUUGGACACCAAAACACCUGAUCGUGUAAACCUUUUCUAUAGUAUCAAAUGAAGAAUGCAUCUCUCUUAAGAGAGACUAAUAAUAUGUACUGUAAAAAUGUGACAAAAGAAUACAGUGAAUAUGAAUAUAAUAAAUCGCAUGAGGGAGCAGAGUAUCUACCAAAUCAUACAUCUGGUGCAUUGAUUAAGCAGUGGUUAACUGUGGAGCAUGGAAAAAUAUUGAAAUCAGAUAUGACUCUGAUGUAGGUAUUUUUUCAGAAUGCUUUGUCAUCAUUGGCAGGCAUUUACUUGUUUCUGAUUGGAACAUUCAUUUUGUCAUUUUGCUUUAGACACAUUUGUUCUUUGUGUCUAAUCUUUUGUGCAGACCACCUUCCCUUGCCCGUGAGAAGCUACAACUUGUAUUCAUUGUAGAGAUUAUGAUGCAAGGAAACUCUUGUUCUUGUUUCACUCAUGCUACUAAGUACUGCAGGGCUUUUCUAAAAUGUACAUGGCUACCAUUAAGUAAUUGAUGUCAAAGGGAAAACAUAGCUGUACAUAAUCUGUACAAGAUCUUGUAUGAUGUGUGCAUGUAUCUAAUGAACAAGUCAUGCACUUCCCAGGUGAUUUAUACUUGCUUUGCAUAAGAGAUUUGAAUAACUCUGUACAUCUGCCAUUAACUACAUACCCAGCCAUUAUACCCUCUGACAAUGACCCAUAACAUAACAUCCAUAAUCAAAAUGUGUAUUAAAUUGCAUAAUACAAUAUACACAACCACAACAGGCAAACCGUUUAAACAUUGUAGGGCUUUAUCGAGACACCCCUACACAACCAGGUUGAGAGCCACUGACUGGCUCUAACUUACUAAAUACCAAAUCCAACCAAGUGAAUAUUGGUACAGAACUUCCAAGCUUCCAGCUACCAUUCCUACCUACCCCAAAUAUGUCAACAUCCCCCGCCCACACCAGCCAAUAACAUAAGUGACAUACCCAUACCAAAAACCUAAAACGAGAGGGAGGGUGGGACAACAAGUAAGUCAGGAUUAGUUAAAAUGGCUCCAACACAAAAUGUCCGUUAUUAAUACUCCUAUAGGCCCCGACCUCCUUGACCUGUCAACCCACUUAAACCUUAACCCCUUGUAUGCCAGUCUCCUAGCUAUGUCAAGGCCCAUUCCACUGCUCCAUAGGCUACAUUCUGAACGUCUAUAUUUAAAAUCCAUGAUUUUAUGAUGUUUACCAACAUCCCGUCCCAGCCUAAACUCUUAAAUGCUUUAUUUGAUUUUGCUCUUUCUUUUAAUAAAGGAAACUUGUGAACCACUGACCAGGAAUUUUGAAAACCGUAACCAUAUCCUAAUUAUUGGGAAAAUCAUUUCCAAGUAUGUAAUGACCUCCGCUUAGGUUACAACUUUGUGGCUAUCCACAGGAAAUAAAAUAACAAAAAAGGAAAAAAAUAAAAACUAUUCAGUUGCUUCAGAGAAAAUUUUACAUAAUAAUAAACAAUUCUUUCCUGGCCACAAGAAGUGUUUAGAUUAAAUCACAAUUUCAGCACAUAGCAAUUACAUAUCAGUUCAUUUCACGCAACGUUUCCUUCCUGAGAUCAUAUUUGAAUUCAUUGUUUGUACUGAAACACGUUUUCCAUUGGUAACGUUACCUUAAAAGUGCCUUUUUGUUAAUAUUUGGUCUUUUGGCAUCGGCUAUAUAAUUUAUACCAGACAAUGUAAUAAUAAAGAAUAAAUAUAGCAUUAAUAUAUAUGGAUUUUUUUUCUGUUAAAUAUAGUUAGACCUCAUUGUAAUUACAAUGCACUAAAACAUGAAAUGUACUAGUUAUCUACAAAUUUACAUUUUUACUUGGUUAAUGAAAUUUAAAAUGUAUUUUGCUAGGCAAGUUUCCAGCAUUCACAUAGAAUAAUCAUUUUACUACAGAGUUGAUUUGUACAAAAAAAUAAAAACACUUUUUUCCCUGAUGAUGAUAUAAUAAUUGUGACAGAUCGACGGGCACCACCGACUGGGUACCUCCUAGCGCUUCCUGAGGGCUCCAAGCACUCCAGCCGACACCAUAACCACCGUAGACUCCUUCAGGUAGCAGAACAGGAACAAGCUCUUACAAGAAAUUAGUAGUGAUAUAGCAAGAGAGUAUGACUAGCAUAGCAAUCCCUUAUAGCAGAUUCCCCCAAUAUGAGACGGCACUCCAAAUUAAGGGUGAAGUAGAACUCAAACUUUUAAUCCAACGCUCUGCUUUUAUGCCCAUUUUACACACAUAGUACCGCCCACAGGGUUUUGCAGAACAACCAAUCAAUACGUUACAACACAGCUAAACACUCCCAUUCAUGACAUCAGAAAUCCUCCCCUCUGCCUGUGAUACAAUUAUCUCAACACAAUAGACUAGACUAACUUAAUUAUCACAGGCAGGAAAAAUAUACUUUUUACACAGUUACGGUAUCUUUAAAAAUAUACAUUCAAUCUUCAUAAAAAUGACAUUAUUAUUAUUCAGCACACUUUAAUUACAAACAUAUUCAAAAUUCAGCCAAUUCCAUCCAGGGGUUAAAAAGUUACGUGGAGGUCCCUUUAUGACCGACCACAAGCACAUUUUCAUGCCCAAAACAGUUCCAUAGAUUUGGGCUGUGCGGUGAGUCAAUUUCACACUGAAAAAAUGACUAAGUCCCAUUCGAACAUGCGUUCGAAUCUUCGAACGGGACUUAGUCUCUGUGGCUGCAAAAUCAGUGUAGGAGAAGGUAAGGGUCAGCGGUGUUCGUUGAAAUGUGUAGCCGAUUUCAGUUCCAUGAAUUUGGCUCCACACAUCGCUGACUGCAUUUGAAUGAAAAAAGAUGGCCGCCGCCACGUGUUUGGUUGCACGAAUGGCGGCCCCCCAGCGGUCGGCAAUUUACCUACAUCAGGCUCCCAGCCUGGGAUGUAAAUUGCCUGCACACUUCCACUUCUGGGUGGUUCGCCUGUGUGGUACUUGGUUCAGUAAGCCCCAUUUACUGAACCAAGUGGGAGAAAGCCAGGAACACAUGAUUUUAACAGUCUGGGGACACUGGGGACACCGUCUUAAAGGGGCAUUGUUCCCAAAAGUCACUAUGUCCCCAGAUGGUUCUUAAAGGGCCAUACACAGUCCAAAAAAAAGUCCAUUCACUGUGCUUAAGGGGCCAGUAGCCGCACAAUAAAAAUCCAUUAUGCCCAAAUACCACAUUUAAAGGGCCAAAUCUCCCCGGGACCAUAAUCACAUGGCAAGAGGCUGGCAAGUAGUCCUCUCCAGUUACAAGUGGUGAUGUUAAUUUCGCCACAAUUAUAGACAAUUAAAAAGGGUGCAACAGUUUCUGAUGUUUUCGUAUCGAGUUAUAUAAUAUAACUAGAUGUAUAAGAAGAUUAAUAGAUAUUUUAAUAAUGGCAUAUACCAAUAAAUAUUGAUUGUACGUGUAAUGUAAAGAUAGGCAGACUUGAAUAUCCUUAUUAAAAUCAUCCUUUAUAUUCCAAGUAGACUUCAAAGCUGUGAUAGAGUAAUAAAGUAGUAAUUGAAUAUUCCAGUGCAUAUAAUUAGGUAAUAGACCUGUAUCAUCGAGUACUUUGUACCACCACUGCUUGUAGUAUUGCUCGCAAUCAUUUCACAUGGUAUCUUAUCAGACUGGAAUGUCCUAGAUAUUGGACUAUAUAGUCUUAUUAACCUACCAAUACUAACCAAGACCGCUUUAUUUAGGCUUUGUAUAAAUGAAUCAUGUAGCACAAGUCUUAUCUAAUAUCUGCCCACACCACACGAUAAACUGUGAGUCAGAAACUUAGACCUAAGUGAUACACAAUAUUUUAGCCUGUUUAUUCGAGUGUUGAGAGUAAAUUUAUUGCAUCAAUCUUCGUGUUUUUUUUUUCCGAUGAGCUAUUAAAGUUAAAUUGAGUUUCCAACCAGUAGAGUUUGUGGACACUGUGCCUUUUUAAGGUGCAGAUAAUAUCAAGAAAAACAAACGCAUGAUUUCGUCUCUUGAUAUGGUGCCAUUAACAUUUUCCUUCGUUACUGAAAGGGUUUAAAUAGCUAGAAAAUAACGUUUGUCUUUAUCAUUGCUAAUGCAAAUUUUGGUAUGAAAAGUCUAACUCGAUAGCAGAACUUCCUAGUUCAUGAUGUGUAACUCAUCCCAGAAGUUUGUCAAUUGUAAGGCAACACUACAAAAUAACUGCAAAUCUACUACACCCUUAAAGGACCACUAUAGGCACCCAGACCACUUCAGCUUAAUGAAGUGGUCUGGGUGCCUGGUCCUUUUUUUUUUUAUUUUUAUAAACAUAGCAGUUUCAGAGAAACUGCUAUGUUUACACUGAGGGUUAAUCCAGCCUCUAGAGCCUCUAGUGGCUGUCUCAUUGACAGCCGCUAGAGGCGUUUGCGUGCUUCUCACUGUAAAAAUUGCAGUGAGAAGAUGCCAGCGUCCAUAGGAAAGCAUUGUAAAUGCUUUCCUAUGAACUGCCUGAAUGCAUGCGCGACUUCUGCCGCGCAUGCGCAUUCAGCCGAUGACGUCACUAGGAAGGAGAAGAGGAGGAGGAAAGCUCCCCACCUGGUGCUGGAGAAAGGUAAGAUUUUAACCCCUUCCUCUUCACAGAGCCCAGCGGGAGGGGGACCCUGAGGGUGAGGGCACCCUCAGGGCACUAUAGUGCCAGGAAAACGAGUGAUUUCCUGGCACUAUAGUGGUCCUUUAAUAUAUGCAGAAACAUUGUUUUCUAGCCAAAUGUAUCUAAUUUUUUUUUUGUUUGCUUUGGCCAGAAUAAUGUGCACACGACAACUUACAAACUCUCCCCCUAGGCCCCCUUAUUAGACAUGAUGUUAUUUCCCUGUUUAUAAACGUGCCCAUUCUUUCUCUUUGAUAAUCCAUGCCUGUCUUCUUUCUCAUAAAUUGUUAGCAACCUUCCAUUUCUUUUUCUGAAAUUUCAACACUAUGCGAGAUCAAGUAACCUCACCCAUGACUAUAUAUUCACCAGACUAGAUACUGGUUAUUCUACAUAAUGAUUAAUAUUUUUCGAAGUGAUUUUUGUUGGAUAUUGAAAUCCCUUGAAUUAAUCAUAUGAACCCAAAGGCAUGUCUGUUAUUUUAUUUGCACUGUGGAAGAAAAUAGUGCAAAAUCUAUUUCCUAUUCCCCUAAUUAAACCCUUCUGCUCCUCCAAUUCUCAAAAAAUCUUAUGCAAUGUAAAAUGUCUGUUUAAUGUGCAAACAUCUACCUACUCUCUUAUACAUCUGUACAUACAGGUAUGUAGACAUGUAAACACUUUCUGUGUAUGUAGCGGUGCGAAAAAAAAAACGAAACUUUUUUGCUCAGUAUGUAAGCAUUUUUUAAAUGUUCAUGUUAAAUAUUGGAACACGCAUUGGCAUUUUGUUACUGGCACUACCUAUAUUUAUGCUGUUUAGAAAUAUGUUUAAAUAAUGCAAUAUGAGGUCAAUGCCCACCUGCAAAGUAAAAACCAUUUAUAUAACAGCAAAUUAAACAUUAACAAAGGUCAACUGUGAUUAACUACAUUACCAUUAAAUCUUAUGAGAACAAGACCAUUUCAUUUUGUUCAUCCAAUAAAUUCUGAUUACGACAUUGUAGAAUCCUAUAUCGAACAGUCAUUUCAUUUCAAAUGUGUUUGUUUUUUUGUGGUUUUUUUAUUGACUUUUUGCCAAAAAUGAUAGAAAAAAACAAUGGAAAAGGGUACAUAUGACAAAAAGGGAAACACUGGCAUAAACAGAUACUCUGUCCCCAAUCAAUUAUUCAUUAUACAUGCAAGUGAACACGGGACAUGUCAAGUGAUAAUGACAUGAAAAAUAUAUAGUACGGUCAUUUCUAAUCAUUUGAUAUACAUUUUUCACAUUAUAUUAAACAUACAGAGGCUUAACUAGAAAUUAAAUGAAAUAGCCCUGGGGCCCCCUGCCCCUUGAUGUGUCUUUCUCCCCCUCUCCAGCUCCUCCAUGUGUCUCCACCCCCCUCCGUGUCUUUCUCAUCCCAUGCCGCUCCAUGUGUCUGUCUCCUUCAUGCCUCUCCAUGUGUCUCUCUCUUUUUCGGUAAUCACCAUCACUGGGGAUGAAAGACAAACACUAUUUGUGGGUCCCCAGAUUCCUCUUGUGUUUUGGAAACCCUGUGCCCAGUAUUGGUGCAGCGUAUGUUGAAUUUAUUGAUCGUCUGUGCCAUUUCCCCUUCCCCUUUUUCCUGUCCUAUUGUUUCCCAGCAGAGCCUUGUCACAGGGACACUGCCAGACCAGUAUAAACAAGCUGCCCUGUCCCUUCUCAAUCUCCCAUCAGCCCUUGCUAUUGUUUGGCCCCAUCCUUCCAAGUACUAUAGUAGUCUAUUGACCCUAUUGUAUGUAAAUGAGGCUAAGGGCAUAAAUAUGUGUGCUAUGUAUAUUAAAGUUGUUAUUUUAACCAUAACCACGUGUCGUCUGGAGUUUGGGAAAAGAGCUCUGAUUACUGCUCUGCUUAUGGAAAUAGUGUCCAGGGGCGUACCUAGAGCUUUUGAGACCAGGGGCGGAUACUAAAUUUGGCACACCCCCUGCUCCCAACACAAAAUAUUCUAAUGUAUUUAGCACUGGGCAGUAUUUGUGUAUUUGUAAUGUAUUUAGCACUGAGCAGUGUUUGUGUGUGUUGAAUGUAAGCAUGUUAUGGUAAGGAAUGUGUUUUAGUAUAUUGCACAUGGAACUAUAUUGCACACAUGAUUAUAUUGCAUUAUGUACAUACAAGUAUAUGGCACAUAGAACUAUAUAGAACAUACAAUUAUAUUGCAUAUAAACAAAGCAAAGGAGGUGGGAUUUACUGCCUAUCCUUUGCUUUGUUUUAUAUGCAAGAUAAUCAUGUGUGUAAUAUAGUUCUAUGUGCAAUAUACUCGAAUUACUGUUUUGUUUUUUGUCUUUAUGUCUCAUUCUGACACAGAACGUUACCGCACAUUACAAGAUAAAAAGGCAUGAGAUACUACAAUCAGAAUUAACAGUCCGCUAGUAUAGUCAGAACAAGCGAUUUUGUUAUUAUAGAAUUAUACUGCUUUUAUCCUAUUUAUGGAAUAACAUUCUUUUUUUGUUUCAACAUCUUUGCACUAUAUAGUGAUAUGUAAAUGUAUACAGGCUAUAACAGAAUUACACUAUCUAUUUUUAUCCCUUCCUUUUUUCCACAUUAUCCUGACCAGCAAUAAGUCAUCUAUAUAAGGAUCUCUGCGCUCCACUUUUUAUUAUAUUUUUAUAAUAAAAGAUUUAGAAAGCCAUUGAUCCAGAUCUUAUGAAAAAAGAUUCAUAGUUAAAAUAUGUCUGUCCCAUUAUUAGUAUUUGGAUUAACAUUUACUUUGAACUCCUGUUUAGUGUCUUUAUUAAUAAAAGAACAGGCAUUUCUAAGAAGUGUAACCUCAAAAUAAAAAAAACACCCACAAAAUAAAUCAAAAUAUACAUGCACUGUCCACUGGUCAUAAAAACCCCCCAAAUAAGUUGGUGUAUUAGAAGAACAACAAUAAGUCUUGUUUUGUACAUUAUCUAGGAGUGGAUGAAUACGUAAUCUUGACUCAGUCACCCACUAUUAAUUAUUUUAAUUUUCAUGCACAAUGUAUGCCUUAGCUGUAUUGUAAUAAAACAUCCGUAGAGGUAAUAUUAAUAUAAUCAUAAAAAUUAUGAAUUGAUCUGCAGGAACUUGCAGAGUACUAUAAAGUUAAUGUAGUGCAUGUUUAAAAAUUCUACAAAUGAACAUUAUUUCAACAAACGGCGUGAAAAAUAUAACAUUACUGCUGUUGCUUUGAUGCAUUGCUCUGCAGUUAUUACGGAAAACAUUUUUAGUUUUAAUCAUUGUUCUGUAAUUAUUUUAUGUCCUUUUUCUUUGGGUAUAUUUCAUCAACUGUACAUCCGUUUCUUUGUACAGUGUAUCAUGUAAGUUAGUUCCAAACCCAACGGAAUGUUUGGAGGAAACUGGGAAAACCUGAGUCAUGGACAACUUGUAUGUAUGUACGUAUUUGUGCUAAUCAUCUAAUUAGUGCAGAAACGCGGGGCUGGGAAAUUUUGGCAUUAUGGGUUUAUUAACCGAGCAAAACAAGAGCUAAACACCACUCCCCACCAUAAAGGUCUUGUUUUGACUAGAAGAUCACGUGAUCAUUUGUCAAUCAAGAAAGAAGCAGAGAAGGAAAGGACCAAAAGGAUUUACAUUUUAUACCGAAGUAGCUGAUAUUUUCAAAUUCAUUGGAUAAUGCCAAGAGUGAUUAUCUAAUAAUUUCCAUAGAUAAUUACCCAAUGAUAAUUAUUGACUGAAGGCAAGUUGCAGUGUAUGUAUAUCAUAUCCUGAGAGUGGACAUCUUAACUUUAAUUGUGUUUUUUUUGUUUGUUUGUUGCUUUUUGUAUGUAUGAACACAAUUUAAAAAGCAUGCAGUCUUUUUAUGGGAAUUUCAGAGAUCAGCUCUCAUUUACCAAGCCUUAUUUUUGUCCAGUUGAUUUUUUUUUUUUUAGAUUUUUUUCCCCCUAGUUCGUAUGUUCCACUUUUGCCAGAUUGUAACUGUUAAAGGACCACUAUAGUGCCAGGAAAACAUAUUUGUUUUCCUGGCACUAUAGUGCCCUCAGGGUGCUCCCACCCUCAGGGACCCCCUCCCGCCGGGCUCUGGGGUGAGGAAGGGGUUAAACUUACCUCUUUCUCCAGCGCCGGGCGGGGAGCUCUCCUCCUCCUCGGCUGCAUGCGCAUGUGCGGCAGGAGCUGCGCGCGCAUUCAGCCAGUCUCCUAGGAAAGCAUUCAUUAUGUGGUUUUCUUAGUGAGAAGCACGCAAGCACCUCUAGCGGCUGUCAAGAGAAGCCUCUAGAGGGUGGAUUAACCUAUUUAUAAACAUAGCAGUUUCUCUGAAAUUGCUAUGUUUAAAAAAGAAAAAAGUGUUUACAUGUCUACAUACCUGUAUGUACAGAUGUAUAAGAGAGUAGGUAGAUGUUUGCACAUUAAACAGACAUUUUACAUUGCAUAAGAUUUUUUGAGAAUUGGAGGAGCAGAAGGGUUUAAUUAGGGGAAUAGGAAAUAGAUUUUGCACUAUUUUCUUCCACAGUGCAAAUAAAAUAACAGACAUGCCUUUGGGUUCAUAUGAUUAAUCCAAGGGAUUUCAAUAUCCAACAAAAAUUACUUCGAAAAAUAUUAAUCAUUAUGUAGAAUAACCAGUAUCUAGGCUGGUGAAUAUAUAGUCAUGGGUGAGGUUACUUGAUCUUGUAUAGUGUUGUUGAAGUUUAAGAAAAAGAAAUCGAAGGUUGCUAACAAUUUAUGAGAAAGAAGACAGGCAUGGAUUAUCAAAGAGAAAGAAUGGGCACGUUUAUAAACAGGGAAAUAACAUCAUGUCUAAUAAGGGGGCUUAGGGGGAGAGUUUGUAAGGUGUCGUGUGCACAUUAUUCUGGCCAAAGAAAACAAAAAAAAAAUUAGAUACAUUUGGCUAGAAAACAAUGUUUCUGCAUAUAUUAAAGGACCACUAUAGUGCCAGGAAAUCACUUGUUUUCCUGGCACUAUAGUGCCCUGAGGGUGCCCUCACCCUCAGGGUCCCCCUCCCGCCGGGCUCUGGGGAGAGGAAAGGGUUAAAAUCUUAGCUUUCUCCAGCACCAGGUGGGGAGCUUUCCUCCUCCUCUUCUCCUUCCUAGUGACGUCAUCGGCUGAAUGUGCAUGCGCGACAGUAGCCACGCGCGCAUUCAGGCAGUUCAUAGGAAAGCAUUUACAAUGCUUUCCUAUGGACGCUGGCAUCUUCUCACUGUGAUUUUUACAGUGAGAAGCACGCAAACGCCUCUAGCGGCUGUCAAUGAGACAGCCACUAGAGGCUCUAGAGGCUGGAUUAACCCUCAGUGUAAACAUAGCAGUUUCUCUGAAACUGCUAUGUUUAUAAAAAAAAAGGGUUAACCCUAGCUGGACCUGGCACCCAGACCACUUCAUUAAGCUGAAAUGGUCUGGGUGCCUAUAGUGGUCCUUUAAGGGUUUAACGAUGUAGUAACCACUCCUAUACAUUUUUAAAGUAAUCAGGGAACUGUAAGAACGAUGAUGGCAUACUUCCCAACAUUUCACUAUGUAUCUUGGCUGAUUUAUAAAUAAAUGUGUUGUAGUUUAAAUACAUAUUAAUAUGAGCAUUGUUGCUAUAGAGCUCUGUUCUACAUUCAGACACACCAACAAUAUGGAGCUUUUAGAGGGACAUUAUGAUAGAAAAGAAGAUCAGAGGGAUUUGUGCUACUAAAUAAGGACACUUGGGAGAUGUGGCAUGCAAGAACUACUAAAGAUCCUCUGUGUCUGUGUGGGGGGUUAAAUGAGUGGGACUGGUUGACGGAAUGUGAUUGUGUGCGGGAGUGUGUAAUGUUAAACCCACUCCUGCUUACUGAUUUGCUGGAAGUUGGAUAUAACCCAUAUGGUCUCUGUAGCAGGAUCCCUGGUGGUUCACUGGAGGAGCAUGUGGUCUGCAUCUCCAGUGGAUGCAGACCACAGUUGAUGCUCCUCUGGUUGACACUCAUCCAGUAAGUUAGAGCAUUAUCAUGGUAACCCAAUACAAUACUCUGGCUCAUUGCAUUAGUGCCAGGACCACCAGAAGGGAGCGCUUACCGAUCUCUACUUCACAAACUUUAAUUGUUUAUUUCAAAUAUUGCCACAAUAGUUGUUAUUGCCACAAGAUGUUCAGAGAUAUACCUCCAUUGGCAUUUUUCUUAUUCCAGGAGAAAAUCGCACUACAGUGAUUAUAGCUCUCCACAGACACUAGAUGACACACAGUGCUGGGGAUAAGACCCAACUUUAUUGCAGCUGUUCAGAGAUAUUUAUACACACAGAGGGAUAUUUGCAUACAAUACGGUAAUAAACAGUACAUGAAUUUCCCCAUCAAGUCUUCUUCCCAUAAUUACUUGUUUUUUCUUGCUGAAAACAACCCUACCAAAACAAACAAAUGCUCGGCUCCAUUUUUUCCAUAUAAUUCUAACAUGAAACGAAGGCUCCUUGUAAAAUUCCCACCCAAGCAGGAGGAAGCCCUACCCUGCAACCCUGGAUGACAUGAUCUGUCACAGGCAAAAUAUUAAAUAACUAUUUUGAAACCGGAGGCCCCUGACUGGCCAGAUCCUCCUUCACUGGCAGAACUCCUGGGCCUGGUUGCAAUAACAUUUAUUAAUUAUGCACAUCUAUAGUCAAGAUAAGAUUGCAACUAGGAAAUAGCAGGUCCUGGGGGAUUAGACCAAUCUAUGUGCAUAUGCUUAUAGUUCUUCAUGUUUUUUUUUGCCAUCAUCGUUCAUAAUCCACCACAAUGACAUCAUUGUAUUCCAUUCUAUUGCCGCUACCAAACUCAACCCCCUUUUUUUUUCAUAUUCUGGAUCAAGUUUCUAUCAGCUUAUAGAUCCUGCAUAAUCAAACCCUUAACAUGACAAUUUCCUGGACAAUUUUUGGGGGAAAAAGUCGGAACAUCUCCUACUAUUUUUCCAGAAAAAGUACAAAUUUAGAUAUUUGGAAAACGACAUUUUCUAUGAAAGCCCUAUCUACAAACAUCUGGAAUACGGUGGUAAGCCAAUCGGUGCAUUAACCUUGACAUCACAAACUUACCAGAUAUAAUGUGAUUCUCUCUUGAUAAUCGGUUACCCCGAAUUUGAUAUUUUAAUACACCCAGGGCAAACAGAAAAGUCAUUGUUCAUUUUGCUAUUAACAAAAGCUCUUUACAAAUGUGAACUUAAUUAAAAAGGGUGAGGUCAUACUUCAAAGGAUGCAGUGGAAUUACUUGCUCUUGAUUUAGGCUCUGAUAUAUUUUGGGCAAUCUAUACAAAAAGCUGUUUUAACAAUUAAAACAAUUUCAAUGUGCUGUGGUGACCUGCGUUCAUCUGGCUCUGACCUUCGCUUAUUCUGUAUUACAAAAUGUAAAGAUUUGUCAUGCUUGAUGUGACAGAUUAAUGUGCUUUACAGUGAACGAUGCAGUGGCUUUUAGCACUGAAAUUGAAAUGACAUAAAAAGAAGUGACCAAGACUGCUUAUUAAAUUGUGAGUUGGAUUAAAUGUACCACUAUCUUCUAAACCAUUGUAAAUAUUUAAUAUAUUACUGUUGGCCGUACGAAAAACACGCUCAUGCGUUCCUUGUAUUGUAAUUUUGCUAAUGUUUAGCCUUUAUACAUUAUAUUGGGCCUAUAAAAGUGUUAGGAACUUGGAUCACAGCUGCCAGUUAUAAAAUUAAAGUGAACUUCUCACCUUACAAAAACGUUUGUCUUUACGAACACUUUUAAAAAAACAUUUCUAUGUUGUAUAGGCAGGUUUUACAUUUAUUCUUAAUAAAACUUCUGAAUUUGCUUUGGAUCCCAUUACUUGUGUGUCAUUUACAACGUGCAUAUAAUUAACCUCCCCUGAUGCUUUGAAAGACCUUUGUUGUAUAUUUUGCCACCAUGAAGGGAAGCCCGAUCAGCUGCAAGUUAACAUUCUGAGAUUUCAACGUCUGUUCUAGGUUACAUGAAUGGAACAUGUAGAUAGCAUUUAUUGCAAUCCUCAUUAUCUUAAAGGGACACUAUAGUCACCAGAACAACUACAGCUUUACUGCAUUUGUUUUGGUGAGUAGAAUAAUUCCCUUCAGGCUUUUUACUGUAUACCCUGUCUGUUUAGAGAAAAUGCAGUGUUUACAUUACAGCCUAGUGAAAACUCCACUGUUCACUCCUCAGAUGGCUGCCAGAGGUGCUUCCUUGGGCAGUGCUGCAGAGUAAGCAGCACUGCCAUUCAGUGUCUCCACCCUCUGCCUGCAGACACUGAACUUUCCUCAUAGAGAUUCAUUGUUUCAAUUCACUUCUAUGAUGAGAUACUGAUUGGCCAGGGCUGUGUUUGACUUGUGCUGGCUCCUCAGCCCCUGAUCUGCCUCCUUGACACUCUCAGACAAUCCUAUGGGUAACCAUUGUGAUUGGCUCAGGCCACCACUCCUGAUGAUGUCAGCAGACAGAAGCAGGUCAAGGGCAGAGCCAGAAGUUUAAGACCUGAACACCAGUAAUAUUUUACUAUAUUUUCUUUUAAGAUCUAUAUAUAUUUAUUUUACUGUUCCUCUAUUGCUUGCUUCUUGAUCUGUGAAAAAAAUUACUGGCUGUCCCCCUAGCCACCAAACAUGUUGAUUUCACAUCAAUCUAUCUUUUAAUUUUUUUAUUUCCACCGGGAUAAUUGCAAAUCCCAAAGCAUAUGAGCUUGCUCAUCCAUCACAUUGGUCAUUUGCUUGGUUAUUGGAGAUGAGGCUUUGAAGAUAAGGCUGCCAAUUGCCUUAAAUGCCGCUGAAACGCUAUUCGUCUGUAACCAAAUGCACAAGUCAGAUAUGGUAAACCAGAUAUGGUAAAUUUAGAUAAAGUAGCUGUGAUGUGCCUGUAGUUGAGUUGGAGAACUUUUCCAUAUUGGCCAUUGUUGCCUAACUUUUACAUUUAAUUUUUAUUUAUUCAUUUCUGUUUGUUGUGUUAGUGCAGAAAAUCUUCUGUGUUUGUGGUGAUGAGUAGCAUAGAGAACCAAAUGUAAAGUUUAACUUAUCUGGAAGAACAGACGAUACCUAAUCAGCACAUUUCAACAUAUUUUCUUAGCAUCUAGAGACUCAAACAGGUUCUUUGUUUUUCCAAGCAUUUGGUUUCUUGUGGGUUUUUAUGACUUUCGUUAUGCCUGUAAAAAGUUAUUUUCCGUGAAGUUAUCAUCCACUUUGAGGCAGCUCGAUGUGAUACAAAAUGCUCCAGGAGUGAUACAUCGAUUCUACUUUACAACAUGCUAUAUGGGAGGGCCUGCAUUGAGUCAUUGUUCACACAAAGGAUUUACUUUUCGUUAUGUGAUUCAGUGGCGGUAACCAUGGUGUUUUGCUGCAGGUACAGAUGUGUCUAUUGAGUAUGAUGCUCAGGUGUUUCUCAUUUUAAUCCCUUCUUGGUUUGGCAAAGAAUGAUGGGAAUACAGUGUAGCCAAACAGCCUUUCACAUUAUGUCAAUAAUUUGGGCUAUAUUUCUACGUACAUUACCUCCUGUCACAAAGAUUCAUUAUCAUCUUAAAGUUGCCAACAAUGAAUGCUCAGUGCCCACCAAAUCCUUUAAAAUAAAGUUUAUAAAUCCAAUUUAAGUACAUAUUUUAUUUAAAACCCUUUAAUCCUGACUUUAUACCGUGCACCGCACUGCAAAGACCACUGGCAUUCGACCAGUAUAGCAUUUUCCAGUCAUCUGUUACUUAUAACAUGUUGGAAGCAGUGGUGAAACUGUCAGAUUUCGGUUGUGAGCCAUAAAUGCAGUUUAAAUAUUUAAUGAAAGGAGGCACAAGAGAAGGGAAGUGAGAUCUAUUUUAUGGAUCGACCUGCAUGUUCAGUACUUGCAAAAUGUGAAAUUGCAAUUCCAAAAGCACAACAAAGGCCACCAGUGAGAUUUUUAUGUCCGUAUUGUGCAGUUAAACUAUAGUUAUUGAAUUUGGUCCAAUUACCUAUUUGAAUUAAUGUCUACUUCUUUAUUUAAGUAUUUUGUUUUUAAAUGGGUUCUUGACGUUUUAAAAUUCACUUUAAAUCCCUGACAAUUUACACGUUCGUGAAUAACCCUGAGAGAGAACUCUAUAGAAUAGUGAUGGGCUAACUGGUUCUGCAGCUGUGGUCAUGUUCAGUGCUUGAGGGCCAUUGGAAAAACUUCGGUUUACAGUGUAAAAGUAAACACCAUGAUUUUUUUUUUUUUUUUUUUUUAUUGUAGUGAAUUGUUUUACUACAAAUACGUCCCUUUUGUGAGAUCUCAGUAAGGACAGAUCUCCUACCUAAACAAUUAUUCUAUGUGGAACAAGAAAGCUUGUUUUUGUCUAUGUGGAGUAGUAUCCUAGAAUUGGGUAAAAAAAAAAUCAAUUUUUACCUUUUUUGUCAUAUUUUUGUUAGAUUGUUUUUCUGGAAAUGUAAGUAUACACAUAUAUGCCUUGAGCUCUUACCAUGUAAAAGGACAAAUCCGAGCACCAUAAAAACUUCUUUGCAAUUAAGUUGUUCUAGUUAAAGGAGGUCCUGGGCGCCAUUUUUACAUGAAGGCUUUAAACCGCUAAUGAGUGGUUGAACCCCAUGGUUGAACCCCAAACUUAAUGAAAUGUAGCCCAUAAAGUCUCACUUUCCUUUUUGACAAUAAAUAAAUCUGUUCGGACUUUCAAGAGACACAUUUCUCUAGGAAAGAUCAGUCUAUCCCAAUAAAUAUCUGCAAGAGAGCUGGAAAUUGUAUACGCAUGCUUCCCUCCUACCACCCAGUAAGGUCGUUUGAAAUAGAAACUACUACUGCAUUCUAUCCAUCAAUAAAGUAAGGAGGUAGAGAAGGCUCAAGGUUGAUGAUAAGAAAUGAUACAUAGCAAGAGCUGGGGCUAAGUUAUACCCAACACCCCCAGACAAUAAUUGCCAUCCAAAUCCGAAUAAAAACAUCAGAAGGAGGGCUCUCAGUCCAAGGAGAGCACCAUUUUUGUCAUAUUGCUCAACAAUUGGACUGUUUGCAACUCCUUGCAUCGGAACUAUAAAAAUAAUUUGUAGUGGUUUAUGGUCCUUGUAGCAAAACUUUCAUUUCUCUACAUACAAGACCAUGUUUACUUACUUUUACAUCUGUUUUAAGAUGUUACUCCAACCCUUUUUUUUUUUUUUUAAAGCUUCUUUAUUUUAUUUAAAUAUCUUAUGGUAGACUUUUCACUUAACCUCCUUCCCUAUUUUUUUCUCUAAUAACUGGUAAAAAAAAAAAAAAAAGUAAAAACUUACCUUGAAUCUAGCAUGUCUAAGUAGUAUGAACCAUGAAGAAGCGAUGGUUCUUAAUAUGGAAUAAGAUGUGAAAAGGUUUUCAGUCAUAUGUUUCUCAAAGGGAAGCAUUGUUGGACCUUGGGUGCAUGCGUGGGAAGGGUGGUGACCCACUGAUCAGCUUCUUCUGAAUCCAAUGCUUCUCUACCAGAAGCAGUGAACACUACACCAUUUAUGCACGCGGUGUGUGCAUGCAUGAGCAACCAGAUGAGCAGAGUGACAGGAGAGGUAGGAGGGCUGGCAUCCAAGAGCAUGCUUAUUUCUGAACAGAGUUCUGGGCUCACUAAGUCAUGUGCUAUACUCUGGCAAAAAUUUACUGAUUUUAUCUGUAAAAGAAGUGUUUUAAGCUUGCACCAUGACCACUUCUAAAUGUUUGACAAUUUCCUGUGUUUUGUUACUAUUACAGGGUAGGCGCAUAUAGAUUCUACCUGUGACGUGACCUAUUGCUGGUGCAAGAUAAAUUCUAGAUGCCAAGGAGAAUUCCUUGCACAUUACCAAUGCAAAAAGGACAAGCCACGAUGGUGCUUGUUUAAUAUCAUUUAUUUGUAUUUCAUUGGGAAAAAAAGGGAAUCAUUAUGCAGUACUUGCAAAGUUUGCAUUAUUAGAGAACUCUUUGAACAUAUACUAGAUGUACCUUUUUAGAAAAAUGUAGAUUAAAAAAAUAAAAAAUAAAAUCAGACUCUACAGGGUAACACAAUGGUUUUACAAAAUGCUUUGUGCUAUUUAAAGAAUUUCAAGAAUGUUGUCAGCAGGCAGGCUAUGCAAUACAAUAAAAAUAUCAGCAUUCAUUAUAGGCUUCCUUUGUGAAAAGAUAUUUCUCUGUUAGAAAACUUUCCCUUUUGAAAUUUGGCAGAGAUUUGGGAAAACACUGCAUACUGUGGGUUCAUAGAGGACACAUGCAUAUUUAUUCCUGAGAUGAUGUUCCUCACAUGAGCCAGAUCAAGAAAUAAAAUUCUAUAUUUUGAUCAUAGAUGUAUAUCAGUGUGCUUUGAUUCUCGUUUUGUGUGAUUUAAAUGAUUAUCGUAUUCUUGAAACGUGCCGGCCUUAUGCAUUAUCCAUUACAUGAUGAUUUGAUUCAGGUGAUCUAUUAACUAGCUAAAAAAUAAAAUAUAAAAAUAUACAACUUACUUUUUUCAUAAUGAGGGGGAAAAAAUAAACAAAUCAAAGUAAGGUGUUUAGAAUAACUAUGAAUUUUAAUAUAAAGUCUAGUCUGUUUCUAAUGAGAUUGUUCAUUUUACAGUUUUGAAUUGUAUUUUAAAAGUAAAUAAAGUAUGCAUUAGGACCAUAUGAUUGUUAGGAGUACAUAUGCUAAGAUUAAGGACUAACAAACCACAUUGGAUUGAGGAGUAUCAUAGUUAGGACUUCUUACCAAGUCCUGAUAGUGGGUGUAAGAAGUUAAUAGCUGGUUAACACUCCACAGGUUAAUCCAUCUUACAGUUGAUAAGGUCACACCAAAUUAAGGUAGCAUUCCAAACACCAUAAACACUACAGCUUGCUCUGCAUCCCCAUUGUAAGUUGUCAUGCCAUUUUAAUAUGGUUUGACUUUUUACCUGGGGAUCUGCCAGACACCGCUCCUGCCUCCACCACUGACAAAGACCCCAAUGGCAUUCCAAGCCACACGUCUAACUUACAGCAGAAACAGGAUGUAAAAUGAAUGUUCAAUUAAAUAGCCCAAACAAGUGUUGGCAGACCAUCUUUGCCUUCCCGUUAAUUUUAGUAGGCGCAUCUUCCCUAACACCCUGCUUACCAAAGAUUUAUUGAAUAUAAAGUUAAUGCAUUUCCAUUAUGCAGAAAACAUUAUUUGAACGGUUUCCCAAGCUUCAUAGAGGCAGCGAAUCAGAUUAUAAUUAUUAUUGGCACGUAUAAAGCACCAAUAUAUUCUGCAGCACCAUAUAAUUAGGGGAUACAAAAAAAAAGGUACAAUAUACACAAACCAAUACAAAAGGUUAAUAGGGCCGUGCCUGUGAGCUGAGAUCUAACAAUUUGAAGUUUUUAUACAAAGUGCUUACUUAGCCAGUGAGCUUACAAUCUAAAGAUGAGGUAGGACUAUGUAUAGCAGUUGUAGGAAACCUGCAACACACCAGAUGUUGUGCACUACAUCUCCCUGAUGUCAAUAUUAUGGGUGUAAGAGCAUUAUGGGAGAUUUAGUCCACAAGAUCUGAAGUGCCGAUGGUUGCCUACCCCCAAUAAAGUAUAUGCAUAGUGCUGGUCUGCCAACAUACUGAAUAAGUUGUUUCUAAAUGGGCAUGGGGAAGUGUAGAAUCCUACUACACAUCUCUAAAUGAGGGCGUAUGCUUCUAGUUUUGGGUAAUCUAUGCAUCGUUCUGUGUUGCAGAAUGCUACAUUAUGGGUGGUUGAAUGAAGAGCUUGGAGUUGAGGGUCAUUGUUGCCUACCAGGUGGGUAACUGUGUCAUGGUAGCAAGACAUCUAGUUGUACAUUAACAUUUUCAUGCCUACACUGCUUAUAGUCCAGGCCAGAGCAAUAGCUGGGUCCUCAACCUAUGGCACUGAAAGCAGCAAGUGGGGUUAAAAUAAUCAACAGCCAUAGUAUCCGGAAUCGACUCCCUGGUUUGAAUCAAAGUACAAGAAAAGUUUUUUGUAUUGUUCUUAUUAAGCUCCUUACUGCUGCAAAGAGUUUCUGACUCACUUUUCAUGGAGCUUCUUUAAAGUCUGAACACGUCGCCUCCUGGUUCUAUUGGAGACUUUUGAUGAGUAGAAGUAAUGAUUGAACGCUGGUUUUAAUGAAUUCCUCUGGCUUGAAAUACAUUAUCGUUUUAAAGAGAUUGUGUUUGCAAAAAGUUUGUUUAGAAAAUCAUGUUCUUACCAAAAUUCUAUAUCACAUUAUUAUUCUUGCUCAAAAGAUUAUUGUGACCAGCAGAUUAAAAAUAGGUCACGUUUUAUGAGAAAACCCAUUUCUAAUGAGAAAAACUAGAAAUCAUAUUAUAACAAACAGAUCAGGUUAUGCUUUCCUAGAUAGAUUUUCUUCAUAUGUUCCUGCCUACUUUUAGCUCUGCUUAAAGUAUAAAUAUGAUGUAUGAAGUAUAAAACCUAGCCUUUAUUUCAUUUACAACGUUAUUACAAAACGCUUAGACCCAAAAGCCUCCAUGCAAAAACACUAAAGACCAACAAUUACAACAGCCCAUAAAGUACAAACAUACCAUUAGUUCAUCUUAUUCAUUCAUGCUUGUAUCACCACUUAAAUUGAUUCUCUUGUGCCAGGAAAACAAACCUGUUUACCUGACAACGUUGAAACUUACAGUGCCCCCCUCCUUCCCACCACCCAUCCCACAUGGCUGAAGGGGUUAAACACUUACCUGAAUCCACCACCGAUGUCCCUCAGCGCUGGGUCAGGCGGGGGAGAACUAAUGUGCAUGCAUUCAAUUCUUUCCUAUGGGGAUUCCGGCGACGGUGGAAGUCCUCAUGCAGAAUGUCCUCACGCUAUGCAUCAUUUAGACAACCAAAAGUCGUCUAAGCACCUGAAAGCCACUCUAGUGGCUGUCUUGUAGAAAGCCACAGGAGGAGGACUUAACCCUGAAAGGCGAUUAUUGCAGUUUUUUAGAAACUGCAAUAAUUACCACUGUAGGGUUAAGUGACAUGAGAUAUUGCAACCAGACCACUUCAAUGAGCUGAAGUGGUCUAGGUGCCUACAGUGUCCCUUUAACCAUAGGUACAAAGUAAAGGGCUAUAUUCAUCAAUGGCUUUUCCAUAACUGAUAGGAUUUUGGAAAGCCUUGCAAAUAUAUGCAUAAUACACAGAUCAGGAAGAAAAUUGCAGGCAAGUAGUAAAUUUAUUUAGAUUUGCUAGUAAUUUAACUGGCAUCAUAAAUGUAUACUUUAAUGUAUUUAAAUGUUUGUAGUAAUUUUUGGUUAAGUCUUGUGUAGUUAUGCAUAUAACUACAGUAAUUGUAGUAUUAUUUACCUGUGUGAUGAUCUGAGGUGUCUCCUAUUUGAAUAUACACUUUCUCUAAACUAGUUGGAUACCUGACAUGCUAAUGUAUAAAGAGGGAUUUUUUUUUAAUCUUCUCACUUUUAGAUUUAUUCCUGUUUCAGGUUCCUUUGCCCAUGUUUAGCUCUAGAAAUGGCCAAUUUUCAGAAUAUAUACUAGUUUAUUUUAACACAUUCAGUAAAAUAUUUUGACUGGAAGAAAAAAGAGCUGUACACAUCAGAGCCAGUUCAAGGUAUCUAUCAACUCAGUGUAGGCAGCCUCUAUCCUCCUGUAUAAAAGACAAUCAACAUUAUGUUGGUCAAUACUCAAACCUGGAAAUUCUCCAGUCUUCACCCAGAGACUCCUGGUAUGAUGCAAGUCAGUAGAGAUUGGGAGGAAUAACAUUCUGUGGAGUACCACCUACGUUUGAGUGUAUCUCAUUUGGGAUGGAAUGCACUGAGCUAUGUAUUCUAUAUAUUACGCCAACAUGUUCCAUCAUGCUUCCGAAUGACAUUCUAAGGAUAGAAUGCAACAAAAUAAUUGACAGUCAAGGGGUGAAGAGGGCUCUGUUCACAUGAGUUUACAAUCUAGAAGAAUGAGUUUAUAAUCCAGAAGGGAUUACACUUUGGUUUAAUAUCCUUCAAACAGUUCAUUAAUUUAUGUGUCCUAAUGGUAAGCUGUCACUCAAAAAAAUGAUUUGACCAUCGUGUCUACAGAAAACAUAUUGAUCGGGAAAACAAAUAUGGUGUUCUGUGUCUGGAGCGUUCUUUUCUUUAUUUCUUUAAUAACAAACUGCUAUUGAUACACACCAGUUAAUCCCCAGUGAAGAAAUCCAUUUGUACAUGAGCUCACACUGACAAAAUCACAAUGGAGGUGUAGCAACCAGAUUUUAAACCACUUUUAGCUUCUCGUCUAUACGUUUGCCAACAAUAUAGCUAUUCUAAUGAGGAUGUAAAUUACUAAUGAUCUUCUUGAAUAGGUAAUGGAUAAAAUGCUAAUCUGUUGAGUUUUCAGUCUGCUUUUUUCCCUCUGCUUUUCUGACAGUUUUUGUACAUUGUAAAGCUGAUGAAUAUAUCUUUUGUAUCUGCAUUGGAUUUUCUGUGUUUCCCAACAAUGGGACAUUGUGACACGAGUGUGCCUGCCUGGUACAUACCUAUAAUUAGAAUUUUAACUAGUCAGAGAGCACUGUUAAAAUAAAGGGGUGUACCUGCAGGUGUAACCAUUAAGGAGAUGACUGUUUUGGAACACCACUACUUAGCGACUGGUUCCAGACUAGAUAGUAACUCUGUUACUCAACCAGCUGCUAACCCAAAAAACUUAAAGGAACACUUUUUAGUGUUCGGUAUACACCUUUGUAUUCGUAACACUAAAAUGUCACUCUGGCCCCAUGCCCCCACCCAUCAUUCAUGCAAUGGUUUAAAAAUAACCUUUAACUCUCUUACCAGAGUCCAGCCAACGGGAGGACCUGUUGCACAAGUGUGGCAAGCAAGUUGCAAACAUUACACCCUCCCCGUAGGAAAGCAUUGAAUCAAUGCUUUUCUAUGGGGUUUUGCUUUAUGGUGGAUGUUUUUCAUUUAAGAUGUGAGGAUGUCCAGCAUUGUUUUAAAGAGUCAAACUGUGUGAAACUGCAGGAAGCACCUCUAGUGGCAUACAAAGGGGGUGGCAUUAGAUGUGGAAAUGGUAGAGCAAUUAAGUUUAAGUUAUCCAUAAAUCUCGGGUGACAGUGAUUCUUAGCUCACUCAUGCCUGUCAAUCAUCCCUAUAAGCUCUGUUUUUUUUUGUACCAGGCAGCCAAUCCACAUAGACAAAGUAUACAAAGAAGAUGAGAAAUGAAACAAUGUUUCAAUUUCUCCUCCUCAUUUGCAAUGUAUGCCCUGGGUGUGCCUUGGUUGAACUAGAUUGUGAUAUUACGUAAUUUGCAAAAUCUCUAAUAUAAAUUUACUAUAAAAUGGGACAUCUCAUGGAAAAAAAAAGGUUAACCUGAGUUAUAGGUAAAUAAACAGUUCUCCUUUAAGCACAAGAAUAUUAUAAUUUACAUAAUGUAAUCUACUUCCAUUUUCUCUUGCCUUUAUAGACAUAUGGUAUUAUUUUUUUCUUUAAUUUUUGAAUGUAGCAAACUUGAGUCUAUCAACAGCUACAUCAAUUAAUAAUCAUCUAAAUGUAUUAUUCUAUGAAAACAAGUUACGUUUACGUUUAGUUUGUUAGGAUGGUUUUGUGAGCAAAGAUAACUUACUCUUUAGUACCAUGUUAUUAUUUUUACACAGUCUCUGGUAAAGCUUUUAACCAAAGCAUGUAUCUCUGAAUACAAAGCCGGUAAAACACAGGCACUGUUCAAAAUAUGAACAAAGCACUGAUGUAUUUUUUUUUAUUUUUUUCUUACAAUUUUACAAACCGGCUUUUGAUUUUGUAUAAAAAGCAGAAAAACAUGUCAACACAAACUUUGCAAUGUAUCGCAGAGUUUCCUAGAAAUAUCCUAAAUAAUGAAAAGGUCUCAGUACAUGUAGUUCUGCGGGGAAAAAAACACACAUAUAAAAGCUCUUACAAGUCAAGAAAAGAUUACCUUUCUUAAAGGCAGGAAACAAGGCAGUGCGUAACCUAAAUGGAAAAUAGCGCAUGUGAAACACAAAUCCAUAGAUCUGCACAUAGGCAUUUUCUGUUUAUAAUGAUAGGUAUCAAAGAUAAAAUAUGACUUUCGUUUUGUGAACUCUUCCCACAUAUGUGUCUGUCUGUCUAUCUUUCUCUCUAUUACAUCCAUCUAUCAUGCCUCCAGACCAUCAUGAUUUCAGAGCGACCGUUACGAUUUUAAGGUUUUGACCCAUCUUUGUUGCCUGGUGUCCCGCUUUUGGGGACACCAGAGAACUGUCUCCAAAAUAGGUAGCAUGUCAACAUCUUUAGCCGCACUUUUAUGACACUAAGGGCUCUAGGUCCCAGCGGAGAGUACUAAAACAGUGCUCCCAGUUCCUCUACCCCCUGCCGCAGUGUGUUGCCUCUAUGAUUGUAAGACAGCCUGGUGUGUAUUUAUGCUAGGCUACCCUGUCAAUUCUUUGGGCACUUUUGUGGACUGGUAUGCACCCUCUGUGUGCGCAAGUAACACAAUACACGUGACUGGCCUGCCCCUUCUACACUGCCCACAGACGUCACGCUUCACAGGAUGCCAAGUUGGAAGGUGUAAUCUAUCCAUCUAUCAAUCUGUCCAUCUUUUUAUGGAUCUUGGUAAAAAAGUGUUUAGUAGACAUGUGCAAUUCGUUUCGGUCUGAAUAUGAAUUUGGGCGAUUUUUGGGCAAUUUGUACAUUCGGGUGCCGAAUUGCAGAGGUUCCGAAAUUACCGAAGUGUUGAAGUUCCGAAGUUGCCGAAACACAGUAUUGCCUAAGUACUAAUAUACUUACCCAGCGAAAGAAGAAGAAUGUUACAUUGUAUACAAUUUUAAAUAAAAAGUAUUCAAACAUAGCCAGGAUUCAGCUGUAAGCAUUUGCAACACUUACAACAAUCAAGUGUAACACAUUCAUAUAAAAUGUAAGUUACUUAGCCUGUCAAUGUAAUGUCCCCCCCCCUUAUUAGUAUUUAGGGCCCCCACCCACCGCUCAGGGGUGGGGGUCAGGGGGAGGACAUUAGGUCCCCCCUUAUUAUAAUUUAGGGCCCCCACCCACCGCUCAGGGGUGGGGGCCAGAGGGGAGGACAUUAGGUCCCUCCCUUAUUAUUAUUUAGGGCCCCCACCCGCCGCUCAAGGGUGGGGGACAGAGGGAGGACAUUAGGUCCCCCCUCUAAUUAGUAUUUAGGGCCCCCACCCGCCGCUCAGGGGUGGGGGCCUGGAGGGAGGACAUUAGGUCCCCACCCUUAUUUUACUGUAGGGUCCCCACCCGCCGCUCAGGGGUGGGGGCCGGGGGAGUCAAUAGGGAGGGGGGACGCUAUUUAUUUUUAACAGUGAGCAGCCACAGACUACUCACUAUUUACUAGACAUGCCCCUACUUGCGGUAUAGCGAGUAGGGGCAAAAUUUACUAAUACUAAGUAAUGUUUACUUAGUAUUAGUAAAUUUGGCUGAAAGACCAAUUCAGGUCUUUCAGCCUUUUGGUAGAUAACUCCCUAAUACCGUGGGAAUUAGGGAGUUAUCUACUAAGCGGCUGCAAAAGAAGUGCCGAAUUGCGGAAGUCCCGAAUUUCGGAAUGCCGAACCGAACCAAAAAUUUUCCCCAUGCACAUGCCUAGUGUUUAGACUUACUGGUUGUGCUUGCAAAAAAAAUAAGUGUUAAACUGAUACUCUCAGAUGCUUGCAGUUUUUGGUAUGUUUAAAGCAACAUGUUGGUCACCCAGACAAUGUUUCAUAACAUCAAAGUGUUCACAUCAUGCUGUUGAAUAGUAUGGGGGGAGGGGAGUUAUCAAACUGCCAUCUUUUUAAAAAGUGGGUACAGUUCUAAAAAAAAUUGUACAAUCACUAUGGAAACCAAUAAACCUGUCUGCACAUUUCAUUUGUGAUUAAUUUGCAGUUCAACUUUGAACAACUUUAAAAAAAAAAAUAAAAAAAUACUUUGGUAAAUAAUCCCAUCCCUAAUUUUACUUAGAAUAAAAAAAAAACAAACAAACAAAAAAAAGCAACAUGUGUAUUAUAAUGCAUAUUAAAAUGUACAAAUUAUUUUCCUUUUGUGUGUGGACAUGCUUAUAUUGUAUAAAUUUAUAUAAAUUGUAUUUAUAUACACUAUACAUUUGGGAUGUGCAUGGGCAAAAAAUUUGGUUCAGUUCAGAACGGCACCUCUGAAAUUCAGGACUUCAGGAUUUAUGCACUUCGACAAUACCCUUACCCCAACCCUACCCAUAGUAGGGGUAGGGUUAGAUUCCUGUCAUCAUUCCUUUAAUUUUCCCUCCCUCUCCUGUUUUGCAACUUUUCAGAAAUCCGAAGCACUUCAGAAAUUCGGCACUUCAGAAAAUUUGGCAAUAAGGUUCGGUUCGGCACUUCAGAAAUUCACCCAUUCGGAAGCAUCCCAAUGUCCGAAUUGCCGAAAUUCGGCCAAAUUUAAAUUCGGACCAAAACGAAUUUCACAUGUCUACUAUACAUUAUAUUUAUUUAUGAUUUUACAAAUCCAUAUAAUUCUUCAUUGCACAAACUUGUGUGUGUGUAGGGGAAGGGAGGGGGUACAUCACCAGCAUAUGUCAUCAUGCCAAAACUUCAAUAAUGCUUACUAACUCUUAUUUAUGAAUAAUAAUCAAAAGGUUAAAAUACAUUCUCAACAGGUUGGGAAGUGACUCAAAGCUCUGUCAAUUCUGGUGUUCCCAUACCUUAGUAUGGAGCAUUGUACACACCUCCAAAACACUUGCACAGCAGAAGUUUAUGGGAUUAUAGUUUUAUUGUCAGAUUUCUUAUAACAACUGUAAAGUAUGUGAUAAGAGUUUCCUCGACACAAAUAGCUUAUUUAAUUUUUUCAAAAUUUUUUGUUUAAUGUUUUUAAAUAAAACCAGCUAAUUGCACCUGGGUCUGCUGGAGAGCUGUACAGCUCUGGCCAUAAUUAACUUCAUUCGCAAAAACCAUGAAUGAAGCUAAUGUGCAAGGUAAUCGACACAUACAGGGUUAUUUACUAAAUGGAGAAUUGUCCGGACGCCAAAGUAAAAUAUGAAUAAAAUAUGAGUGAACCCAUGCGGCCUCUCAGGAUGAUGGAGUGAUAUGUGAUGUCAUGUGCAGCUGUACUUUUGAAGUGAAAAUGGAAAUGUUACAAUUAGAGAGGGAGUGACAGAAGGGGUGAAAAUGAGGAAUAAUAAUAAUUUUCAGCAAAAAAUAAAUAAAAUUUAAAAAUAUAUGUGUAAUGGAGCCAUACAGAAAAUCUUCCUGGAGAGUCUAUGGCCCUUGUGAUGAAAGAUUCUCCUUUUAGCUUCGUAUGAGUUAACGAACAAAGGAGAUGUACGAGCCAUGGAGAGUUAACUGUGUAUGUGCACACAAAUACUCUUACUCAUGUUACAUUAAUUAACACAUAUGGACACUGUGAACAAGUACUUGAAGAUUUUUGACUUUACACUUUAGAUCAAAGUAAUAAUUAAGAAUUAAUGUCUGUAGAAAAUGAAGAACCACAAGGAGUGCAUUUUAUGAUGGGGUAUUGCAUUUGUUGUGGCGCUGACGACCUCUUCUGAAGCCACCCAUGUGUUGGAUCCUGGGAGGUUGAAAAGGACGAUUUUGGGCUAGGCCAGCCUUACACAGACCUUGGCUGGUUUUGCUCUGCUUUCUGCCUGCCAGCCAGCCAAUAUUUGCAUAUACAGGGACAAAUUUAAUUCAGGAUGUCUUAAAUAAGUAAUAACCAAACCAAGUUAUUUAGGCAGUCCGCCAACAUUGGGUAUAUCUAUAGCAAAUUGAGUCAAUUUCUUGUAUUUACACUAGCUUGUAUUUGGGUCCCUCCAAAAUUUCAAAUUGGAACAGAUGUAGUAGGGUUGGAUUACUGCAAAUUGUAUCCACAGCACCACAUGGGUGUUUGGUGACAUCUCCUGUUGUUUGAUUUUGACCCUAAUGAGAGGAUAAUUUGGGUAGCUUGAGCAGUGGUGAUACAAUGUAGAUCUUAUACAAGCUUUCAAUUAACUGCGCAGGAAUGACAAAUUCCACAGGAAUGAAGAAUUAGUUGUUUUUCAAAUACAUAAAAAUGAAGUACUGUUUUCUGCUUCAUCUUAUAUAUGUUGCCGCAAAGCUAUAUGUUUGUGAGUCAGUGUACUCUGUGUUUACAUGUCAGUCCUCUGUGUGUAACGAUUAUGUGUGUAUUUUGUUUUUAUUUUAGGACUUUUAUACUUCAAAUUAAUACUUCUAACACUCUUCCUUACAUCCACAAUGUUCACAUUACGGCUUAUUUAUUUUAACAAUAUUCAGGUUUGUUCUCCAAUAGGGGUUCACUUCAACAUUGGUGUCAACACAUUUCAUUUGUAAUUUCAAUCAAUAGAAAUUACUUUCUCAAGGCAGGAGUACUUGGGAAUAGAGCCUCCGUAAAAGGCUUUAAUUGGUUUCCACUAUGCAACUAUAGACUCCUUUUUAUUAUAAUCUUGUACAUGGGAAUGAAGUCGGAAGAGCUAUUUAUGACUCCAUCUAGUGGUUGAAGGGUGGUUGUGCAAUACUAAAGUUCAGGUUGCUGGACAAGUAGAACUAAGGUUCCAGGUUUCCGUGUACCUUCUGAAGGGUGGCAAAGAUAAGUGUGCAUUAACCGCAUCCACAGAGGAACUCUAUCAAGUAUCCUAGACCAUCUAUUGGCACCCUAGCAAUACUUUAAUGGACUAUCUACCCUUAUUUGGCGCAGCCCUACCAUAUCUUUUUGUUAUUAACUGUGCAAGCCAUGCUGUGGUGCAGGGGUACCCAAAAGUAGAUCCCCAUAUGUUGGAGAACUAAAACUCCCAUGAUGCUGUAAAUGCCUAUAGAAUACCAAAGCAUCAUGGAGGUUGUCGUUUUAAAACAUCUGGGUAUCUACCUUUUAAAUGUGAAUGGUGUACUCCAUGCUCUAAAACAAGGGGGUUGUUUUAGAGCAUGGAGUACACCUUUCACAUUUAAAAUUUACAGCUAACUUUAAUUUAGCCUCGUAACAUAAAAAUAAUACCUGUCUGCCGAAAAUAUCAUUAUCGAUUUAUGGUAAAGAAUAAUUGAUGUAAAAUCUGCUUAAAAUCUAUGUGAAUUGUAGCAAUGGCAUUAAAUUAUUCCUUUACUCUUUACUUUUAAUUACAUCAGUUCUCUAACUUCUGUAUUUUGACAGUUUGGAAAUGAUCAAAAAGUAAAUAUCAAAAAUAUCAAAAAGUAAAUAUACUUAUGUUAAAAUAUGUUUAGUAAAAUGUAUUGUGUGUAUAUUACAAGACAUCAAAUCCUGUUCAGACCACCAGUCUUAUCAGUAAGUGUCUUUGGAUAAGACACCUAAAAUAAAUAACCUCAAAUAAACCUUGUCAGGGAAUAAGAAACACAUUUAUUUGUCCUUCCCUUCAAUGCAUAUUCUGUGUAUACAAAUAGCCGAUUUCUCAAUUUGUGCUGUAAAAAGAAUUCUUUCUUGUCUGGGAUUUAUCACAAAAAAGGAGAAUUUUAGUAAUUUUUGGUCUCCUUAGUUGAACUACAAUGAAUUCUGGUUGCCAAGCAACAGCAUAGAUUUUUGAAUUAUACACCAAUUGUUCUUUAAAAAUUAUAGUAGGGAAUACAGUAAUUGUCAGAUUUUUUUUUUAAAUAUCUAUGUGCAUGACGAGAAUACUUUUAUUUUUUUAUUUUUUUUUGUUUUGUUUUUUAUGGAGGGGACAAACCAUAGGGGGACAUAAUGGAAUGAACUUAAAUAACAAAAUAAUUAGAUAUUUAUAUUAGUAUAAUUGAUUCUUUUUUGCAAUUUGUAACAUUUAUUUGUGAGGUUUUUGUUUUGUCUGAAUAUUCUCUAAAGUAAAAAAAAUUGCUUCAAAGGGAAACUGUUAAUUUGUCUGAAUCUCAUCAAUAAAAACUGAACAGCACCUAUAACUCAUGUUAGCCUUUUUAUGAUGCUGUUUUAUUUAAACUUCUUAUUAUAGAUUUAAAUAUUGACAUCACAAUCCAGUUUAAUCCUGGCACUGCCAAGGCACAGAUUGUAUAGGAGGAGAAAAAUAAACUUUGUUUUCGCCUUCUCUCCCUCCACUUACCAAGUAUAAUGACAGAAAUUAGUAUUAUGAUAAGGCACUAUGAAUACAUUUAGUUCCAGGAUAGAGGUUACUACAGCAGUGAGGAAUGGUAUUUGGGAGUUUAAUCACUUUGUUUAUACAGCUUAUAUAACUAAAUAUUAUAUAAGCUGUAUAAACAAAGUGAUUAAACUCCCAAAUACCGUAGAAUUGAACAGUGAGACUCCAGGGCAGUGGCGUACACACAACCCAUGGGGCCCCAGUGCGAAAACGGAUCCGUGGGGCCCCCUCCCCCCUCCGUGCUUACUCUGCGCGGGCCGGGGCCGCAACAUAUGGCUUCGGGCACCUGGUCGCAGGGCUGCGACCCUUGCGACCGCGGUAUGUACGCCAGUGAAUGCAGAUACACAUACACUUAAAGGACCACUACAGACACCCAGAUCACAUCAGCUCAAUGAAGUGGUUUGGGUGCCAGGUCCCUCUACUUUUAACCCUGCAGAUGAAAACAUAGCAGUUGCAGAUAACUGCUAUGUUUCACUGAGGGUUAAUCCAGCCUCUAUUGGCUGUCUCAUUUACAGCCGCUAGAGGAGCUUCCGCGAUUCUCACUGUGAGAAGACGCUGAACGUCCAUAGGAAAGCAUUGAAUAAUGCUUUCCUAUGGGCGGAUUGAAUGCGCGCGCGGCUCUUGACGCGCAUGUGCAUUGGGAGCUAAGAGGCGGAUCGGGGCGGAGAGAUCCCCAGCGCCAAGGGAGUCUGGCGCUGGAGAAAGAUAAGUGCUGAAGACACACAUACACUCUCACGAACAGAUGCAUACACACUAGCUAACAGACACACACAAUCUCACGAACAGACGCAUACACACUAGCUAACACACACACAUUUACUGACAGACACACACUCACUCAGUGACAGACAUACAUACACACUCACUGACAGACACAUACACACUCACAAAACACACACUCACUAACAGACACCAAACAGACUCACUAACAGAUACACACAGUAACACGCUAACACACACACACACUCUAACACACACUCACACUCUAAUACUAACACACACACACACUCUAACACAUACACACUCUAACACACACACUCUAACACUGUAACAUUCACACACACUCUAACACUAACACACACUUUUUAAAAAAUUUAAUCCCCCAGCCUCCCUACCUUUGGGAGUGCUGAGGGAAUUCCCUGGGGUCCAGUGGUAUCAACCGGCAGGCAGGCUGGUGCGCGCGCGCGAUGGAGCACUCUCCCCUGAGUGCUUCCUGUUCAGCUCCCUCACGCGUCGCGUACUGAUACCGGAGCCGGAAGAUGGCUCCGGUAUCAGUGUGGUGCGUGAGGGAGUUGAAGAGGGAGCACUCAGGGGAGCGUGCUCCCUCGCACGUGAUACCAAGGCCAGCCUCAGGGGGCCCUGAGGUGGCCAGCUCCUGGGCCCCCCCAGGAUAAGAGGCUGGCCACAGUGGCAUACAUACCGGGUCGCAGGGCGGGCGGGCCCCCUGGUAGGCCGGGCCCGGUUGCAGCUGCGACCCCGGUAUGUAUGCCACUGCUCCAGGGUCAUGAUCUAUGCACAAAAACUGCUUUAUUAAAGGGAUAAUAUAGGCACCCAGACCAUUGCAGCUCAUUGAUGUGGGCUGGGUGCAGUUUUUGAGAAACAGCCAGCUACUAGAGGCACUUCCGGCUUGCUAGGCAGAUUGUGUUCAGUUUAAUCCCAAUAGGAAAGCAUUGAUUCAAUAGUUUCCUAUGGGGAGGGCUUAGAGCGCUCGUCGCACAUGCCCAUUAGCCCCCCUGUCGGAUGACGUCUGAGAAGGAAAAGUGCCAACCCAGUGCCAAGGGAGAUCGGCGUUGAAAUCGGGUGAGUCCAGUAAGGUUAUUUUAUUUUUUUACCUUUCCAUGCUGGAUGGAGAUGGAGCAGAGGGUGCUAUUUUUACAUACAACAGAUUUGUAUGCCUUACACUGUAGAAUCCCUUUAAGCUAAAGUUGCUUUGGUGCCUGUAAGUCCGUUACAUUUACUAAUUUAAACAUCCAGCUUAAGCAAUGAAUAUAUUGACUUAAAAAAAAAAAAAAGUUUCAUGUUUCAGGGACCUCGUAUAAAUGGUCAAUUGUGACGGAGCUCCCGUACUCAAAUAGAGUAUCUCUGCCCAGUCCGCUUCCUUAAUGCUUUCUGGGACCAUGGAAUGCUUCAGCCCCAGUUGCCCAGUGCUUGACUGGGGGAUCUCAGAAUUUUGUGAAAUCACAUGUAUCCGACACUAGAUGUGCAAAAAAAUUAAUUAACGAAUUGCCCAAAAUUUGGACAAAUUCACAUUAAUUUGAAAUCGAAUGCACAAGUCUAUUAAAGCGGCACUGUCACCCCUCCCUCCCCCUUUAAAAUGAGUGUUACAUGCAUCUAGAAUCUUUAUGUUCAGUUACAAAGGGAUCUUGCACAUUACUGGAAUAGUUUCAAUGUGUAAUACGGACUCCCUAUCAAGGCCAAUAUGCCUUUAAUGCCCUCUCGUUUUUUAAUCUAAUGUGUCUGCUGAAAUUUCGGAAUCUGCAUCAUGUUUCCAGAGUCAGACAGGUAUUUGGUUAAGGUGUAUGACUGGGGUGACCUGAGAGAGCCUCACACAGAAAAUAUAGCUUCUUUAGCAAGAGUAGUCAUGCCAAGGAUCAGAUACCUGCUUAAAUGGUGGCAAUGUUUGGGAAUAGCUUACAUUCCAGGGACCUUUUACAAUUACCAACAUUAAUUAAUCGCAUGGACAAGGUUUUUAGUCUGAUUGGUGGGAACCUUCAAUAAAACUUGGUCAGUGAGCACCUUGUUGAGACUGACUUUCAUUUAAAAUGUGAUUUCAUAUAAUAAUUUUUAUUAAAUUACUGGACCACGUGCUUGCCCUCUACUUUUUACCUAAAAUCACCAGCUCUCGGUCAUUAAAUAUAAUGACUUUAAAAAAUGCAAAGCUUAAUGGAUGUCUGCACAGUGUUCAGAAGAUGCUUUUAAAGGAACACGCACAUACAAAACAUGUUUAGCAAUUAUUGCUAGUUUUAAAUAUCAUAAUGCAUUAUAUAUCAAUAUCUAUAUGUAUAAACCCAUGUCCUUUCUUGAUGGUGGUUUAUUGAACAGAUUUCCAGAGAGUGUUUUUUUUUGUUUGUUUUUUUUUGCUUUCAGUACGUUUCUGGAGAAAUUGUAUAUUGUAAAAACAUGUUCAGAUCUAUAUAUUUUUGUGGUGUAAGGUCAAGAUCGAACAUCUAUGAACUACCAUCACUGGAUAUUUUCCAUAUGCCUUUUUUCAGCCUGCAGUUUUCCAUAUUUGUGAACAUUUUAGCUCAGUAGAUUUCAAAGAAUCCAAAGCAAUAAUGUUACAAUUGUUUGCGGACUGAGCUGGUUUCUUCUGACCCUCCUGUUGUCCUUAAUCAGGCUGCCUGUCAUCCGUGUAAUUUCUUAUUUUAUUUGUUCCUAAAAAAAAUGUAUUCCUUAAAACCUAUGGCACUGUGUGGAGAUAGGAACCAUCCUCCUUUGUAUAUGGAAUAAAACAGAGGUGGUCAGUAGAAAAUAUCAAUGCAAAGAAUACCUUAUAAUAAUCUGUUUAUAUGCGGAAUAUGUUUUUAAGAACUGUCACCUCAAUACAAAUUUUUGAUAGAAUAAUCCAUUCAUCUUGUUUUGUAAGGCAAUAUAUAUAUAUGUAUAUGUAUUUUAAUUUAAUGAAGUACAUGUAAAAAGAGAAAUCCUCAUGCUUGUACCCAUGUAUCAGAUGGUGUUUGUCAUCUUCACUUCUUGGUUUUCAUAGACGAACUGUUGCUUUUCAAACACUGUCCGACCCAAGUGUUUUCUUGAGAUUCUGUUUUUCUCAAUUUUUUUUACAUAUAACACAUUUUACCGUUUCUGUUCAAAACUUGAUGAAGUUGUUAUUAUUAUAUUAAAAUAUAGUUUUGAGGUGACGGUUGUGCUUUAAAUAUACCUGUAAUAAAAUAUAGUAAUUAAAUAAAUACUGUAGUGUUUGGAAUAGUGCCUUGGUAGCCAUCUUGGUACCCAGUCCCCAACUGCAGGGAGCAAAAAAGGUAUUUUGCUGACCUGUACUCCCUCCCAGCGUCUGUCUCCGGUGAUCUCUGUCAAACCAAUGCUUUCCCGUAGGAAAGCAUUGGGAGUCUAGUGUGCAAAGAAUUUUACUCUGCUAUUCCAUCUGAAGUGCCGCUAGUAUGGUCAUUGAGAAGAAGUGGUCUGGGUGCCUAUUGUGUCCCUUUAACCUCUUAAGGACAUAUGACAUGUGUGACAUGUCAUGAUUCCCUUUUAUUCCAGAAGUUUGGUCCUUAAGGGGUUAAUGGCAAACAGAGGUGCAAUUCUCACUAAUCAUGUUUGUCCCAGUGCUGCCCUAAUAUUAAAUUAAUUUUACCACUAACCUUAAUACCAACCUUUGCACUGCUUACAAAAUAGAAAAUCCUCUAUUGAAGUCCGUGGGGAAAUUUGUUACUCGGGAAGUUCAUCCAAAAGUAUAUAAUAUGUUUGUUUCCCCUUUAUACAUAGACCAUGAUUCAGGGAAAAUUUCUUUGUGAAGAGUAUUCCCAUUGCUGAGUCAUCAGAACCAAGUGAGAGCUCCAAACUUGUUGAGGAGUAGCUGAUCUGCAAGUGGCGGCUUUGCAAGCAAACAUCAUUGGUGGCCGGCCAGUAAAAAAAGGGACAAUGGUGGUAAUUUGUAUCUACUGGCUGCUGUUAGUGAUCACUGCCUAAAGGCACACUAUAGGCACCCAGACCAGUUAAUCUCAUUGAAGUGGUCUGAGUGCACUGUCCCUGUCCCCUUAACCCUUCACUUCAGAGAAACCACAAUGUUUAUAUUGCAAUGUUAAGACUUCUUCUAGUGGCAGUCUACCAGACAGCCACUCGAGAGUUUGACUCUGUAAAAUGACUUUGGACGUUCUCACGUUUUGGAUGUGGAUGCCCAGCAUCUUCAAAUUUUCCAUAGGAAAGCUUUGAAUCCAUGUUUUUCUAUGGGAAAGGCCUAAUGUGAUGUGCAUGUUUUAGGUUCCCCCUCUGUGCUGACAUCAGACUAAGAUGUAGCCAGCUUUACCCUUUAUUUUCUAGAGGGGAUCGGGGUGCAGAACACUUUAGUGUUGGGAAUACAGUUUUGUACUCUUAACACUCAAGUGUUUCUUUAAAGCAUCUAUUUAGCAACAAGGUUGGAAUUGGAAAAAAGUGCUCCGUUUUUUUUAGUCUGUUCUUCCAAAUUUGUGAACUUUCUGGAGAAUUUGGUUGCACAUGCUGACCAGGUUGCUCACUGCCGAACCAUUUUAUUUUAUUUUUUUAUCUUUGAGCAUGUGUGCCACGCUGACAUCCUUCCUACAUUAUGCACCAUCUUUUCAGUGCAGACAUACAAACAAGUCCGCAAACAGACAACCUCCCUUGGACACAACUCCAAGAUUUGUAGGGAGAUGUUUGGUAUGCAGUUAAUGGUAACCGUUUUAAUCACAGCAUUAGCUUUAUUCACUGUUAUUAUACUUCCUUGUUUUCUUUUUCUUUAAGGUACAGACAUCCUUGUAGCUGUUUCACAUUAAAAUGCAUGUACACACAUCAAUGAGAAUACAUGUUCUUUAGUUUACAAAUAUUAUUUAUUGGGCAAUGUUGACAAUUCUUACAUCAAUGUAUAUAAUAAUGUCAAAAGCCACAGCUUUUCAAAUUGGUGAGAUUGCUAUUGCCAAGAGUUAAAGCCUCUUUUAUAACCCCAUUUUCUAUCCAUGUGAUAGUUUUGAGAUUCUAUAUAACAUACCUCUCAACUGUCCCUAUUUUGGGUCCUUUGUCCCUCUUUUCUAGGAGCUCAUAUUGUUGGUGUGUGUAUAAGAGAACUCCACAGCAAUAACACUUUUCUAUAGACGUAUAACACCAGAAAUACGUCUUAAUAUCACAAUAAAGGCGUUUAUAAAGCAGUCUGUGUAUGUGAAAAAAAAAAACACUGUUCUUGUUCUAAAUUACAUAUUCGUUGCAUACAUUUUAUUAGUAAGUCACCUACAACCUACAAUUUCUCAAAAGAGCCCUGCUCCUGGCCACACCUCCACUCACACCCCUAAAAUAUCCCUCUUUGUCUAUUUGAAAUAUGAGAGGAGAUAAUGUAUGUAACCAUUAUUAUACACACACACAUUUACACACUCAAUGUGUUUGUUAAUACAUUGUAAAAGUCCAGUGACCCGCUUUAAAGGACCACUAUAGGCACCCAGACCACUUCAGCUCAAUGAAGUGGUCUGGUUGCCAGGUCCAUCUAGGAUUAACCCUGCUUGCUGUAAACUGCUAUGUUUACUUUAGGGUUAAUCCAGCCUCUAGUGGCCGUCUCAUUGACAGCCGCUAGAGGCGCUUCUCACUGUGAUUUUCACAGUGAGAAGACGCCAGCGUCCAUAGGAAAGCAUUGUGAAUGCUUUCCUAUGGACUGGCUGAAUGCGCAUUCAGCUGAUGACAUCAGAAGAGGGAGGAGAUUUCCCAGCGCCGAGGGAGCCCGGCACUGGAGAAAGGUGAGUGUUUAACCCCUUUCCUCCCCCUUCAGCCCAGCGGGAGUGGGACCCUGAGGGUGGGGGCACCCUCAGGGCACUAUAGUGCCAGGAAAACAAGUUUGUUUUCCUGGCACUAUAGUGGUCCUUUAAUAAUUUAAAAAAUAAAUAAAAGCAUUUUAGUUUAAUUUCCUCUACUUGUGCCCUUUUCACUUUACUCUUUUUGUCCGUUUAAAAAAAAUCUUAUUUAUCUUGUUAACAGUGUGUGUUAGCACCAAAGGUGUUUAUUUUAUUUUAUACUUUCUAUAAAAUUAUGGCCAUUGGCACAUUCUUAUUGUUCAUAUGGCUAUUGCACUAUUUGUGGUUUCACCUCUUAUUGUUUCACCUGACUGCACAUAUAUACGAAUAAAAAAAAAACAACCUAACAACUCAACUAUUUUCUAAUAUACUAAUACUUUUAUUGAAGUUGUUAAAAAAAAAAAAAAAUAAGGAUUUCUUUUAAAUGAAAUAUAUGAGAAAAUCCAUCCCUGCAUUUAGCAUAUAAAAGUAUCCUUCAGCCAAGUACAUGCACUUUAGGUUGAACUAUGUUUGAAGACCGUAAGUUACUCUCUGAUCUUCCCUGCUUCACUCACUGCAUAGAAGUAGAGAAGACCAUAGAGACCAACUGUUGGUUUUCAAACACUGUCUGACCCAAGGUGCAUGUAUAUGGUUGUAGAAUCCUGUCCUAUACGAACUGUAGCUUUUCUCAUUUUCUAUUUCUUUUCAAAACUUGAUGAAAGGAUAUAUUAAAAAUAAUUUGUUGCCAGCCAACCAAUGAUAUCCCUCCUUAACCUUAUGCACCUGAUAACUGAAUAUGGAACACACUCCUACUAUAAAUUGAACAUAGCCAAGACCCAGGUUAAGGGGGUCAACAUAGAUUCUAACCUUCUCGGAAGACUCCGAGAGGCUUUCCCUCUAGACUGGCGCUCAGACAAUAUCACCUUCAUGGGCCUGACACUUACCAAAAAUAUGGCGCACCUUUUUAGAGACAACUAUGUUCGGCUACUACACAAAUUUAGUGAGACGCUCAAGGUAUGGAAAGGGAGGUUUCUUUCCUGGGUGGGAUGGAUAGCAGCAAUAAAGAUGGUGCUCCUGCCAAAAAUCCAAUACUUGUUCAGGACAUUACAAAUACCCCUACUGAAACAUUACUUAAAUACUGUCCAAAACCUAUUUGUGAAAUUUAUCUGGGAUGGGGCAGACCUAGAGUAGCAACACAAAUACUUCAACAAUCAAUGGAGAACGGGGGGCUGGGGUUGCCAAACCUUGUUGCUUACUACAGAGCUGCUACCCUACACAACAUCACACAACUCAACACGGGAACAAAAACACACCAGUAGGUUGAGUUUGAGACCCUAUUGGAUGCUCCAAAGGGAACUUAGAGCACUUUUAUGGGUAUUGAAAACACUACGCCAACCCAUGCACAAUAUUCUCCCAAUCACUAAGCAAAUGCUCCAUAUAUGGGAUCAAAUCAGGGAUCAGGUAACUUCGGGUCCACGCAGGUCACUAGCCACACCAAUGAAGACUGAGCUUCAUCAUACCUACCUUCAGCAGUGAGAUUUGGAUAAGUGAAGGGAUAUCUCACCUACACUAAAUAUGCAAGGGAGAUCAUUACUCCCAUUCCCGGUCAGCCCUGCUGAACAAAACUGAGACCGAUGCAACCCAGAAAUGUAGAGACCAAUGGCAAAAAGAGUUGGGUUACACAAUAAAUAAGAAAUGGGAAACUGCCUUACUGACACAUAAGGGCCUGACCUCAUGCGCAACACAUAUUAAACUGCAACGUAAGAUCCUCUACAGGUCCCGGGAAAAACUUCAUAGGAUAUGGCCCUCUCCAUCCAAAACCUGCUGGAGAUGCAAAGAGGAGGUGGGCUCCAUGCUUCACAUCUGGUGGUCAUGCAGGGCGCUUUGACCCUUUUGGUUGCAGGUGGUCGGAUUGCUCACCAAAAUCACAGGACACAGCAGACUAGACAACCCAGAUACAUGUUUGCUAUUCAUUCUCCCGGCAGAGUUGCUGGUACACAAACGAGACAUCCUAUACCAGGUCUUGAUUUCUGCAAACCUGUUAAUCUCCAGGCACUGGAAACAUACACUUCUCCCCUGUUGGGCAGGCUUAAUUUCACAGGUUGAGUUGUAUUUGCGCUACAAAUCCAUGGCCAAGCAACAAUUCGGUCCCAGUAAGGUGAUCACGAAAGCCAGACAGACAUGGGCCACAUUUAUAAAAACAGAACCAUGUAGUUGAACAAAAGAAACAAAAACAAAACCUGCCAUGGAGAACAGUGGGAAAGCACCCAAGUAACCCAUCUUAACCCCCUCUCCCCUUCUCUCCUAUUGUCUUUCGAUCUCCCUCCCCACACACCCAAGUUACACCACUUGCAACAACGCUGUUACCUAUCCCCCACCCUAUUACUUUCUACCGUUAUGUUAAAAGGUUGUGGGAAUUCAAAUGUUGCUACUGCAGGUAUAUUCAAGGAAAAACUUAUGUUACCAUGCCUGUAACCUGUAAAUAAAUUAUACUAUGUCCUGAUGGUCCCUGUGUGGAAUUCCAGAUUAUGUUGUUAGGUAAUGGCUACAUUUCAUAACCUUGCAAUGACUACUCAAUGUGAUUCUGAAUGUUUACAAUAAAAAUUGUCAAAUUGAAAAAAAAAAUGAAUUUGGUGGUGACCGUUGUCUUUUAAUAUUUUUGUCAUUGAUCAACCUGUGCUUGAUAUGUCCUUAUCCGGUUGAUCUAACAUGAAAUCGACUAUACUGCUAGAUUAUUAUGGGUACAUUGUUUUCGGUGGAAAUCAUGAAACUAUAUUGACUUGCAAAACACAACAUAUUACAGUAUAAUACACAAACAGUGACUGCAUUGACAUUUGGAGUUUGUGUAAUAUGUAAUUUCCAAACACGUGUCUAGAAAAACCCACACAAUUUGGGAAAGAAUGCGGACACCUAUCAGCCAGAGAGCAAACGCCAUAUGUGAAAGGGUGUUGAACGCGAACAUCUAUGCACAUCUGGGAACACUAAACUUGAGACGGAUGACAGAAUGAGCUUAUUUCAUUUUUUUUCUCAAUAAUAGGAAUUGACCAAUUAAAGAUGGUGCUAGGAUGCCGAGGAUAGAUGUUAAUGUGUUAGCUGCUGCAGAAAAUGGUACAUAUCUUCACAGCAUGCAUUGCUAGAAGUACCCCGACCUACUCUGAUAAUGUGUUUUUAAUGCAACCUUGAGCAAGGUCACGUUUGAUCCUAGUGAUGUAGUUAAGCCAGAUUUAAAGCUCUCUCAGGUGGUAGAAGAUGUGAACAGCAUUAAGUACUUUAACACACAGAUGGGAGGUGGAGGGGAUGCACCCAUACAAAGCACCACUCUACCCUUGUAGUAAAUCGUGGUCCUGUGCAUGCAACAAAAAAUAAAUGGCUACAUAUCACAAUAAAGCAAGUGAUAUGCUUAGUUGUUUAAAAGGAUUCUCUCUCUCUCUUCUUAAUCUGAGCAGUUUAAAAAAAUUAUAUAUAUAAUAUCUUAAAUGAAUACCGCAAGAUUCACGUAGUAGUUGUUUGCAGUCUGUGAGGGGAUAUUGCUUUAAAUGUGAUAGUUGCAAUAUCUAAAAUCACUAAGACCAUAAAUAUAGAGCUUCGCCUUUUGACAUUUGUUUUAUUUUUAUUUUUUUAUCUUGGAUGGCAGGUAUCCAAUAAAACACCCACAAAAUACGAUAUACAAAAUGUAAUGUUUUUUAUUUCUUUCAUACAGCUGGCGAUUUGUUUCAAACUCUAUGGUGUUCAUAAUAACCUUUUAAGUAGAGAUUCUUAUAAAUGAUGAUUCCUGUUGAAAUACAAUCACUCUUGUUAUAUCAUAAUCACUGGGAAGAAACAAACUCAAUGGCUUGCCCUGUGGGUGGCUCAGAUUCAGAGGGCCAUUACAAGUGUGCCAUCAAAAAGGAAACCUAUACCAUUAUUAUAUCACAGUGUUCUUAGCUAUAAAUGCAGUUAGUACAUGUCAAAAUGCCAAUAAUUAUAGUAUACCAGCUAUAGAAUGAGUGAUUACUGUUCCCUUUUUGUAUUAUGGUUCCAGAAUUGUUUACAGCUCUCGACCUUUUAGAGGGUCCUUUCAAAUAAAAGUGCUUUAAUUCUACAUUGCAAUAUCAGGACACAUGUUGUCUUUUGUUCCAUUUGUAUUGGUAUGCCAUACUUUAUGGAUUACUGUUUCUGUCACCAUGUACAUUUUAUAACGCUGUUUACGUUUGUGUAACUUUUUUGAUGAAAAUCUUCACAACAUAUUUAGAACUUUAAUAUUAUUCUUUGUUCCCACCAGGAAUAGCAAGAUCUCAAGCUCUCUCUCUACGAUAGGUUAGCAGCACAACAUAACUGGGAAAAAAAGGUAAGUGUACAUUACUUAAUAUGGCAGUUUAUUUAGGAAAGAGUGACAUAGUUUAGUGUUGGCCAACUUGGUCUUCCAGGCACUUGAAUUGUGCAGAUUUUACCAGACUCCACAAAGGAUCAGCACAAAUAUCUACAUGGUGGUUUGCUGGUAUUCCUUGUUUUUUACAUUAUGACUGGCUGAGCAUUCUGGUAAAUGUAGAUCCCAAAAUGGUUAUGGAAAGGAUGGCAAUCACUGCUAUGCAACAAAAUUCAUUAUAUUAAUGAUUUGUAGUAUUGUUCAUUGAGACGUAUGUAUAUUUACCUUUCAGAUGUUUUUUUGGGGGGGGUUUUCUUGCACACAUCGUUUGAUCUUGAAAUGUAUAAUGAAUGCAAAUCUGCGCACAGUAAGGCAGGAGAAUGUCAUGGUACCCUUUUAAAAGAUUACAAGUGCUUGGAUGUUUUAGAUGGUUACAGAUAUAAACACAAAGAAAGCACAUCUGCAUUCUUCUCAUAAUGCAUCGAUCAAUAACCUCAUGGCCAAGGUGACACAGUUUCUAUGAUAGUACAGGCACAUUAACGUUGUGUCUAAAACAAAUAUACGCCGUAUUACAUUUUAUAGUAUAACACUGAAAUACAAAUGUGUAUGUGUAGAUCCUUGGUCAUCUCAACCAUUGUUCUUUAUUUAGAUUGUCAAUAUAAAGUACCUUUAGAACAUCUCAAGAAUACAGAAGCAGCAGGAUGUUAAAGGGAAAAUACUCUUAAUAUUUAUCAGAUUGUAUGUGCUAAAAAAAAAAAAAAAAAUGGAUAUUCUGGAGAUGUGCUUGGAGCAUGGUUAUUAUUAAGCUGACAUUUAAAUUAAUGUAUUGUAUUUAUAAAAAUGCUAUAAGGUAGUGAGCCUGUUUAAGCCUUGGAGUUAGAGUUUUGUAUUUCCUUAAGAGUAAUACACAGCAUCUACAUAUUGGAAUAAAAAUGUAAAAACCUGUGCAUGGCACAAAUUUUCUGAAACUCUGUUUCCACCAGUCUCCCAGAAUGCCGUACAAAAUCUGCAAAUAAGAACAGACAUAAUAACACUCACUCUUUUUAGAUUUUGACUUUUUUUGUAGGCUGUUUAUGCACUGACCUUUUUUUAAACACAUAUUCUCAGGACAGUGUAUGGGUUAGGAUUUUAAUGAACUAAAUCUAGCCAACAUUGUUUUCACGCUUUUGGGACUCGUCAGCGUGGCGCUGGUUUUGUUUCAAUGCUGGAAAUUGUCUUGACAAUAUCAAACUAUAAGUUAAGUUCUGAUGAGUUCCAAAGAAACAAUAUCUGUAUUCUUUAAAAGUGAAUUAGAGGACACACCUUUUAAACUGUUUGAUGUUAAGAUAAAUUUCAACAUAAGGCAUAAUGUUCACCUUCUAUAAAAAUAAUUUAUCCUCGAUACAUGGUAUAUACAGCACAAAAGCCUUCCAAAAAAGCCUUGGGUGAGAGCAAAACAUCAAGUCAGAUACAUUGAAAAAUACACAAAAAGAGUGCCUCUCAAUGGAAUCUUUAUUUUAAUAAGCAUCCCCGUGAUGUGGAUUAGCCGUUGCUCGGGUGUCUUCACUGUUGGUUGAGCUUAUUUAAAGAGCUUUUCUUGUCACCUUUGAACUUAAACGAUUUCUCCAGAUGUACAAAAGUGAACAAUGUAUAAAAUCUUGCUGUUUCAGCAGAACAGGAUCCAGCUGGCAGGGAACUAGACCUGCAAGUCAUUGGUUACAGCUGUGGUUCGAUUUAUGUGUUGGUUGAAAAAAUAAAUUAGCAGAUUAAAUGGCCAGAAAGAGGACUCUUUGUUUAGCUGUUCUGCAAGGACUGUGUUCUUUGCAAACUACACUCUGUAAGCAGACGUACACAGAUCUUCAAUUCUCUAUAAUGAGCUCUGAAUUAAAAUUUUUUUUAUUUUUUUCGAGAUAAAAUUAGGUAGAAUGCUGUCUUCACUAAUACGGAUAAGAUACACAGCAAGACAAAUUAAAGCUAGAAUUGUGUCAUGGCAAGAAUAUUUUGAGGUUGUUUUUUUUUUUUUUUUUUAAAUGGUUUACAGCUGCUUCAAGGUCUAUUGGUUGGCAACCGAUUGAGUAUUCUUUUGAGCCGUUUAUUGCUGUUGUAUUUUAAGAAAUAUUUGCAUGGGAAGUUCAAAUUCCCCCUUCCAUUUUGGAACACACACACCGCUAUAGAGCAGUCUUCCUUCUUUUACUACCGCAAUUCUCUUAACACGUGCUCCCGUCCUGUUGCUACCCAUUUUGAUAGAUAGGGGAGGGAGGCAGGGGAAUUUAUUAUUUUGCCUACUGUGGUGCACCAGCAGGUGCAAAAUCAGUGGCUGCAUCUGUAUCUAAUUUAUACGGUUAUACAAAAGUGGCACAUUUUCUAGACACAUUUAAUAUGCCGUUUCUGUAUGUCUGCUGUUUCAUACACAUCGAACAAUUCCUAGUGUCAGACAUAUCUUUGUGUUUAUUGAGAAACAGAGGUGAUCUACAUGUGUUUGUGUGUUGAUACAUUAAUGUAUGUCAUGUUCUUUACAAAGAGUGCAGUUUAUACUAGAACUGAUAAGCAGUUCCACAGUAAAUUGCAAUUAUUUGUACACUACUUGCCGGGAAUUCUCAUUAUUAUGCUCUGAAUUUUGCAAAGCCAACACUUAAUUAAUUUGGUUGAUUGCAAUUAUAUCCUGUCUGAAUUUAUCAGAAAAAAUACCUCUUACUUUUUCCAGAUAGCUAAAAUAUUACCCUUUACUAGCUUCGUAGUAAAUAUUUUAAAUAAACAGGCCUAUUAGCGGAUCAAGUAAAUAUUAAAAUAUAAUCAAUCUUUAUAAUAAGAAAAAAAAAAGCUAAAAACAAAACAUGGAUUCCCAUAUCCAAUUAUAACCACGAGGGGGCUUCAGAACCCCCCUUCUUUCAUGCCAGGGCUAACCGCUUGAUGAACUGAGAGAGUAAGCAAAAAAACAUCUGACCCAUUGUUCUUAAUUGUCAUGCUGUGUGAUGGGGCUAAUCAAAUAAAAGGAGGAUGCCUUCAAACAAGAGAAGUAAACUAAUAUGGUGACCUGCACACUACUCCAUGAUAUAGAGCACUCCUCUACCAAAGUUUUUGCCAUAUCUGUCCUUCAAAGAUUUGGAUAUUGAUAUAUUUAGGAUCCAUAUUAACCAGGAGUUAUUAAUUUAACAAACAUGUGAGGUUUACUGUAAAUGUAAAUAAUUGGAGGCAAUUGUGUCAAGUGAUAUGAUACUCUUGGUUUAUGUAUCAAGGUGCGGUUUUAUGGGCAUAGAUCUAAACAAAAUGUAGCAAUCUCUCAGGUCUCCACAACUGUCCACAUCUAUGCAGUGAGGUACCGUAGCUGCUAACACCCGUGCAUUGUUUUAGCACAGCUAUAGUAAAAAAAAAAAAUACCAAUGAUUUCUCUUCCCCUUGGUCACAACAUCAGACAAAUCCCUAAAAACAAGACUCAUAAUUCAGCUGUCGGUAGAUUUGGGGACAUACUAGCAAUGAUAAUAAAGUAAUUUAUACUUAAGUGACAGUUGAAACUGCACUAGAACUACAUUAAGACACUAGUGAUUAACCCUAAUCAGGGCUGGUGCAAGGAUGUUUGGGUACAGAGGCGACAAUGCAUUUUCCAACGCCCACACUCCCCCCCCAAAAAAAAACAUUUCACCUGUGUGCCUCUUAUCCUUCCUUUUAUGUUUUUUAUCCCCUCUUUUAAAUUUCUUACCCCCUUAGUGCAUCUUAUCUCCUAUUUUUUCCCAUUGUGUGUCUUACACCUCGCUUGUGUAUCUCUUACAUCCCCCUUGUGUGUCUCUUAUCUCCCCUAUUUUUAUGACUUUUACAUCCUCCCACAAUGUGUCUGUAUCCUCCCAGCCCCUUUGUGUAUUUUACUCUUCCAGCUCCUUUGCAUGUGUCUCUUUCACCCCAGCCCAUCUGUCUCCCCCCCAGCCCCUCCGUAUGUCUUUCUCCUCUUCUGAAGCCCCGAUAUGUGUUUCUUUCACAUCCAGCUCCUCUCCCCUUCCUGUCCCUUACUGGUUUCCUCCCUUCUCUGUCCCUAAGUGUUCCUCUCCCCUCCUUUCCCUGUCCUUUAGGAUUUCUCACCCUCCCUACCCUGUCCCUUGGUGCAACCCCCUCCCCCUUAGUGGUCCCCUCCCCUUCCGAGUGUGCCUCUUGUAGCGCGACCGAGCAGACUUUCUGUUAGUCCGGCCGGGUACAGGAAACAGAAGCUCCUGUACCGCGGUCCUCUCCGCUCGACCAUGCUACACUCAGUGGUGUAAACACACUGACAGUUACACACAGUCAAUGACAAACACACAGACUCACUGAUCUGACACACACUCAUUCAUUGACGGACACUCACAAACACACAUUGACAGACACACUCAUACAGACACACUCAAUUAUUAAUAUUAUAAUUAAAAAUAUUCCACCCAGCCUCCCUACAUGGAGAUCUUGCAUGGGUAUGUCAUUAAGGGUCCAAUGGGGCUGCUGUGAGGCGUGCAGCUGUAUUGGCAUCCGAGGCCGCGAGGGAUCUCUAAAGAUAUGAAAUACUGAUCAAGACUACGUUGGAAUUUCAAUAAAAAUGAAUGUAGAGACUUUGUCUUAUGGGCAAGCCUGAGGUAGACAAUAUAUGACAAAAGGAGGAGCUUACAUCCCAACAGCCAUCACAAGACAUGGCUGUGUAAAGGAAAGGGAGGACCAUGUGUAAGUGGGUUCUCCUGCUCUCCACUAUCUCACAGUCAUUAUAGACCUCGGUGUCUCAGAGAAUGAAUGAAAACCUGUACAUGGGGAUACUGUUUUACUCCGUAGACUUCGCUGAACACAAAUAUUAGUGUUUCAAAACUGUAAAACAUAUGCCAGCGAUGAUAUUGUCAAAGUGAUAUAUUUUAUGCAUUUUUCACACACAAACGGCACUUUCACUGAUGAUAUCAUUGUUGUGAUAUGUUUUACUGUUUUGAAACACUAAUAUUUGUAUUCAGCGAAGUCUCCCGAGUAUAACAGUACCCCCCAUGUACAGGUAUUAUAGGGUUUUUGAAAGUCCCAGGACAUACCUGAAAAUGAGAGAAAUCUCAAUGUAUCUUUCCUGGUAAAAUAUUUUAUAAAUAAAUAUAAGGCUUGAUUUUCAGUUUUUUCACAUUGAAAUUUGCCAGAUUGGUUAUGUUGCCUUUGAGAGUGUAUGGUAGCCCAGGAGUGAGAAUUCCCCCCAUGAUGGCAUACCAUUUGCAAAAGAAGACAACACAAGGUAUAGCAAAUGGGGUAUGUCCAGUCUUUUUUAGUAGCCACUGAGUCACAAACACUGGCCAAAGUUAGUGUCCAUAAUUGUUUUUUGCAUUUUUAACACACAAACAAAUAUUAAUGCUAACUUUGACCAGUGUUUGUGACUAAGUGGCUACUAAAAAAGACUGGACAUACCCCAUAUUGAAUACCCUGGGUUGUCUACUUUAAAAAUUAUGUACAUGUGAGGUGUAAUUCAGAGAUUUAUGACAGAUAACAGUGUUACAAUGUCACUAUUGAUAAACUUUAAAAAUGUAUAUUUUGAAACCGCAAUGUCCUACCUGUACUUAUAGCCCUAUAAUUUUCCCAAAAAAGCUAAGAACAUGGUUAACAUCGGGUAUUUCUAAACUCAAGACAAAAUUUUGAAACUAUUUAGCACACGUUUUUUGGCGGUUGUUGAUGCGUAACAGACUUUGGGGGUCAAAGUUAGAAAAAGUGGGAUUAAAAAUAAAUAAAUAUCAUAUUUUAUAAUUUUAUUUAUAGUAAAUUAUAAGAUAUGAUUAAAAUAAUGGUAUCUUUAGAAAGCACAUUUAAUUGCGAGAAAAACAGUAUAUAAUAUGUGUGGGUACCAGGGCCGGACUGGGAAAAAAAUUCGGCCCGGGCAUUUUUUUAUCACAGCGGCCCACUAAGAAGGGGGCAGGGCAGAGAAGGUGUGUUUUGUCAUCACUCAUGACAAACACGCCCCCUCUCAAAGUGAGCAUGUUGGUUCAAUGCUCUCCCAGGGUAGACCAUGCGCAGAGCUCUGCUGAAGAGCUCUAGCAUGAGAAAAAAGCCCUGUAUUUGUUCUGCACAGUGCAAGCAAAUUUAAUAACAUGCUUGCACUUUUUCCUUGCAACUUGUCUCUGGUGUCUCUAUAAAUGGAUACCAGGAGACAAAAGGGCCAGGAAAGAGUAUUGUGCAUGUGUUUGGAGCCUGCUUGGGGUAUUGCGUGUGUGCAGAGUGAGCUGGUCGUGGUGUGGUAUUGUGUAAUAAGGUUGGUUUUAGUCGUGUUGUGUUUGUGGUGUAAUGUAAUGCAUAUAUGGCUAGGGGCUUUAGAGAAUGUGUGUUUAGGGGAUGUAGCAAGUGUGUAUAUACAGGCUAUAGUGUGUGUGUGUGUACAUGAUGUAGUGUUUGUAGAGUGUGUGUGUUCAGGGAAUGUAGUAUGUGUUUGCUUACAAGGAAUCUAGUGUGCGUAUAGGGGAUCGAGAGUGUGUGUGUUUGAAGGACCCAGAAUAUGUAUAGGAGAUCUAGUGAGCGUGCGUAUAUAAUGGAUUCAGAGUGUAUAUAGGGAUCUAGUGUGUGUAUGUGUGUAGAUGAUCCAGAGUUGGGUAGAGGAUCUAGUGUGUGUCUGGAAUGAAAUGUGUUUAGGGGUGCUGUGUGUGUGUGUGUGUGAGGAGUGCUGUGUGUAUAUUUAUAUGUGUAUAUAUAUUAUAUAAAUAUGUUUGGAAGUAUUGUGUAUGUGUGUGAUGCAGUGUAUCGGGGGGUUGUGUGUGUAUGUGAGGGGUGCAGUAUGUGUGUGUGAUGGAUCCUGUGUGUGAGGUGUGGGUGCUGUGUGAGGGUGCUGUAUGUGUGGGUGCUGUAUGUGAUUGAUUUGUGUGAGGGUGCUGUGUGUGUGGGUGCUGUGUAUGAUGUGUGUGAGAGUGUUGUGAGUGCUGAGUGUGAGUGCUGAGUGUUAUGUGUUUGAGAGUGAUGUGUGAGAGUGCUGAGUGCUGUAUGUGAGAGUGUUGUGUGUGAUAGUGCUGUGUAUGUGUGUGAUAGUGCUGUGUAUGUGUGUGAGAGUGCCGAGUGUGAUGUGUGUGAGAGUGCUGAGUGUGAGAGUGCUGUGUAUGAUGUGUGUGAGUGUGCUGUGUAUGAUGUGUGUGAGAGUGCUGAGUGUGAUGAGUGUGAGAGUGCAGAGUGUGAUGUGUGUGAGAGUGCUGUGUAUGAUGUGUGUGAGAGUGCUGUGUAUGAUGUGUGUGAGAGUGCUGAGUGUGAUGAGUGUGAGAGUGCUGUGUAUGAUGUGUGUGAGAGUGCUGUGUAUGAUGUGUGUGAGAGUGCUGUGUAUAAUGUGUGUGAGAGUGCUGUGUAUGAUGUAUGUGAGAGUGCUGUGUAUGAUGUGUGUGAGAGUGCUGUGUAUGAUGUGUGUGAGAGUGCUGUGUAUGAUGUGUGUGAGAGUGCAGAGUGUGAUGUGUGAGAGUGCUGUGUAUAAAUGUGUGUGUUGGGGGGGGUAAAUAAACAAAUAAAAAGCUAUGGGGGGGGUAAAUAAAGAAAUAAAAAAAAUAAAAAACUAAGUAGGCAUUAAAUCCCCCCUCCCUCUUACCUUUAGCCUGGGAGGGGGGGACAGGCACGUGGUAGCUGGGAGGAGGGGGACCGGCACGGUGACAUCAUCCCUGGUGGUCCAGUGGUGAGUGAACUCUCGCGAGAUCGGGGCGUUGCCAUGGCAACGCGCCGGAUCUCGCAAGAGGAACCGGGCGGAGCUACAACAUAGAGCUCCGCCGGGUCCUCUCCCUCCCUCCCCAGCCGCAGGUCUAUUGAAAUGGGCCGGUGAGGGAGAUCUUUGAUCUCCCCACCGGCCCUCGGAUAGCGCCGGUCCUGCAUAGACCGGCAGGGGAGAUUCUGGGACCUCCCCUGCCGGCCUCGGCCCAUGGCCACCGCGGCCCACCGGGCAUUUGCCCGGUGUGCCCGAUGGCCAGUCCGGGCCUGGUGGGUACAGUAAAUGAGUAAAAGGAAAAUUACAGCUAAACACAAACACCGCAGAAAUUUUAAAACAGCCCUGGUCCCAAACGGUAAGAAAAUUCAAAAGCGGUCAUAGGCGUUUGCAGCCUAUUGCAUAAGGGUGUGCACCCUAAAGCACAAACACACAUGCCACGUGUAUGUAUGUAUAUAAAUAUAUAUACACACACACACACUGCUGUGUGUGAGAGUGAGGGUGCUGUGGGUGUGUGUGAUGGCGCUGUCCUCUCCUGCCUCCCUCCUGCCUGUGGGCCCGUGAGGGAGUUAUUUGAUCUUCCUCACCGGCCCAUGGAAGCACAUGGCGCAGGUACACCCGGCGCACCCCGUGCGCACACCUACGAAAGCGGUCACGAAGGGAUUAAAAUCAACCUAGCUCGAUUGCCAGGAGGGAGCCGGGGGGGGGGGUGUCUCUGGCUCCCCCUUUCCUUUACCACAAUCCAGUAACAAGACAGGGAUUGAAUUAAACAGGGAGCUAUGCAAAUGUGUACCUCCCGCAACAAUCUCAGACAGACGGAGACAUAGAUACACUUUGCAAUUAAAGAUUUGUGAGAAUCAUACUCCUGUUCUACAGGUAGAAUUUGCAACUACCACCAUUAAUAUAGCCAUACUGUAGAUCAUUAUAUACCAGGAGAGCAGAUCCUCAGCUCCUCACCCACCACAUCAUUAUUGGAAAAAUAACCUCUGCUACCUAGGAGUAAAAUUCUUACUAAUCUCACGUAGACCAGCCCUAUGAAUUAGGGACCUUUAAUAUUUGGAGCUGUGUGAGAUUGGAAAACAUGCACUUAAAAAUCAUAUGAAUCUAUUUAUUUCAUGGCUCACUAAUUUCAUAUAUAAAAGCUGUAAAAAAAAAAAUAUAAAAAAAUAAAUAAAAACCCAUUCAUAUAAAGAAAAAAAAUAUGUAAUGGAGUCUUUGAAAUACCACCAUAGGAUAUAGCCAAUACUGCUCUGCUAAUUAAGUUAUUAAUUUUCUAGGAACAGAACGGAUGUUGCUAGAUGAGAUUGAUUUCAGAAAAAGUACAUUAUUAAGUGAAAACAGAUUUAAGAAUGCUGUAAUUAGCAUGAAAAGGCAAGUUCACUGUAGGAAGAAUCUUUAUUAUUAUACAGCAAUCUUUUCCCUAAAAAGGCAUAUUUUAAUUUUCAGAAAACUUCAGAUAACUUAUGAUUCUGCAACAGCUGCCUUGAGAACUUGCAUCUGGUAUUUUCCUGCUAAAGCUGGGUACUUUUGGUUCUGUUGACUUCAUAUAUGUCUGAAAUUGAUGUAGGGUUUGACCUGUUCAUUUUCCUUUAUCAUACCUAUAAUUGUAUUCUAGAUUGUGAUUAAGGCAUUGGGAUAAAAUAGUAGGGUACAUGCACACUAGUACAGGACAGUAAAGCUGGUGUAGACAAGGAGAUGAGGUUGGCAACAUUGUAGCUGACAGGCAAACGGCUCAGUUCUUUAUUUAAAGGCACCAACAUAUUCUGCAGUGUUGUACAAUGGGUAAUUACAUAGACAUGUAAGAUAAUGGGGUUUAUCUAGUAUACAUCACAUUGAAGUGUGAUGUAUACUAGAUUGCGCCAUUACAGUCCAUAAUGAAUGCGGGGCCGAGGCUCAUCUUCCUGUCCACCCGCACCUCCCAUGCCUCACCCUUCUGUCAGUCCCUACAUUGGCUUCCUAUAAGAUAUAGAGCUCAAUUUAAAAUUCUGGUUCUUGCUUUCAAAUCUCUUCAUAAUGCUGCUCCCACCUAUCUGUCCUCCCUUAUACACAAGUAUGUCCCGUCUAGGCCCUUACGAUCUGCUGAAUACUUACGUCUAUCUUCUGUCCGUACUCCCACCUCUGAUGCUCGCCUUCAAGAUUUCUCGAGGGCUGCACCGUUCCUGUGGAACUCGCUUCCCUCCUCCGUUAGAAGCUCACCUAGUCGCCACUCCUUCAAAAAAUCGUUAAACGCACUUCUUCAUAAAAGCGUAUCAAUUAAACUAUUAAUACCUCCUGACUGAUUCCUCUUCUGCAACUGUCACUAGUCUAAUACCAUCCUUACCUUUUUGUGUAAUUUUACCCUACUCCCUCUAGCAUGUAAGCUCAUUGAGCAGGGCCCUCAACCUCUCUGUUCGUGUGUGUCUAACUUGUCUGGUUACAACUACAUGUCUGUUCUUCCACCCAUUGUAAAGUGCUGCGGAAUUUGAUGGCGCUAUAUAAAUAACAUAAUAAUAGUGAAUUGAAGACAGAAUUGUAAAAUAGCCAAGCGGAUUUGGUGAAUACAAUUUUGCAGGAAAAAGUUUUAAACCUGCUCUGAGCCAGAAGUUCAAGACAGCUGCAAUAGCCAUAGUCCACCUUUAUUGUCUAUGGGACAUGUGUAAAGGUCAUCAGAAAAGUCCUCAUAUCUUGGUCUAUGUGCCCGGGAUAUGUGUUCUGAAAGACUAAACACCUUCUCGACCAGUACCAAAAUGUUUCCACUCAAGCAUUGAGAAUGGGGAAUAGAUGGGUGUUCUAUGAUGGCCCCAAACUCCAGAUCAUAAGAUCACGUACUGCCUUGAGUCAACAAUGAGGUAUAUAUUGUUGGGUUAUCACGGAUGUAUCAGGUGUCCCUUACAUCUGUGAGUAGGACAUCUGCAGCUACAUUGCUUUUACCUUUCUAUGUCUCAUCUCACUCCCUUAAAUGACUUUACAUGCUACACUGCUUUCACAAGAAAGGACAUCGUAGGUAACAGUAUUAGAAGAUCUCAAGAAAUGUGGUCUUUACUAGUAAUGAUUACUGACCAUAACAAAACAAGGGCGUGAUAACACUUAUCUCAACUCUUUAUCGCCUUAACAAAGUGGGCCUUUUUAAAGUGUUCAACAGCUGCUGUUCAUUGUAAAAAUAUAUUACUCCUGUGGUUGAAAUAAUGAGUGGGUUACUUUUUUAUUUAAUGUUCCUUUGUUGAGCCAAUCCAUAUGGAACAGAAAGAAAAUCUUAGUCGCUAAAGUGGGAUUCCAUGCUUUCCAUGUCAUAUCAGGUCAUUUCAUUAUUGUAUAUUCACACAGGCACAAAAAGUUUUAUAUAAAAAAGUUAGAACGCUGAACCCAGUUUCAAAUAAAGGAAUUAGAAUCUAAAGUUCACAGAUUAAUAACCCAAACAAGGAGAUGAUAAAAGUAAAUAAAAUUCCUUUAGCUUGACUUCACCACCUAGAGAAGCAUAUAAAAAACAUGUAAAAAAAACACACAAAAAACCUAUAUAUAAAAGCAAUAUUAAUGUACUUUAUUAGAUACUACUUCGAUGUGCGUUAAUAACAAAAUCAUUGCUACUUCUGCAGUUAGUCUAUUGACCUUAUAUGAUAAAAUAUAAAUGUCUUGUAGCUCUCAUUCAGUGUUCCUAACUCAACACCAGAUAGCUAGGCAACCGUGCUUAGAAGAAAACAGCAUUUUGUACAUCUAUGAUGCAGUAACUUAUAUCAAAUCAGAUUAAUGGUCGUAGGGAAGAGACUCCCCUAGAUCUGAAGUACUGAUCGGAAUGGUUUUCCUAUUACCAUUGUUAUGCUGUCAUUUCAUUGUUUUUCCACUAGAGGGAGCUCACAAUUACAAAUGUACACACACACAGAGACACAAAAACACACACACUAACUAAAGCACACGUUGAGCUAUUUUCAAUUUCCUGCAAUUGUUGGCUAUAAUAUAUCCAAAUUUGCUAUGGACUAUUCAAUGAACUCCGAGUAGGAGUGAGCUGAAAUUCAACUGACAAAAUGCAGGCUAAAAUAGUAGAUUUUCGUACUUUGAAAUCACCUUUAUUUUAGUCUAAACUUUAUUGAAAUUCAGUUAGCUACAGUUCAGAAUUUGGCAAAUUAGCUCCUUUGAAUCAGGUGCUUGCUUUUGAUUCAAGCUGUUCCUUUGGUGGCAUAGGAAGUCGAGCACAAAACGGUCUAAUUUAGACUGUUUAGUGGGUGGCUUAUAGUCAUAAGAUUACAAAUCUUACCUGAUUAUCAGAGUAAAAUGAAACGUUGUAAAUCCAAGAUAACUUAAUGGAGCAUAUUUUUACAGCAAAAGCCAUAGAGUUGAAAAUUAUAUGUUGAGACUCAAAUGACUGCUCAGAUUGUUCUCAGAUUGACAGAGCACAAACUGGAGAUGCCCUGACUCUUAAUUUGUCAAUCUUGUUAACGAUGGGGUUCAUUUAUUAACAAACGGUAAAUUGUGGUGAACUGUAAAACGAGUUGUGUCCAAAUAGUUGGGUUGUUAAAAUAUCAACGGCAGCCAUUUUCUAGUUCAGCUCGUUGAGUCAUGUUUUUGCAAUAUAGGUUUCAGUUCACCACAAUUUCACUGUUUUAGUGAAAAAGAUAUAUAAUUAUAAUUAUUAAUGUGUUUAAAAUAUUAACAGGAUAAUUCAUUAAAUACCACAUUUUCAGUGAAAUUGGCCUAAUUCCAAUCAGAAUGGCAAUUCUCAUAUGUACUAAAGGUAAUUCUGGAAUUCGGAAUUAAGUCAACCCAACCAAAUCUGCACCAUUUAGCCAGAUGCAUACGGUGUCCAGACCUUUUUUGCAUUUGAACUCUAUACAAAUCAUAGGAUGCACAAUAUUUUACAACACGUCGGUUUUUUGAAUUCCAGCAAAUUAUUAUUAUUCACUUACUUUUUGCAAUAAUUUGAAGUAUGAUUUUCCUGCUGAUGGCACUAGCAACCAGCUGACAAAAAGUUAAAUGACAGUCCGCAGUAUGAGGGUUAACCAUGUAUCUGCCUACCAGGCUAGCCAGCCUCCAUGUUAAAGUAAAGUAAAAUUACAAAAAAAAAUGUAAAUAAAUAAAUAUAUAUAUAUAUAUAUAUAUAUAUAUAUUUCUCUGGGGUCAAUAUGACUAUUACUACAAAGGAUGUUGUAGACCCCUUUUAGUGCACCCACCUGCUGCAUAGGCAUAUCUACUAAAUAGUGAACAAUCAGAAGCUGAUCAUAAAAAAAAAUGAAAAAAAUUAAAAAGCAACUGGGCAGCCAUUGCUGAACACAGUAUCGAUGUGGUAUAUGUAGAGAUAAAUAUUGACUUACAGAGAAUUUUCGAAACGUCCAAUACUGUGAGGAUUAACAUCUAAAUGAGUGGUUCCAUAGACCUCUCGAUGGUUGGUUUGAUUUAGAGGGCAAUCAAUUAGCUAAUAAUUCUGAAGAUUUUUUGUCAGACCAUAGGUUCCACAUGACCUACAAUAAAGAGAGCUUUGCAUGUUUAUCGGCAUCCUCUCGUUUUCCACCCCACUGAGAUCAUUGCCUGAGAUCUUCUCCAAGGAAGACCAAGUUAUGAAGGGCAUAGGGCUACACAUAGAAAGGGUGUGGCCCUCUGGAAAAAAGACCAACAAUACCCCAAAACUGGGUGUACACCUUAAUUUAUUCAAUAGAGGUGUCCAGAAAUCCCCAAAAUAGCAAGAGUUAAAUAUCACAAUUCCUAGCUGAAGAAUAUGAGCUUGAGCUUGGCUUGGUUCAUUUAUACAUACUUUUCACCUUGCUGUUUGAAUGAAGCAUUGGUAACUAAUAAAUUUUUUCAAUGAACACAACACAAAAAAUACAAAAAUGCAUUUAACAAACAAAAAGAAGUGGUGACUGCAACAUUGACCAUUGAGUUGUUAUUGCAUUACAGUUCCCAAUUUUUUUGUUACAGCUUAGCAGACAAUUACAGGAAAUGUAGUUCAACGAUGAUCCUCAUCGUGUAACAUGAAAUUCCCUUUCUUAUAUAUGUGUUUAUAAAUAAGAAAUCGAUGAUACCAAAUGGUAACUAAUCUUAGAAUUUCAAUAUAAGACCAUGGUCUCUACAAAGGAUCUCUAUGGAUCGAGAGGAUUUUCAUCCAUAUCAAAAUUGUUUCUCCGAUCAAGCUAUACCCCUUAACCCUUGAAAAUAUCUGCUUUAUUGAUUGCGUAAACAUGAAGAAUUUUGGGUAACAAUAUGGAACUUAGUUAAAGCAGAAAAAUAAAUAAUUUUAGAAGUUCAGCACAACUAGCCCCUGGUAGACUCAACAAAAAUAACUGAAAUAAACUGCAUCAUGCAUUUUUCCAGAGUUUGUUUUCAAUCUAUAUUUGGAACAUUGCAAAACAUAUUUCCAAAAAUAGCUUCAUGAGGGGAAGAGAAUGUGUUUUGUGGCCAAACAGAUUAUGAGCAAUUUAUACCUAAGCCCUUAGCUCUGUGUAUCCAGCGGAAGGCAAAAUAACUAUGCAAAUCCCGCAAUGGUGCAAGAGAUGACUGAAAUUCUAGUACAGGAAAUUGAAACCUCAGCCACAGCCUGGCAUAGCUUCUUUUGAAAUAAACUUUUUUUCCACUUACCUUGAAUAUAUUUUUAGCAUAUUAUAUGUAAUAAACAGAAAAACAUUCUGAAGAUCAUUGAAUGAAAGCUCUGAAAAUAGGUUUGCUAGUCUUGUAAUGAUCGUGCAUACAUAUGUCACCUCUAUAUUGUAUUUUGUACACAAUAGUUCACUUAGAGGGAGGUGGAAUUUAAAAAAAAUAAAAAAAAAAUAAAUAGAGCCUAUUUCUAUAUAUAGAAAAUGCAUGUAUUCAAAUUCCACAGUGCUUAACCACUUCACUCUCAAUCUCCCCCCCUCAUAAUUUCUGAUACACAUAUGUUUUAGUUCGGACAAAGUACAUGCCCUAACCAUGAAAAUUCUCCUUUAUAUCCACAAACGCACCUCUGCAAAGACUGACUGGCCUUCACAGAGGCCUGAUAACAAAGGUGUUUGAGAGAAUUUGAUUUGGAAUCUAGAAUUCUGGAUAAAAUAAAAGGUGUCAGUGGGCAGCUCCUAUUGGCUCAGGCAGCACUUUCACUCAUUUUUAUCGCCACUCAUAUUCCUGACACAUUUAUGGUCAACUGACCUCUUUUUGGCUGUCCAUCUUUUUUUAGGCUGGGGUUGCCUCCAGUUGCCCUGGACAAUCCUUAUGUUGCCCAGUGGAAACAGGAAAGUCCCAUGGCAAUAAGAGAUACAAUGUCCAAGUUAUGACAAAAUAAAAAACUGUUUUUGGUUUAGUGAUUUAUUCAGUUAGUUAAAGGGACACUAUAGUCACCUGAACAACUUCAGCUUAAUGGGGUUGUUCAGGUGAGAACAUCUCCAGUGACAGUCACUCAGACGGCAACCAGGACGACUUCCGAGUUAAGUGCUGCCUAAUUUGCAUUCAUCAUGUUUAGUAACCUGGAGCCUGUCCGCAAUCAGAGCCGACCGUGUGGGAGAUAAUGAUCUCCUGCACACAGCGUCGGCUCGGGCUGACAGGCUGAAGGCAGGAGACCGAUCAAGAGGAUGCAGAGAUAUACUGACUUCAAACCGUAAGUACACUUAUUUUAAAAAUGUGUGAGUGAUAGAUAGAUGAUAGAGUGUGUGUGUGUAUGUUUAACAAUAUUCACAAAGUGUGUGUUUGUAUACAAACACUAUUUAUAGAGAUCUAUAUAGUGUGUUUGCAUACAAACUUUUGGCUUAGGAGGGCUGCGGUAGGAGGGGGCAGGCAUAAACAGCGAGCAGAGCUGUCAGUCAGCUCAGCUUGGAAACGUGCAUACUGUGUACAUGCGCGGUAGAGCGUUAAGUGUUCAUUCAUAGGAUGGUAUUCAAUGCCACUUUAUGAAGAACGUGAUUGGUGCAGCGCAAAACCACGCAGGCGCACCAGAUCGCUAUGACACUUCUCCAAGAGAAGCGUCUAAGCCCUGCUAUUUCCUCAUUUUGAUGGAAAAGGAGGCGUGGCCUGCCGAGGAGCUCGGCGCUGGAACGGAGGUAAGUUUUAGCUAUAAUAAGGACUCAAAUUUUUUUAUUUUUUUUAAGGGGAAAUUAAUACAAAAACAAGAAAGAAGGCUAGUGGACCUGUCUUUCUUGCUUUUAUAUGUUGACUUUAGUGCUCCUUUAAUAUUACAUAUAUUAUUAUUAUAUUUAUAUAGCGCCAGCAAACUCUGUAGCGCUGUACAGUGGGUGGACUGACACGUAAUUGUAACCAGACAAAUGGACGCACAAGAACAGAGGGGUUGAGAGCUUACAUUCUAGAGGUAUAGUGACACAAAGGGUAUUAAGUAGGGGUAAGGAAAUAGGUUGUUAGAAAAGUAUUCAAUGAGAACUUAGUAGGUUAUUUUUGACAGUUGCAGGAGACUCACCGUACCAGAGAAAGUUGUUUGCCACUCUGUGUGUCAAAAUGCCAAAAGUUACCUUUUACUUCGUAAUAAUAAUUUCUAGGCACUUUGCGGGUUUUUUUUUUUUUUUUUUAAUGGCAGUCAAGCAAAGCUCAUGUUUGAAACAUCUGUGUGACAUGAGGGUCAUGGGUUCAAAUCUCAGUGGGGCAUACUCGAUCUUUCAUGCGUUGGAGGUAAACAGCUUGAUUACCAAUUAUAAUUAGAUCAUAAUAUGAAUGAUGCAGUAAUUGCUUGUUUAAUGUGCUUUACUUUAAGGAUGAAAAGAAUACAAUAAUUAUUGUCUGGACAGACUUCCUGACAUUGAUGUUGCCGGCUUGCACUGGAAAACAUUCUGUGAUAGAAUAUCUGUUACAUUGGAAGCAGAGGCAUUUUAAUGGCGUAAUUUCAAGCAAGGAAAAUUGGCUAAAGUGUAUUUGUUUAUGCAAAGUGAUUCAAAAGAUUUGGUAUAUAUAAGAAUGACAAGCAGAUUUAUUUGUUUUAACUUUUCCUCAACUCAAAUAUUAGUUUUUAAACUACUGAUUUAUCCUACGUUCCCAAUGCAGCUGCAUAAAAAUGGCCAAUGUGCCAGAUGAAUGUGGGUAAUUUACGACAUUUAGAAUGAGGUAAAGAACGUGCGCUAUAUUCUAUAUAGUGUUGAAAUGUGAUAGUUGCAUAUGUCUAAACUAUUGUUUUUUGUUUUGAUUUUCUUGGUUAUUGGGGGUGAAGAGCUUCUAUAUAAUUGUAUGGGUUAGUAGAAAUAAGAGUCUUAGUUACUAAACACUAUUUGAUUGUCAUGACUGUUGUGGCCUAAAUCUUAUAAUUUUGUCAACAGUUCCCAGUGCAAGGAAUCAACCCUUUGUCUUGUAUAACAUAGGGCUUUAUUUACGGAUUGUCCACCGAAUUGCAAAAUAUGAGCCAUAAUAACUGUAAUUUAAGAUUACUAGGAUCUUUAUUGUGAGAGAGGAAGUGUGUAAAAACCAUCUUUUAUCUUCACACUUCUUCUCUCACCCAUAAAGAUCCUAGUAAUCUUACAUUUACAGGAAUUGCUAAACUCACCCAACACUGGAGAGGUGGAGAUGAUAUUAUUAAAAUACUUUGCCAAAAGGAAAUGGAAUGGGUUUACUAUUUAGACACCCUCCAUCCCAAUGGACUUAAUGCCUAUUUCAAUUUGUUCAACUUUUUGUAAAGCUUAUCUUAAUUAUGUUUUGGUAUGCACCUUUUAAUUCUUUACACCAGAAUAUAAUUAUUCUUAGGUGGGGAUAAUACCACCAACACUCUCCAUACCAGAGCAGGGCAUUGCUCUGUAUAUUGUAAGUAGGAUAUCACUUAUCUUGUGUAUAGAUAUACUACACCAUAAGACAUCUCUCUGCUUUUUUUUAUCCAUUUAUAUUGGAUGACAAGUACAACAGAGCUACAUACAUCCAUAGACGGGGAUUGUACCGUAUAUAUUUUAAUUACUGUGACAUAUUGCACUAUUUUGUUGUCCUUUUUCUUUUUUGAGGUUACUAAAAACCAAAAAAUACCAGCGCACAUCGAUCCGAUGUAUAUAUGUCUCGCUUCGAAAAAUGAGAUGAAUGAGUUAAAAUCAAUGACACAAAAAUGUAUAUCAAAUAAAAACACAGAUAAAAAGUAACUCCACUUCAUAUAACCUCAGGUAAAAAAAAUAGUUGGAUAUGUCAACAUGAACAUUUGUUUCAUUUUUAUUGUUCGUACUAGUCUAAAAGUAAUAGUAUUUAGUGUAAAAGUAGUAGUACUAGUUUCAAAGUAUAGUAAAAGUACUAGUAUAAAAGUAUAUUUCUAAAAAGCUUUUCAAUUUAUGAUGUACAAACAAAGUGAAGAACCUCAUUAUCAUACUAGUUGUAACAAAUAUUUAGAAAGUUAUAUUUAUGUACCCUUGCACCUGUCCAGUGCCAAGUAUGCUAAUCAAAUCACUAAGCUCCCUACAUCUGUAUUUGAAGUAUUUUACUAGAUUUUAAAAUGUUAUUUUUCAUUGCCUAAAAACCGGAUUUAUAUGUAUUUUUUAAAUUUUGUUAAGGUUUACCAGCAAACUUCUUUUUAAUGCACACAUAGUGGCUGUUUAACUAGAGCCCAUCGUCUGCAUUUUUAUUUCCUUCAUUGAAAAGUUACUCUACCGUGUUAUUUAAUAGCUCUAGCAUCUGUGCCAUGUGAUUUACUAACUGUGAAGAACUAUUAUAUCUAUAAAAACUAUAUCUGAAAAAAAAAAACUACUGUAGCUGAACUCCUUCAGCUCAGUAUUAAAAGUGUGACCGUGGCACCCCUGUUGUGUACAGGUCUGGUGAGUUGCCCUACCUAUUACAUGUACAAAUGGAUGGGGAGAGUAAAAUAUCAAAGGUUACGGUGAACACUCAACACCUUUCUUCUCCCUUACUGAUGGGGUGGAAGGUAAUAGAUGAGCAGAACUGGGGUCUCCCAAGCCCCCUAACACAAUAAUAACCUCACCAUGUGUUACCCAUUACCCUGUUUCUCAUAUGUAAUAUGACCACAUGACAUGAUCAUAUAGUGGUAAUCUCGUAGACCUAAUAAUAUUAAUAUUAUUAAAACACUACCAUUAAUAGGACUACGGGAAUACCCAGGAUCCAGGUCUUAAAUAGUUCAAAAUAACACCACAAUUCCCAAUUUCUAGAGAUCCAAAGCUCUUAUCCUGACAGAACUGUAUUAAAACAAAAAAAAGCCCCUACAUAUCUAUCCAAGUUCUGUUACUGGGCUUAUUGUCUUUAAAAUAAUUUAAAUUUAAAUAUAUUUUGUAUAUAUGUCACUGUCAUAUUUACGAUAGAAUCAUGCUCUUUGCUUUACCAUCAGCUGCAUAUCCUUGAUCCAUUGUACGUGUAAUACAGAUGUAUGAACAGUUAUAAAUUAUUAAAGAGUGCAAAAAUGAUCAUUAAGAAACAAAAUGAGGGGGGGGAAAAGAAACGUGAUAAAAAUAUUCAUGGCUCUCCAGUUCAUUAGUUUUUCAAACAGUGAGUACCUUGGACCGAAAAGCUAGCUCAACAAGGCAAUUUCUAUACAGUGUCUAAAAGGCUGGAUCAACCUGACAAUUUUCUGCACCAAGACUCAAAGGGUGAUUCAUCAUGGCAAGCAAAAAACGGGUCGCAAGAGUAUUCUGAGAACGGACAGCAGCUAGAAUAGCCUGCCCUUCGGUGGGUCCCCGCUCAGAACUCAAGCUGGUUUUAGCUCAUCUUGUGCCAUUACAGAGAGAACAUAUCUGAAGCAUAUCAGACUGGUCCCACCCAUACGGGCAGUCCAGAUCCGAAAUGAAUCUUGAAAACUUUUAUUGAAGACUUAUAGGGAAGCACAGUGCUAAAUUGAUUUUUAGUGGAGGCAUGUAAUUGGCCAAAGAGUGGACAGAAAGCUGGCUAGGGUAAUUCCUUACAGACUUGAAAUAUCUUGGAUGAAAAACUAGAUCAAAUGAUGAAUUUUGUUGGUGGUAUAUGACUUCUGUCUUGACUUGCUUUUGAUGUUGUGUUUUUUUUGUUUUGUUUUGUUUUUUAAAUUGUGGCAAAACAAAAAUCCAGACCGUCUUGUCCAAUAGCUGGUGGAUUAAAAAUAAAUAGUUGUCAGAAACUUUUGCUGUUCGAUCAACCUGGCAACUUUCUAUAACCUGUCUGAAGGGCUGGAUUUGCUUGGAAACUUUAUGUAUCUGGAGUAAAAAGACUCCAUCAACCUGGUAACCAGCUACAUUCUGUCUGAAAGGUUCGCUCAAGCUGACUGUUUUCUACAUCCAGAUUCAAAGGCUGGAUCGUAUAACAAUUUAGUGUUUUUCCUGAUUAAUGCUUUUUUAUUUGUUGGGAACAUUUCCUUUGUGAUUAUGAGUAUGUUGUGAAAUUCAAAUAUUCUAAAAUGUUUCAAUUUUUAAAAAAAAUUUUUUUUCUUUUAGCACUAAUGUACUUUUCUCUGUAUUGUUUGUUACAUGUCAGUAAAGCUUUAUUGGAAAAAAAACAAAACGAAGAACUGCUCACCCCAUCUGACAUCACAGCACGUGUUAUGAGACCCAAACAAAGGAUUCUAAGAGCGGUCAGCUGACUCUCUUAUCCAAUUAGUGACCCCAGAUUCACAAAACUGGCUCAGAAAAAAAUUGUUUCUUCCCAAGCCAGUUUAGUGAAUGGGAAGUCAGUGAUUGGCUGAGAGCAUCCGCUGUUGACAUUUUCAGAACAGCCAUUCAAUUGUAGUUUCGGCCAUUGGUGUUGCUAGAGUCUGACCUGAGCUGGGGCCCCAAGUGUAAUUUAGAAAAGCUUUGGAUGAUUAGCACCAUUUGAAUUUUAGCCCUGACUCUCCUAAAAAGAGCAAUUAGAUGUGUUUUGUUUGUUUGUGAAUUUUGAUGCUCUGGCCUUUGUUUAAUUUCAGACCAGUUUGUUGAGCAGUUCACCAUUUGAAACUGGUGUAGUGUUGAACAUUUUGUUUAAGAAAAAAAAGCUGUCAUGUUCCAAAUGUACCCCCUAUAUCAUUCACAGUGAUUUGGUUGUGUGAAGGCCAUAGCCUCUUUCAACAUCACGUUUAUCCUAUAUAAAAAAACUUUCAAUAGUAUACCUUUACACCCCUAGUCUUGUGAUAUCAUCAAUUUACUGCAUCACUUUAAUGCAUGGAUGACAAAUUGUUCUUGCUAGUAAAAAUGCAUGCCCCAUUACUGCAGUACAUAACAGAGUUUUUAUUUAUUUUACAUAUCUGAUUUUAUUUUAUAAAACCUACUGAUAAGAUGUGCCUUUGACAACACAGCAGUCCCAUUUCCUAGUAGUGUAUAGCUUAGCGCCAAUAUCUCUAGCUCGUUUUAAAUGAACAUGUCAAUUGACAAUCUUAACUAUUACCAUUUCAAGUGUUUGGUUUUUGUUUGAGGUGUAACGGGAUAUAUUAACUUUAAUUCACUGCUAGUUUAUACUCUAAAAAAAGGGAGAGUCUUUGCAAAUUUUUGUGACCCAGCAGAACCUAUAUAAAGCUAUAACUUUUAUUGUAAUGGUUUUCAGCUGUUUUAACAGAGGCCUCAAUAAAAACAUUAAAUAAAAAAAGUUUACAUAUUGUAGAUGGACCUCUGCUUUUUUUUUUUUUUUUUACUUUUAUUUUGUCUGACAUUACACUUGUCAGCAGUUCAUGCUCAUCUGUGCACUUACGACCUAUUGACCAUGAUUUCAAUUCCAUCGGUGUUCAGAUGAGUGACAACUCAUCAUUUUUCAUAAGCCUAUCUAGAGGGUAUUUUUGUAUAAAAGUGUUUUGUUUAGGCAUACUUGCUGUGCUUCGUAGGUGUCAUUAAUGGUUGUAGUAGCACUGUCCAGAGUCAUUCUGGAUUUGCAAUUAAUAAAUCUGUAGACGGAACUGGGCAUUACUGUAUAAAUACAACUGGAGUUUGUUUAAGCUUGCGGCUCUUAAAGACUCUAUUUUUGGACAUUCCCAUUGGUUUGAACAGGCAGUUGAAGAAUGGGUUUCUGUGUUCAUGUAAUGGACAUCAUUUGAGGCCCUAAAUACAAAUGUACCAGGAAAUCUGGAAAGUAUUAGGGCUCCUUCCAAGCUGUCGGUGCUCCGUAAAAAGGACCUGCAGUCAAAGUAACAGAAAUGGAACUGGGCUACAUGUUCAGUGUCAAAAAAACCAAAACAAAAAAAACAACCUCUAUUAUUGGAGGACAUAAAUUCAGCAUUAUAUUCCUUUCCAGGGUUAAAAACAGGGGGAAGGAGAGGGGAACUUUGAGAUGAAGUGGUCAAGGUUCUCAUAGUAUCCCUUUAACUGUUUGAAGAAUAAAGGUUUUCAAGGGUUUUUCAUGAAGCUAUUACUUUUUGGGAGGAAGGGAUCAAAGUUAAUUCAAAAUUAAGUUUAAUAUUUAGUCCACAAGCUUUCAGUUUGUCUUUUUUGACCUAAAAAUUUUCUCGGCAAAGAAUAAAUUACAAUUUAGCAAAUAACGCUGUCUGUGUUUUGUUUUCUAUGUGCUCAAAAUAAUCUAAAAGUAGUGUUCCUCUUAAAAUAAAAAAAAUUGUAAUUUCAUUAAUAUCAUAUAAAUGUAUCAUGUGUCAUCUCUUUAAAACAGAGCAAAAUAGUUAGUGACAGAUGUGAAAGGUUGCAUUUUAUGGAUUUGAGUCAACAUAUAUUAUUAAUUGUCUUUUAUAUAGCGCUAAGUGCUAUAAUAUAAUUUUAAUGUUAGGGUAUAAUUGUAAGGAACCAACAAUUACAAGAAUGUAAUAAACAAAUUAAUGUGUGGACCCUAUUUAUGUGCAUAGCUAUGUAAAGCAGAGUUGCAGUUUGUCAAACAUCAGAUCAUUGGAUCUUUUUAAAAAUUCAGUUAACAUGGAAUAUAUUUGUAAAAAAACAAAUAUUGCACAAUUUUAUUUAUGAGGAUUGAGUUUCAUUCGUUUCAUUUAUAAACCUCUGGGACAUACUUGUACAGGUUCUCAAUAAGUUUAAGAUACAAAUUUAUUGAUCUCUCUGCCACUUCCUUCACAAUGUCAUGGGGAGGGAGAGAAGGAGAGAGAAUAUAUAUAUAUAUAUAUAUAUAUACAGCCAAAAGUACAAGAUAGCACUCCAGGGACUUCCAAGUUGAAUGAAUAAAACUUAGCUUUUAUUAGCUCAAAAUAAAAAUCAACGUUUCAGUCUGUAUCACAGACUUUCAUCAGGAUUUUUGUUUUAUAUAUAUAUAUAUAUAUAUAUAUAUAUAUAUAUAUAUAUAUAUAUAUAUAUAUAUAUAUAUAUAUAUAUAUAUAUAUAUCUUCUUAAUGCAAAAUCCAUUAUGUGUUCUAUUAACUAAUCUAUUAUUUUAAUUGUCAAUAAGUGUGUUAAAUAAAUAAAAUAAACUAGCUUAAAAAGCAAUACAUUUACAAAAAGCACUAAAGAUAUGUUUGGAGUUUGUGAGUUUCAUUAUUAUGAAAAAUUACUUACCGUAGUUUUCUUUUCCUGAUAAUUAUUCAUGGCAGCAUUUACUCAUGGGUUAGCUCCUCCCCUCACAGCAGAGAAGACAGGAAAUAGAACUCUGAAAUUGGUAUAAAUAAAUCCUCCCCCUUCCCAUCAGGCAGUCUUAGUAACUAGCUUCACAUCUUAUAGUAUAUGGGUGGGAACGUAAUGCUGCCAUGGAUAAUGAUCAGGAAAAGAAAGUUACAGUAAGUAUGAAACAAUUUUCCUUAUUCCUGAUCAAUCAUGGCAGCAUUUACUCAUGGGCAAUACCCAAGGGGGGAGGGGUGUGUGUGUGUGUGUAUAUAUAUAUAUAUAGGACAGAGUUCAAAUACAGCUAAAAGUUAUAAAAAUCAUCACUGAGCUGCAUAAACCUUAGAAGACUUAAGGCCAAACCGUAAUCAAUAGGAUUGUCAACAAUUGUAAAAUCUAUUCAGACAAGUAAAUUUACCUUAGGAGCUGCUAGGUCAGCAGCCUCCUGGUAUUAAAAUGUCAGAAAUAUCCUGGAGAAAUAAAUAGUCAGAUAGGCCAUGAUAACCAAACCUAUUAAAGAAACAAGGUUAGACUAAUACAAGACAGGCUCCUGUAAGAUGAAGACACCCGUCCUGUUAUGGAUAAUAAAAUAAAAAUUAGAUCAACUCCAUAAAACCAAUCACUGUCUAGAAAUUAUCGACCUAUAAUGUCCUUCUCUAAUAUAAAUUAAAUACCAAAUGGAUGGUGGUAUCAAACAGAAACUUUACCAAGACAUAACUUCCAGAUAUCUGAUGGGAACAAUCCAUGAAAUUUUAGAUAUAGUGUUGGGUGAAAACAGUCAUCCCCUGUUUUAUAGCAAGGUGAGAAUUAAACUGAAAAUUCUACUAUUUUCUGGAAUUAUUUAUUGAAGACAAUUCACACCGCUUCGUCUUGCUUAGUGAACUACUUACUUGUAGAUACAGGAAACAAAAUAAUAUCUACCUGUAAGAGAAAUGCAGAGCCUAGUAGAGAAAUAAGAGAGUCUGUUAUUAAAAACACAGCAAUAAUGAUUAUAUAUUGCAAAAAUUAGACUCUCAACAAUACCUCACACUGUGAAUAAAUUGUUUGAUACAGUAAUAAACCGUGACAGGAGAGGUAGAAACCAAUAACACAAAGUAGAUAUUACUAGGCAAGGUCAUGAAGACUCAAAUCAUCCAGAUUAGUUAAAAAAAAAAAAAAAAAAACCAGUAUGAACCAUUUGUGGCAACUACUAAAUUAUAAGUAGGCAAUGUAGGCUAACAACGUCAGAACCUACAUGCAAAGUUAAAAUUAUUGUAAAUGGUACUAAUUAUUUCAAACCGUAGAAUCAAAUUGAUUAGAGACUGUUGUGCAAUGUCAGUAGAAGAAAGGCUAUAGGCAGGACACCAUGGAAGGUGGUAACCAGAGCUACAGCAUUCAUUGUGGCAACAGACACAUAAUAAGCAGGAUAGUAAAGGAUAUUCAGUUAUCCUUAUGAGAACAAGCAACUGCAUACUUACACUGACCUUAUCUUAUCUCAGAUAGUGAUAAAGUACUUACGGUAGAGCCUAUGGUGAUAAAACCAUUCUGCAGUUUGUUUUAGCUGCAAAUAUAUCAACACCAGUCCAAGCAUAUAAUCCACAAGAAUUACAACAAUGCAAUGUUUGGAAUGACCAUCAUAUAUAUGGAUCUAGGUACAGAGACCAUGUGAAACAUAUCAGCCAAAUGUUUGUCACACACAAGUUAUGAUAUUAUAUUAUGCAGGAUGGCUCAACAGCUUAAAGCCAUACAUUGGCUGCGAAGUCCAGAUAGUAGUACGCCCAAAACAAUCUCCAUGAAUAUCAGAACAGAGGUCAGUAAUGGGACCUUAUGUUCAGCGAUUUCCCUUAUUGUUCUGGUAGCAGGUAAAUUUUACCUGAAAUAGUAAACCUGGUAGAAUGGUCUGGUGACUGAAGGACCUUCAAAUGUCAUUUAAAAUACUUGUAAUAACCAGCAUCAAAGUUACAUGGAGUUAUGAGCCCAAAAUAAUACCUUUUAUUGCAGAAAGGAAAUUAUAAUGUUCCCCUUCACAACAGGGGAAUCUGUGGAAAAGUUUGAUACUUAACCCCUUAAGAACCAAACAAAUGCCAGAACGGACAUUAUUAUUAUUAUUAUUAUUAUUGCCAUUUAUAUAGCGCCAACAGAUUCCGUAGCGCUUUACAAUAUUUUGAGAGGGGGGAUGUAACAAUAAAUAGGACAAUUACAAGAAAACUUACAGGAACAAUAGGUUGAAGAGGACCCUGCUCAAAUGAGCUUACAGACUAUAGGAGGUGGGGUAUUUGAAACAUUAGGACGAGAAAUAUCAAGUAGGAGUGAAGCAGAGCUGGAGGAGAGAGCAAAGCACUGUCCCAUAGGAGAGAGCAGGAGACAGGUAUGUAAGGUAGAGAUUACCAUAAGCUUUCCUGAAGAGAUGGGUUUUAAGGCCCUUCUUAAAUGAUUGAAGACUAGGGGAGAGUCUGAUGGCAGUAGGCAAGCUAUUCCAUAGGAGAGGAGCCGCCCGCGAGAGGUCCUGCAAGCGCGAGUUGGCCGUACGGGUGCGAGCAGCGGUCAGGAGGUGGUCACGGGCAGAGCGGAGGGUACGAGGAGGGGCAUAUCUAUGGAUUAGUGAAGAGAUAUAAGUGGGGAUAGAAUUGUUCAGUGCUUUAAAUGUAUGGGUUAGCACUUUGAAUUGACUCCUAUAGCAUACAGGGAGCCAAUGUAAGGACUGGCAGAGGGGUGAGGUGUGAGAGGACCGACUAGAGAGGAAAAUCAGUCUAGCUGCAGCAUUCAUUACAGACUGUAGCGGGGCAAUACGGCUUUUGGGGAGACCAAUCAGGAGAGGGUUACAGUAAUCCAUGCGGGAAAUUACUAGAGCAUGGACAAGCUCCUUGGUAGCAUCUUGCGUAAGAAAGGGGCGAAUGCGGGCUAUGUUUUUGAGUUGGAACCUACAGGACUUGGCAACAAACUGGAUGUGAGACUCAAAGGUGAGACCAGAGUCAAGUAUGACGCCAAGACAGCGCGCUUGCAGGGAUGGACUUAUGUGGAUAUCACUGACUUGAAGGGAGAGCGAGAGAGGAGGAUCAGUAUUAGGAGGAGGAAAGACAAGGAGUUCAGUUUUAGAGAGGUUAAGUUUCAGAAAGCGUGAGGUCAUCCAGUCAGAGAUGGAAGAAAGGCAAGCAGUGACACGUUGCAGGACGGCAGGGGAGAGGUCCGGGGAGGAGAGGUAUAUCUGAGUGUCAUCAGCGUACAGGUGGUAGUGGAAUUCAAAAGAGGCAAUAAGUUUACCAAGAGAGGCAGUAUAAAGAGUAAAUAGAAGGGGACCAAGGACAGACCCUUGGGGAACUCCAACCGAGACAGGAUGAGGGGAGGAGGUAUCCUUGGAAAAGGAGACACUGAAUGAGCGUUGGGAGAGAUAGGAGGAAAACCAAGAGAGGACAGAGUCACAGAGACCGAGCGAUUGAAGAGUUUGAAGGAGGAGAGCAUGAUCCACGGUGUCAAAGGCAGCAGAGAGGUCAAGGAGAAUUAAUAUGGAUUAAAUGGAUUGCCAAACUCAAGGCCCCCAAGGGAUACAAAUUGCAGAAUACUGAAUAUAACAAAUGGCACAUUCUUCAACUUAUAAAGAUUAAGCGUUAAGGAAAUUUACUCCGUUCUAAAGAAUAUUCUAAACCUGAACAUUAAGCUGAAAUCUGAAUAAAAAUAUAAACCAGACCAGGGUGAGUGAAUUUUUCAAAGUAGAAUUGUGCAUAAAAUAAAACAUGAUCACUAAAGUUGUGACCAGGUAAAACAAAAGGCCAAUAUCAACAGAUUUAAAAUUAGAUUAGAGACAGUAAAGCAUACUAGCGAAAACAGUUGGGUAAUUGCUUCAAAGUUACCAACUCAUGGUAGCAAUAUAUAGCCAAGAAGUGUACUUGCAAACAGGAUCUACUAAGCUGUGCAUCUUAAGUCAGCAAUACAUAUUAAGGUUAAACAAUGCAACCAAACGAAAAAACAUUUAAUAUCAUGAUCAGUGGUACCUGGCAAGAGAAACACAUUGGCAACACCAUAUCUCUUAUAUGCACUAUUAACUGUUAUUGAACAUUACCAGCCACCAUUUUGGAAAUCUUGACUGGUUAUCUCCAGUGGGAGGGAUAUUCAGACAGGUUCAGUAACACCUGCAGUCCAACUAAAAUGGUUUAUUACUAAUCCUCAAACACGUGUGUGGGAGGAGAACACUAAUGCAAAGGCAAAAAGUAGCAUGUUUCUCUUAUCUCCUUCAUUCAGAAAACUGAAGUAGAAAAAACAGUUUGUAAUAGGUAGUUUUGUUUUGGUGGAACUGGGCAAAAUUACUCAGUUUAAACACAGGUCUUAGAUCCAAUGCAUAUAUUAACCCCUUAAGACCGCAGGGCGUACUAUUACGUCCUCUAAUAGGCGGCUCUAAACGCCGCCGGGCGUAAUAGUACGCCCUCCGGUCUUUCUGUACUUACCCGGUCGCCGGCGGUCCCACGCCGGCGAUCGCGGUGGGGGGGACUCCCAGGGAGCCCCCCGCGGCGCGACCGUCCUCCAGGAAGCCCCCCGGCCGUGUGAGAGUGGGGUCCUAGCGAGGACCCCACAAUCACAUGGCCGGGGAUAGCUGGCUUCUGUAUUGCCAGCAGGGGGGCUGCCUGUAAUGACAGGUGGUCCCCCUGCUGGCUGAAAAUAAAAGUAAAAUAAGUUAAAAGUGUAAAAAAAUAAAAUUAUAUAUACUUAGAUCAUAUAUAUAUAUUAUAUAUAUAUGAUCUAAGUAUAUAUAUACACAUAUACAUACACACAUGUACAGCGUCUAGGUGUAUUUUACUAUUAAUAUAUACACGUAGACUGAUACUGAUUAAAUAUAUAUAUAAUUAUUGUUAUAUAUAUAUUUAUAUAUAUUAUAAAAAAAAUUAAAAUGUAAAUACGUUAAAAAAUAAAAUUACAAAAAUAAUUAAAAAUAAAUAAUUAAAAAAUAUAUAGAUGUGUUAUUUCGUUCUAACUGUAUUGUGAAAUUAAUAUAUAUAUAUAUAUAUCAAAAUACACAUAGAACGAAAUAAUAUAUAUAUUUAUACACAUAAAUAUAUGCGUAUAUAUCACUAUAUAUAUACCUAUAUAUAAAUAAAAAUAUUUUAAAAAAAUUAUAUAGAUAUAUACAUAUAUAUAUACACAUACGUAUAUAUAUAUACAUAUAUUGAUUCUACAUAUAUAUUUAUGUAAUAUUUUUACAUAAUUAGGUAUCUUAAUUAAUUACAAUUAGCAGGACCUGCCUGACAACCCAUGCCGAAAGUAUAGGGAAUUUAAUUUGCUAGCACUAUAUUUAACCCUAUAACUUUCCAAGACACCGUAAAACCUGUACAUGGGGGGUACUGUUCUACUCGGGAGACUUCGCUGAACACAAAUAUUGGUGUUUCAAAACAGUAAAAUGUAUUACAACGAUGAUAUCGCCAGUAAAAGUGACGUUUUUUGCAUUUUUCACGCACAAACAGCAUUAAACGGACAAUAUUAUUGCUAUGAUACUUUUUACUGUUUUGAAACACAAAUAUUUGUGUUCAGUGAAGUCUCCCGAGUACAACAGUACCCCUCAUGUACAGGUUUUAUGGUGUUUUCAAAAGUUACAGCGUCAAAUAUAAGGCUUGCGUUUCAUUUUUUUCACAUUAAAAUUCGCCAGAUUGGUUACGUUGCCUUUGAGACCCUAUGGUAGCCCAAGAAUGAAAAUUACCCCUAUGAUGGCAUGCCAUUUGCAAUAGUAGACAACCCAAGGUAUUGCAAACGGGGUAUGUCCAGUCUUUUUUAGUAGCCACUUAGUCACAAACACUGGCCAAAAUUGGCAUUUUUUGCAUUUUCACACACAAACAAAUACUAACGCUAACUUUGGCCAGUGUUUGUGACCAAAUGGCUACUAAAAAAGACUGGACAUACCCCAUUUGCAAUACCUUGGGUUGUCUACUAUUGCAAAUGGUAUGCCAUUAUGAGUGUAAAUUUCAUUCCCGGGCUACUAUACAGUCUCAAAGGCAACGUAACCAAUCUGGCGAAUUUCAAUUUCAAAUGUAACGUGCUAUAUUUGACCCUGUAACUUCCCAAAACGCCAUAAAACCUGUACAUAGGGGGUACUGUUUUACGCGUGAGACUUUGCUGAAUACAAAUAUGUGUAUUUUAUUGCAGUAAAAGCAAACAGUAUUAUGACACUGACCGUUAAAAUGUCAUGUAGAACUAAAAAAAUCCAAAAAAAUCGUAUUUUCUCCCAUUUUUUUCAUAUUAAAUUAUGUUUCAUAGCUAAAUAUUUGAUAUUAAAAGAAAGCCCUGUUUCCCCUGAAUAAAAUGAUAUAUAAUAAGGGUGGGUGCAUUUACUAUGAAAGAGGUGUAUUACGGUUGGACAGACAUGUAGCGCAAAUGCCAGGUUUUGUUUACAUUUUGUUUUGUUCACAACGUGUACAUUUGGCUCCGUCCUUAAGGGGUUAAAUAUACUAAGCAUGUGUAUAUAUUGGGGUUGCACAAUAACAACAACAACUUGCAUACAGAGGUUGUGUCUUUUAUAUCAUUCAAAUAUGUUUCACACUAACAUUCAAUGCAUGAAUGCAUACUGAGGUGGCGUCUUCACAGGACUUAUACACAGAGCAUAUAGUGGAUAAUAUAUAUAUAUAUAUAUAUAUACACACACACACACACACACACACACACACACAUUUAUAUAUAUAUAUACACAUACAUACACACACACACAUAUAUAUAUACACAUACAUACACACACACACACACAGGCUGUGUCCUCACAAUAAUUCAUACAUAGAGCAUUUAUUGGAUAUAUAUACACACACACACUCACUGAGGCUGUGUCCUCAUAGUAACUCAUACAUAGAGCAUAUAGUGGACAAAUAUACUGAGGUUGAGUGUUCAGACUAACUCAUACAUAGAACGUGUACACACUGAGGCUGUGCGUCACACGGAGAUUAUGCUCCUUAUACCAGCUCAUAUACAGAGAUAAUAUCGGUAACACAUACUGAGGCUGUAUGAUAACCAACCUAUAAAAGGUCUUCCCACCAGUUCAUUCAGAGGAAAUCUUGGUCUCAUAUGCUGAUUUAGAGAAGCAGGAGGAUCCAAACAAUAUAUUAAAGUCCACUCUGAAAACGCCUGCUUAUGUGCUACAAAGCACAGAUAACAGCAAUCAUUGUCUCAUGCCUUGAUAGGAACAAGUCUCUGCAUGGACCAUGCGUCAGGUUGUAAAAUCCAUGACACAUACAUUUUGUGUUAUUCAAUCAUUCAGUUAGGAAAGCCUUCUCUUACCAUGUGUCUUCACAUACUUCAGGAUUGUGGGGUUCAGGCAGAUUUUAUACAGCCAGGAUAUCAUUGUCAAUGCUUCCUUGCAUUAUCCACACUCUUUUAGAAAAUGCAUGAUUGCAUCAUUGCAUUUAUAAAGUUACCUAAUUGCUCACCACACAAACCUCCUAAAUGUGACCAAUUUGUUAAAAGGAAGCCUAAUGUAAGCAACUGGGAGGGACUGAAAGACCCAGGUGCCUCUACUAGUUUUUAGUUUAAAUUACUAAUGCACUCACUUGAGGAGGGAAAACACACUAAACAGCCAUAGAGACAGAUGAACAGCUGCAGGCAUAAAUUUGAACAACAUAUGGGGAUUUGAACAACUGACAGCCUAAACUGUUUAAACUGAAGGCUUUUAUCUGUACCCCAUAUGCCAAAAUGAUCAUCACUAGUGGGGGAAGGUUUAAAACAAACCCCGGUUAUGGUGGAAUACAUAGAAGAUGCAUACCCAGGUAGUCACCUUAUUGAAGUGCUGUUUGCUGGGUCUUCAGGGAAAAGAGGCAUAGCCCCAGCUGGGCCUCAUGUAUGCAGUGGACCGCUUUCAUCCCCUGAAGGACUUGAGUCAAACCCCUGGUUGCUAAAGGAGGUACCCAGGCUGGCAACUUAUAGAAAUGUGGAUCUUCAGGGAUUAGAGGCUGCACCCUGGCUGGGCCUCCUGUAGGUGGACAACAUUCAUCCCCUGAGGGAGAGAAUUGGGUCAUACCCCCAGUCACUAAAUGGUUUACCCAGACUGGCACCUCAUAGAGAUGUGUUGUUGCUGGGUCUUCAGGGAUAAGAGGCUGAACCCUGGCAUGAAUGCAGUGGACCGCUUUCAUCUCCUGAGGGAGAGAUUGGGUCCAACUCCUGGUCACUAAAGGGAGUACCCAGGCUGGCGAACUCAUAGAGAUGUGCUGUUGCUGAGUCUUCAGGGAUUAGAGGCUGAACUUUGGCAGGGCCAGAAAUAUAUUGGCCUGGUGAGCAUAAAAAGAAUUCUAGGCUUGCUUAAGCAGACUCCUUCUAAACUGCUGUGAACGACAGGAAAAAGACUGCCUGAUGGGAAGGGGGAGGAUCUAUUUAUACCAGUUUCAGAGUUCUAUUUCCUUUCUGCUGUUAGGGGAGGAGCUAACCCAUAAGUAAAUGGUGCCAUGAUUGAUCAGGAAAUACAUUUUCCUCACCUACUUUCUUCUGUUUUUAACACCAUUGCAAGUUCUUUGAAUCUGUUUUUUUUAUGCAAGAUAUAUAACACUUUUGUGAUUUUCCUCAAUUUGUUUCAAUUUUCGCUGGCUUUGAUUGUAUCAGACUGUGUAGCAAUUCCAUUACCAUAACCAUUUUCUCUCGAUUCAUACAUUGAUAAAACAAACUAUGCUACAAGGGGAAAAAAAUGGCCUCUUCAAAUAACAUUCUUCCUAGCUCCUGUCCAUCUAUGGAAGGGAUAGAUAAAGCAAAUAUAAUCAGUUCUCUUGAUAUUUGAGAGAAAGUUUUGUCCUCAGCUGAACCAUUUCUUCCGAAAACAGAACAUUUUUCACGAUAUGCCUGAUUUUCAGUCUGUGUGGCUCAGCAGAAUUUUGGUACUAAAAACCCAGUUUGGGAAUGGAAUCAGACGUAAAAAAAGGGCACACAAGUAGGCCAAUCAGUGUACUGCUAAAUAUAUACAUAAUAAUAUUAUAAUGCACCCUAAUAGAGAAAAACAGGAGGAACAGUUAAACAAUCUAUAUUUAUAUAUUCAUAUAUUAAAUAGAUUAGAUUUUCUCACCCCUCCUGGGUGGUAUAUUUAUUACUCAUUCUCAGGUUCUCUAACAGAGGCCUGGGAGUCUGAUGGUUGUCUUAGCUGUUCCUAGAAGACAGUCACGGAUCUCAGAUAGAACUAUAGUAAUCCUUAUGUUUUUGUUUUUUAUUAUUCUAAAAUUUGCAGACAAACCAUGAAUAAAAUAACCUUUUAUUUUUUCAAAAAUACUGGCCGUCUUUCUAAGUGACAGUAUUUACUAAUGGUGCUUGCACAAAAUACAUACGACUCCAUGUUUUUAGUAGUACGUAGAGUAGUGUAGCUUAGAACAUAGAAUGCAUGAACAAAUGAGUAUCGUUUUGAAUGUUCUCUUUGUAAUGAUAGUAACAGAAGGAAUGGGUUCACAGAACGAAUAAACUUCGUAGCAAAUAUUGUGUUAAAUUGCAUUUUAGUGGGUUUUGUUGAGGGCUGGUGUUAGACUUUUUAGAUUGAAUGAAAACGAAAAAAAAUGCUCACCUUUCCUGCACUGCAGAGUCUUAUUCUGUGAUGCUGCAGCUUCUCCUUUCCUGAUGUCACAUUGAGAGCAUGUGUGCAGGAUGACUGACCAAACCGAUGAGCCUCAUAGAGGACCUUAGGCGCAUGCACGAUACUUGCUUUGAUGCGCCUAUAAUUAUACCAUGAUGUCAGGGUAUGCUAAGGCAUUAGAGGGAGGAGGUAACAGUCAUGGCUGUCAUAUCCAGAUGGCUUGGAGACGUGGCUUGAACUCAUGUUUCCACGCAUUCUAAUUAAUAAAAUAUUUAGGGCCACUAAGAAGGGGGGAAAACAACUGUAGGCACUAUAACUUCAUUUAGAUGAAGUUGUAGUGACUACAGUAUUUUUAAUCCCCAAAAAAGGUUUUAAUGUAUUUAUUUUGAGAUGGUGAUAUUCUCCACUGAUUUUCAGAACUUUGUUAUAUAUUGGUCAUGAUAGUAACAGUAGGUUAAAGAUUAAAAACUUUGUAACUGUAAUCUGCGUACAUGGACUGUUUUUUACUUUAUUCCAGCUGGAAUUCUACACAAAGUGUCAGAGUGCAUACGGGGGUCUUUGGACUACAAAAUCGAUUGAUUGCAAAAUGUAUCAAUGUCCAAAAUUGUGUCUGCUGCUGGUGGUAAAUAGUCUGAAUUUCUGUAAAUUCACUUACUCCAUAGGAAGUAAGUUUAUUUACUGGAUUUGUGUUUCAAGAUCGAGUUUACAUUAGUUAUUUGUAAAUCAAAACAUAUUUUAUAUAGGAUUUUCAUGCAAAAAUUGAUUUUAAACCAGACACGAAAUGUUGCCUCAGCAAAAACAAUGUGUUGUGCUGCACUCUCUGGGGUUACACAAAGUAAAGUACAGGCAUUACUGCUACAUUCUGGAGAUAUUUUAGGUAGUUGCAUUCUCCAAAAUACCACGAGGUUCCUAACAAAUCUCUGUAACCAAGCUAAAUGAACAUGUUGGUAGAAUAAAUUUAUGACAAAAAAUGCUAUUGCUGCUGCCAUGCUAUAUUUCCUGUCUGAAGGUUUGCAUGAUGGGUCAUACCCCCACCUUUCAUUUUUACAUGUUAGCUCUAAACAACAAUAUUUGUUCUUAAACCAACCAUUAGGUCACUGGUUCCCUCCAUUUCUAUAUAUUUUUCUUGAUAUGAGAUCAUGGUACCUUGUGAACAAGCAACUGUAUUGACAAUUGUAUAACUGUCACCCAAACGCAUAUAUCUGUCUCAUGUAAGAUCCAGAAGAUGCCAAACUCGUAGUGGGUUCAUCGUUACAUAGCGCCAACUAUCACACCACCUUGUUCCAAGUAUCUACAGCAUGGGUAGGAAACCUUUGACACUUGAGAUAUUUUGGACUACAUCUUCUAUAAUGCUUUUACAGCCACAUUGCUGACAAAGCGUCUGGGGAAAUGUCGUCCACCGCACCAGCUUAGCCGAAGGUUGUCUACCUUGAUCUAGGGAUAGUGAGACAGUGGUAUAAACACUGAACGACAAGAGGCACAAAAACUCGCCAUUGGGACUUUUAAAUGAUACUCCUGAAGGGGAUAAAAGAUAAAACACUAGCUUGUAGGUGUAUCCUGGUCUCAAAUCUUUAUUCCUCCAAUAUUUCUUUUAUAUCAAACUGUAGACAAUUUUUUUCAGACUAGGAUAAAAGUUUGCAUGAAGUUUAUUUCCCAAAUUAAUGUAUAGACCUACUGACUUUAUUAGCUGCUAGUGGGCACUAAGUUAAAAUUGGUGGGAAUAAAAUCAAUAAACGGUCUGCAGAACACCCUUAUAGUCAGGAAGGAGUUCAUGAAACGUACAAGAAUCCACAGUUAUGAGUCUCUCCACCUCCCCACCCACUGCGUAGUGAGAAAUUAUGAUGUUUGGGCAGAGCUAAUGUCAUGGACACUGAACAGCCACCUGACACAGAGUCAAUGAUUCACUAUCAAAAUGUGAACGAUGCAUAAAGAUUCUUAGUCUAUGAAAGUUCUGGAGUGACUGGUACUCUUUAAAGUCUUGUAUCGAACACUGUAAAUUGUUGGCUCUGUAUAAAUGUUAAUAUGUUUGAGCUAUUCUGGAUGGAAUUUGUCUGACUUAUCUCAGGGUAUUUCAAAUGGAGAGACCAGAGUACAGAAAGCAUUGACUGAAUAGUUGACAUUCUCUAAAAUCAGCUGUAAAAAGGGACGCAGACAAUGGACUGAAUUUGUGUGCCUUACACAGAGCGCAUUGUGCUAAUACAAAGAUGUGCUAAGUAUUUGUUUCUUGUGUGUGGGUGGAUACAGAUUCAGAAUGACAUUUGCAGUGUUUAUAAACAUACAUCUUUGACUGAAAAGCAUACCUCCCAAGUGUCCGUGUUUAGGAGGGACAGUACCUAUUUUGAUCCCAAAUUCAUAUGUUCCUCUUUCUAUCCUAAUGUCCCUCUUUUCUUGGAGAUCCAUAUUCUUUCUGUGGCUGUGUGUAUAACAGAGCUCCACAUCAAUAAUACUCACAGUAAUGUGUCUUUAAACUUGUCAGGAUUACAGAAUGAUCCAGCACGUAGAAUUGUGUAACACAGAGGACUGAUAGGUAACGUAUACCGGACCUUAGAAUAGUCUGGAAUAGCCGAGGCCAAGGGAUACAGAAAGAGACACAACGAUAAGGAAAAGCCAGGAGUCAGAGAUGCCAGAAAACAGGGAGGUCAAAAACAAUGCCAAAGUCAAAUAACCAGAAUAACCAAAAUCAAUAACGUGCUCUCGGACAACCACAAGGGAAACCACGACAGGGCACUGAGCAGGAUGAGAACUGGGCCUAAAUACCCCUCCUCUAGAUCUGAUAGGCUGUAAACAGCUUUUGACCCCAAAGGCAGUUACCUGGUUCCUAUUUGCAUAAUUGCUGCUCAGCAUUAACCCUUCUGUGGAUUUGGUUGCUGCUCGGCACAACUUUUCAUGUGUGGACAGUAAAUGCCAUUAACCACAUUUUUAUAAGCGGAUGAAUACGUGACAAAACUACAAUAAAUGUGUUCCGAAAUCAGUUUGUGUAUAUAAGAUGCAUUGUUCUGGUUUUAAACUAUAUUUUAGUUACAUAAAUUAUUAGUAAGUUACCGAAACUCUCAGUCCCUGGCCACAACCCCACUCACACCUCUAAAAUAAAAGUGUCCCUUUUUGUCCAUUUGAAAUUUUGGGAGGUAUGGCAAAAGUGAAUAACAUGCAAGAGAAAUAUCCUGUCCUCCAAAAGGGGACCAGGGUAAAUGUGACAAGACACCUACAUUGGUUUUCAGACAUUGGACGUGCCCCCUAUAUUGUUUUUCAGAUUUUGUCACAGCUCUUGACAGGCGCGGUCGCCAUAUUGGCAGGUGGAAUUCCCCCCAAAACUUACCCCAAAAACACACUGACACUGAUGCAUGGGUCAAUAUGUCCACAGCUUUAUUAAUAUUGAUAACAAUAAAUUAAAGUCAUUGCCCAGCCCUCAUCCCGCCAUAUAACAUCAUAUGUCCCCAAAAUAAAAGGCAAUGACCCAUUAUUUCUGUAAAUAUAAAUAACAUCAACAACCAUAAUAACAAACGUCAUCAACAUAAUAUAAGUGCCAAACUUUGCUAAAUAGCCACGGUAGGGGCAUACCUGGAUGCCCCUACCACACACCAGGUUCUGAGCCACCUCCGAGCUUGAAACCUACCAAGGUUCAUAACGAACCGUUUAACCAAGCUCUUCACCAGCAGCCUAACUGCCCUAUUCUAUUUACACUACCCCAGAGCCUUUUUGUCCCCUAACUUUUCUCUCUCUAGCCCCGCCGCUUUGAUCAAACGGGAGCUAACACCCCUUACCCUUACAACUUAGGCCAGGUAAGCAGAUUAAAAGUGCUUGUCACUAAAAUGGCUGCCUAUUUAUACUGGGCCAACCCCCCUUUACACUCUCACUCCACUCCCACAUGGGGCCUUCCCCCUAUGCCCGUCUCCUAGCUCUGUCAACCCCCUAUUCCACUAAGCUGCGCUUGUUCCAUAGGGUUACAUUUUAAUGGCUCCUUUUGCUUGUAUUCCUUAUCUUUAAUAUGAUUUGUUCAGAAUACAGAUCAACUAGGAUGAGGUUGAGCGUUUCCACCCAAUCAAUUUGAAAACACCUGGAUUAUCAUUGCACAUAUGCACGUUUUGGCCCACAGUCAAGUGCUUAUCUCACAGGAACAAACAAGUGAUGCUAAAUUCACUCGAAUCUAAAUAAAUUGCAGCAUUACUGAACCUGCACAAAACAACCGACUAAACUUAUGUGUGAAAUCGGUAAGCAUGUAUUUUCAAAACAAUGUGCACUGACUCAGCAUUUCAUCCUUCCGAGGUAGAUAAAAUGAGUACCAUUAAAUUGGGUAAUAGUAACAACCCCUGGAUGUUGGGCUACGGUAGCAUCCCCAGGAAAUACGUGGUAACCUGGGUAAUCUGAAUGUACGUUCCUUGGUUAAAUAAUUUGUUAUUAUUAUUAUUAUUUACUCAAGACCUGACUAGACCAAUGGCACAGCAUUUGUCUCAUAAUCGGUGUCUAUCAUCAUGUUUAUAAAAAAAAUUUUAAAAAUUAGAAAACCUGGGUCAUAAGAUGCAUGUUUUUAGUUGUGAUUUCCUGAAAAGCUCCCCAUCCCAGCUAUUAUGGUGACAGCAAAUUAUCAUCUCUGGUUAACAUUCAAUCCACUUUUCUGGAAAUUUUUGUAAAAGAGAUUGCGACUGACCGAAAAGAGGUCUUUUCUUACAAGUGGUCAGUGAGGAAGCAAAUGGAGCUAUGCAACAUUUAACCCUGCCCACUGAAUAGAUAUUGUAAACAUGAUCUGGCUGUUCUGUUUCAGGAUGCAUUAGCAGAAAAUGCCAAAAUUAAACUGUGCAGACAUAUUUACUGUGUUGACUUUGUGCUGGAAACAAAUCAACAAGAAUUCAGUUUUAUUUCAAUUGUAACUAAACCAAUUGAAGUUACAUGAAGCUGCGAAGCUGUUUUGAAUUAAAUUGGAUGACUUUUUUUAUGUGUAGUAAUAAGAGAAUAGGUUCAGACUGCCUGACUUUCCAACUGGCAUGCAAAUACCAGACAACAAGCAGACUUCACAUUCCUGCUGUUCGGAUUAACAGGGCUGGAAUAACAAUACAGAGUUAAACACAGAAACUGCAUAUCUGUGGCCCUUAGUUACCAUUUGCCAGGGGAUAUAACCCCAAAAUAGCAUCUCACAUGGCCUACUUCAUGAAAAAUAGAUGUUUAAAUCCAGUCCUAAUAAAGGUAAUUGCUAUUAAAAAGGAAAGGUUGGUAAUACAUUCAUCAGGGCUCAGACUGUCAAGUCCUAUGUUACUAGACAGGCAUAAAAGUUAAUCACAGCCGCAAGCCUGGAAGGUCUAAGGCACACUAAUUAAAAGUAAAGUUCUACUUGCCGAGGCUGAUUUUUCAAGUGCCAGUGUAUACUGGACAAGUGGAAUUUUGGAGUUCUGGUAUUCGUAACAUUAUCACUAAAUACGCUUCUUAUUUGCCCCUAAUGCUCCAAUUAGAAUAGCUUAUCACUGAGCAUCCAAUGCAGUGGAAAGAUCCUUGGCUCAAACUUUAUUUUUGCUCAUUACCUGUCAAUCUCUGCUGCACAAUGAACAUUUUCUGCUCACUUUUGGGACAGUCCUACUUCUUGUGAAUGGCUACCUAGCUCUUCGUGCCUCCCCAGGCAAUCAAAUUACAUGACUUUGAUUAACAGGCUAAUGACCCACUAAUGUUCCCAGGUUACUAUAAGACCAUGCUACUAAUCUACAAGGAAUACCUUCUAAAGUUUCAUUGCGUCAAAAACGGAUUCUAUUUUGGAAAUAUUGAGUGGUAUCACUGUAUUUGUUUUACUCCUUUUUUAGUACUCUGCAUAAUCCAACAUUAACCUUGCUAUUCACACAUGCCACCAGGUAUGAUGGUUCCAUGGUUCAGAGUUAUUUGUCUAGGGGCCUCCUUCUCAUGGACACCAUAGAUAAUCUUCAAAGCACUGCACAAAUAUGCAUUAAAAUGUCUGGUGAAGUGCAUUUCUAAAAUUCAAGGAGCAUUUGGAAAAUUCCCAAAACAGUGGACACAUACACACACUCCCAGAUCUGUCCAUAUUAUGGGGUCCUGUCCCAGGUUGGUUGCCUAGUAUGUCCCGAAGGAACUGUCCCAGUCAGUGCAACGCAACAGCAUCAUUAGGUGUGCUCUCAGUGUGCUGAAUGCUGUCAGGGUACUAGGACAAAUCAGGGGCGCUGCUAGUCAGCUGGCAUGCAUUCACAUCAAAAUGGCAUGCCACCAUUUGUCAGUCCCCAUUUUAUUGACUCUCAGGUGGUUGACCCAUUUCUGGCCCACCCAACCAGGUCCUGAAUUCCCACCUGGCACAACUGAAAGGCAUGGCGCUGGUCAGCACUGCGUACAUAAGCUGAUGCACCUCUUUCCUCUAACAUCCUUCCCAACAUCCCGGCAUCAAGGUGGAGAAUGUUAAGAGGUAUCAUCUACAUAUUGCUAAUGCAUUCAUCCCUUGAAAGAGUAAUAAAGAAUAAAGCUAAUGAGAAUCUGAAAUUCCACACCAAAGCCAAGUUCUACUGACAGCCCAACUUGCUGGAGUGGAAGGGAUUUCAUGGAGGACAGGAUGAGGAGGGAUUUGGGUUAGAUGGAAGGAUAUAGAGCUAUAUCUUUGUAUGUGGAAGGUUUCAUUCCACGCACCAUAAGUACUCCAAAUCACUGAAGUAGUCAUGGUGCUUGGAGUAUCACUUUGAAGUAUAAAUCAAAAUCUGCCUUGAAGGGGGUAGCUAAUUCCAUAAAUAGAUUAUUUUUAAUAAUAACUUUUUAUAACAUACUGUUUGCUCACGUUUUCAUAUAUUUCCACAAACCUGCUUAAAAUAUAGAUUCUAUCAUUGAAACAAUGUGGUUGAAAGUUUGCCUAUAUUAGAUAACAAAACGUAAGGGAUUUGUUAAUCCCUCCUAAUAUACUGCUCCACUGAAACUAUAAAUAAUGUGGGAAUAAGUUAAAGGGACACUGUAGGCACCCAGACCACUUUAGCUAAUUGAAGUGGUCUGGGUGCUGUGACCUUUUUGCACUUAGUGCUGCAAUGUAAAACAUUGCAGUUCCAGAGAAACUGCAAUGUUUACAUUGCAGCUCUAAGUCUGACCUCAGUGACUGUCUACCAGACAGCCACUAGAGGGCUUCCGGAAUCCAAACUGACUUUUGGUCCGUUAUCUAGCAUUGGACGUCCUCACGGACCUCCAGCGUCAGAUUUUCCGCACAGGAAAGCAUAAUAAUGGAUAUGAAUGAUGAAUAAUGCUUUCCUAUAGGGAGGUCUAAUGCCCGCCUUUAUUGUCGCGCAUGCGCAUUACGUCAGACGGCGGGGGAGGAGCAAGGGCGCAGCCUGUCCCAGCGCCAAGGGACAUCAGUGCUGGAUUCAGGUAAGUGGCUGAAGGGGGGGGGGUUUGACCUAUUAAACCUAUAGUGUUGCUAACUAAUGUUUUCCUGGCACUAUAGGGUCCCUUUAACCCCUUAAGGACCAAACUUCUGGAAUAAAAGGGAAUCAUGACAGGAACAAUCAGGAACACCCACUUAACUUAAAGGGACACUCCAGAUCUAUAAAGCUCAUUGUUUAGUGAAAUAAUCCCGCUUGUAUCUUAAAUGUAAAUGCCCCUUAACAGUCCUGAUAUAGGCAGGACAGUCACGAUUUGUUUAAUUUUUUGGGUUAAUUCCCACCUCUUGACUUAGGGAACUCACCACAAAAAGCUUAGCGCGAGUGCAUCAUUAGACACCCUUGCGCUACAUGAAGGGCACUACAGUGCUCACUGCAAGUUCUGCCCUCAGUGGCCUGGCCUGUUUUAUAAUCAGGAUGCCUCUCUCCACACCGGUGGCCCUAUUCUCAGGAUGCUAAUGUUGUUGGGGUGUGUGUAAUAUAUGUGUAUUGUAUUUUAUUGCAUAUCCUACCUUCCAUAGUUUUAAAAAAUAACUUAUACAAGCAGGGUGGCUCAUACGCAGAGUGUCUCUUAAAUGUCCUUUGUGCCGGAAAAUCACAUUAAACUUUUCCCUGAUGUCCUUAGAAAGGAAAAACACCAGGGGCACCAGGAGUGAGGCUCAAGAUGAGGACAAUCUCCGUACAUUUUGCCCUUUUGUUAAUUAUGUACAUGGCCGCAUGCACCCUAAAUCUUUCAAAAGUUUGACACGUAAGGGGUAACUUGCAGGGUUAAUCACUAAAGUUAGAAUUUUUUAAUUUAUUGCCAAAGUAGGCAAAUUUUUUACAGCAGGAUAUUUUUACCUCGAAUUUGAAAUUCUCUUUGAAUUCACUUUAAUUCUCACUUUAGUGAAUGACACUAUUAAUGAUUUCAAAAAGUGCUCUUUAUCUAUUGUAAUGGAAAAAAAAUUAGAGACAGAUAUACUGUAUUUUUAACACGCCCGAAUCUUAACUGCCCUAGACCGCUCAUGAGGGAAAAUGAGCAGUUGGGUACUUAAGACGGGCACAGUUAUUUUUAGAUCUAAUUUUAAUACAAUAAGUAUUUACCUCCUUAAACAUAUACAAUUGAUGAAGUAAUAAGAGAAUGGCAUUGAUAGCAGACCAUCUCAUUCAGGUGCAUCAACCUAUACACUGUACUGUGCAAAUAGCAACACAAGCACAUACACAGACUGGCGUAAUCCAAUGUACUAGACAAAAACAAAAAUGAUCAUCUAGUAAUAUGCCUGGUAGGAAUAAAUGAUGAUCCUCAAAUAUGGUGAGGUGAGAGGAUUGUGCCAAAAAAAUGAGCAUUUUUGUUAUCUUGUGGUGUCCAUUGUAUCUUUAAUGCAAACUCUCAGUAACUGGGCUCAUCGUAAAGAUAACAUGUCCAUCUGCUUCUGGGCCCACAUGCCAUCAGCAGAUGAACAUAUCCCCUGAGUGUGAAAAUCUGAUUUGUCUCAUUUCUCAUUAAUCUCAGAACACUGAGCCAAUCCCUGACUUCCCAUAGUUUUCAAUAGGAACUUAAUGUACAUGCAUGUCUAUAUUUUGUAUCCAUUAGAAAUGUCAUUCACCAUGUCUUUGUUUUAAUCCCUGUCAUUUGUAAAUGAUAAAACAAGAGGUCACGCUUUCCUGAAAAUGCAAGCCAUGGCUAGUAACGUGCUUGCAAUGGAAGAUUUGAAAAUGCGCAUGCAGCUACCUUUAAUAUAUAAAAUUAGGUAAUGAGCAGGGUGGGGUAUGUUAUCAGAUUGGCUUUUUUUUUAAUAUAAAUUCAAAUCUCACAUCUCAUGUUAAGACUCCUACCAUUGUAAAUAUAUUAAACACUGCAGAGGACAUGGUAGGUUACUAUACAUAGAGAAUUAUUAGUUACAUAGUUACACAACCGAAAAGCGACUUUUGUCCAUUAAGUCCAGCCUUCCUCACAUGUGUUUUUGCUGUUGAUCCAAAAGAAGGCAAAAAAAAAACAGUCUGAAGCACUAACAAUUUUGCAACAAACUAGGGAAAAAUUCCUUCUUGACCCCAAAAUGGCAGUCAGAUGUCUCCUUGGAUCAAGCAGCUACUACCCCACUAAUUAGAAAUUAUAUUCCUGUAUGUUAUGUUUUUGGAAGUAUUUAUCGAAUUGCUGUUUAAACAUCUGUAUAGACUCUGAUAAAACCACCUAGUCAGGCAGAGAAUUCCAUACACUUAUAGUUCUUACUGUAAGAACACACAGACUGACACAUACACAGACUGACCCUCCCCCCCACACACACACACACACACACAGAAACUGAGCCACACGCACUGUCUCACACUUACCAGCAGCUGCCUUGAUGCCUCUCUGCAGAGCUGAGCUUCCUCUCCCUGUCUCUCCCCUCACUGCUCUCUGUGACCCGCGAGGAAGUCCUACCAGCACAGUGCCCCCUCUGGCCGCAUGUGUGAAAAUGGUGGAACACAGUUCCACAGUGAUAGUGCUGCUGCAGCUUGUGAAGUGAGUCGCAGUGCUCCUGACUUCAAUUUCAAUUGUGGGGCACAAUUGUGAUGGCACUGAGGAACCGUAUCAAAUGCCUUUGCAAAAUCCAAGUAGAUCACAUCCACUGCACAUCCACUGUAACACCCUGAUCUAUACUUCUACUUACUUGUAUUUACUUCUUUGUAGAAUGCAAUUAGGUUAGUUUGACAUGACCUAUGUUUCAUAAAGCCAUGCUGAUUAUUGCUAAUAACAAAGUUCUUCCCAAUGAAUUCCUGAAUAUUUAAUAGCCCUUCAAAUAUUUUUCCAGUCACAGAAGUUAAGCUCACAGGUCUAUAAUUUCCAGACAAGGAUUUUCAACCCUUUUUAAAUAAAGGAAUUACAUUUGCCUUCCUCCAACCCUCCAGUACAAUACCUAAAACAAAAGAAUCUUGGAAGAUUAAAUACUUAGGUUCACUUAUUUCCACACUAAGCUCCUUAAGUACUCGUGGGUGAAUACGGUCAGGUCCUGGAGCUUUAUUUACAUUAAUUUUCUUUAACUGCUGUAGUACCUUGUCUCGAGUCAUCCAGUCACAAGUUAUCUGUAAGUUAUUUUGCAGCAAUCAUUUGCAUUAAAUACAAUAUUUCUGACAUUAUUAUUAUUGCCAUUUAUAUAGCUCCAACUUAUUCCUCUGCGCUCUACAAAAAUAUGAAGGGUGAAAUUUACACAUUUUGACAGGAACACUAUUUUGAUUGACAUGUUGAACUGUCACAUUUAAUUAUUUGGUGAUUUAAAUCAUGUGGCUAAAUAUUAAAAAUGGCAAAAAAAAAUCUUUGCUUGUGAAAUGCCUCUCUUUGUUUCAAAAUCUUUAUUAAAGUGCAUAUUUUUGACAUCCCGUCUUGAAACAUUUGAUGCCUUGUUGAUCACUAUAUGGGGCUCAACAGACUAUUUUACAUAUUUGGUCAAAACACCGUAGCUGUAAAUAUUAGCGCGUUGGAAUUUAAUUUUGAUAUGUCUAUUUUUGCCUAAUGUGUAAAAAAAUUAAAAAAAAAAUUAAAAAAAUUAAAAAAAAUAUAUAUAUAUAUAUAUUAUUGUAGCCCAGCAAAUAGCAUUUUAGUUAGUAACCCUGAAAAUGUAUUGACAUUUUUAAAUUGUCCGUCAUGUUGAGGUUUCCAUGGCAAUUGAAAUGGAAUAUAAAGCAUUUUACUACUCCAUCAUGGACUUUUUUAUAUAUUUAGAAAAUUGCUGCUUGUAAAUCUUACCCAACAAUAAUGUAAUUAUAAUAGUAUUUUAUAUGUAAUGCGAUUGAUCAUUCAGUUGCAUUAUAGUUAGGCUGCCUAGGCAUUGGGGAAAUAUAAUUUACAGACAGCUGUGUCGCAGUGGCUAACCAUCAAUAAUCUACAUGACAAUGCUAUAUAUACAAACGAUGUAAGGGUUAAUUACAAUUGAAGACUUGCCUAAGAUUCAUACAAGACCUUCAGUCAGAUGCUUGCUACCACAGGUAAUUUACUUGAUUGAUUACAACAUCUCUUAGCAGACGACUAUUGAUUUUAAUGUAACUCCCCAUGGCUCCAAAGAUUCUCCCAAAUAUAAAACCAUUGAUGUGUUUUCAAACAAAAUGGUGCGGUUUCUUUUUAUUUUCAGGUUUGUUUUUUUGUUUUAUAAAUUGCCAUUAGGUGCAUUAAAUCUUCUGUUAUGUGUAGCUGUAGAUUUUCCUGGAAGUACCUGUCUCCCCACGACUAGCAAGAAAUGCGUGUUUGUGGCCAGCACUGAAGGAGUGAAACGGUUCUAGAAUCAUUAGGUUACACAUAGAGAAUUUAACCAGAGACUGGAGUGAAUAGACGUGGCUAGCAUUUGCAUUGGUCGUUUCUGAUUUGUAGAGCAGACGAAAGCUUCUCUCAGAGGCAGCCCACAUAACGCAAGUAUAUCAGUAGGCAGUUUAUCUAAAGGCGCAUGUUCAAUUAUUAAAAUAGGAUAUUCCCCCCCCCCCCUUUUUUUUUCUUCACUCUUAUCUGAUAGGCAUAGCGAGGUCAUGACAUUUAUUUAACCAGGGCAUUGUGGGUAAAAGAGGGGGGAAAGGCACAAUGGACAGGGAAGCUGGAGCAACAAAAUAAGGAUGGUUUCUGAGCUUAAGGAGAUAAAAAGGCGAUGACUCUCUAAUGUACGUAUAAUAUAUUAAAAAGCUUGUAUCUGUUUGUAUAUAUUGAUUUGUAAAAAAAAUAUUGAAGGCUUUGAAAUGUAUAUAGUUCUUUCUUUCCUUUUUAAAAAAAAAAAAAAAUACAUCCAUAAUUGAACAAUGAACGUUGUUGCAAGUGUGUGAAUUUUAAUGUAUUGUCUCUGACAUCAGCGUUUCUAUUAUUGCCUUCUGCGCACGUCCAACUUUUUUUCUGCUGUCUGAGAGGAGAGUCUAGACCAUACCUAUGCACUGCAUCAUAUCUCUAUUGUUCUCCAUGUUCACGUGUUUCUCUAUGUUGUGUCUGAAACGAUGUUGUUGUGGUACCCUCUAAAUUUUUCGCUUGUCGUUGAGAGUACAGACCUUUUUCAAAUGUACACUUUUUUUUUUAUACAUAUAGGUAAAUUAUACUUUGGAUAUAAUUUGUUAUUUUAAUAUAAAGAUACUUAAGGAAGUACCGCAGUAAUGCAGUGCAUGCCGGGAUUAUCCUGUGAAACUAAGCUUGGCAAUUGUGUACUAUGACACAGCAUAUGGCAAAAGCAUAGAAUUUUCUGUCUGUAUGAUAAUCUCUGUAUAAAUGAAUAUGAAUGAGUAUGAGAACAGCAUUGUAUGGAUUUGAAGCUGAAAGCGACUGCUCCCUAUAGGGAAAGGUGUGUCAUACAUUCUAACAGCAGAGGACCAGGAAGGGUAAUACAAGGAUAGGACUGUGCUUUGCAAAUUGCUUUUAAAUAGAAGUGAAACUAAGAUUCAGGUAACAAGAUGUUAAUGGGACUAUUGGCAUGUAUCCAAGCGUACAUUAGAAGAAAUCUUUUAAUAAUAAAUCGAUAGAAAGGAACUAAUUUUACAGGCAGAUAUCCAUACACUUAAGGACAAAUGUAAAAAUCCUGAAAGUAUAAAUAUUGAUUCAAAGACAUCUAUCUUUUUUAUUUUUAUUAUAUAAUGUAAAUUGCAAACUGUGCAUCUGAGAUCUUAGAAACUAAAUAUUGUCGUUAUUUUAAAAUCUAAUACAGUCACCAGAACCGUCUAAAAGCUAUAGUUCAUACAGCUACAAUAAUAAAAUCAAGAAUUUGAUUUUACCUAAUUUUCACCAAUAAAAUUGCUCUAUCCUGGCACUGUCUGGGAGCUGGACUAUAGAAAAAUCAUUGUUUCUACAGGCAUUUGUUCCAUGAGAAGGGAGAAAGAAACGAAGUAGGCGUUAAAUAAACUCGAAGAGUGUAAAAGAAUUGAUGCCAUUAUUUCUUUGAAUCACGUGUGUGCCUGGAUCACUUGCUAUUCAGACAGGGGAUCGAGGAUGAAAGUCUUUAUGUCAGAGACUGUUCUCACAAUAGCAUUUGGACUUUUUUUUUUUAUCAUUAUUGAUUUGGGGAAAAGGUGGGGACAGCAAGGCUUAAGGGUAAGGUGAAGGAAAGACCAGCUGGCAGUAAACAUGUUUAACAUGAUACAUUUCCUUCUGAAAAGAUGAUAUGUAAGCGGAAGAUUAGAACAUCGGAAGUGAGGGAAGUAGAAAUGUUACAGGAUAAUAUUGGAAUAUAAAGAAGGCAGUACUGAUGGGAGGCUACUAUUUUUUCUUUGUCCCCCCUCCAAAUCCCGACGUCUGACCUGUAAGGACUGGGUUGUCGGCGUCAUGCAAAUACUGCAGUCCUGAAGGUCCAAGAGAGGGUGGAAACUAAAAGAGUGAGUUGAUGUUAAUGAUGAGUGGAGAGAAAAUACCAGCCGGUAACUCCCCCUCCACACACACAACUGUUCUGAGUCAGCAUCCGCUGCCUUGCCUUGCUUUUUGUGAGUGUGUGUGUGUGUGCUCGUGCGUGUCUGCAAGUGUGUGUGUGUCUGUCUGUGAGCCUGUCUGUGUGUGUGUGUGUCUAAGGAAGGUAAAAGCCAGUCAGUCAGUUAGAAGCAAAGGUACGUCUGCGAACAGCUAAAAUCUGACUGAUUUCAAUCUUUGGAGCAUCAGAUGUAUUCUCUUAGGAGGAUGGGUCUAUGUGAUGGGGGAUGUAAUUAUGUUAAUACCAUUUUUGUGGAGGGGACUGAUUUUUUUUUCUCAUUCUAAUUGUUCAUCUGCAGACUGUGUUCAAAUAUUGCUUGUGAAAUCAUUUUAAGAUAAGAGACGAGUUGGCAUGGAAAAAGCUACUUUACUUGGUCUCAUUUAAGAGCCUCUUGCUUUUUAAGGAAACAUUAAUAUUGCUAAAUACCUUUUUUAUAACAUAACUAUGUUGAAUAUCUAACGUAAUAGAGGAAUGCACAGUGGUAUGGAAUGUUGUAUUCUUUAGGAAUUCCUGGGUAAAUGGUUAACUAGAUCAACAUUUUUUAUUUUUAACGCACCUCUAUUAUGCUUUUCAAGAUGAUGUCUGUUUUGUUUUUGUGUUUUGUUUUCUAUUAACCAUUUCUUGUUGCAUUCGGAUCUUGCUAACGAUUUCUCUUUUUUUUCCCCCUCUGUUUUUAAUUUCUUUUUAAAGCAGAUGAGAUGGUGAAACGCUGAAGAUAUUCUAAACAAGAUUCUGCUUAUAUCCUCCAGUUGGCAGAAGGACAAGCCGGGCCAAAUUGAUUUUCAUUUUCUGUGAAAGAACGAGGAUUUAAAAAAAAAAAUUAAAUUGGAAAUGGUAUAGCUUCUGUGCCAUUUUCCUGUAUAGAAGCUAUAAGGAAUCAGAGAUCCUGGGAUUGUGGUUUGCCUUCUUAAACCAAAGACAGAUUAAGCCCCCUGGUGAUAGCGAAAUAUUUUUGAGGGUUGACUUUACCUCUUCUUGUGUCAAUAGUAUUUAAACCUGUGUGUGUUUUCUACAUCCCUUCUGCUGUAACACUUACUAGUCAGCUUGUUAGAAAAGGGCUUAUCUAUUGAAAUCUAAACUCUGAUAAAUACUAAUUUUGUUAUUUUCCUCUCGAAACGUUUUAUUACUAUUUUUACAUUCCAAGUAAGCGAAAGACAAGCUGUUAUUACAUGUUAUAGUUUAUGGGGCCCAAGUUAUCAAAAUGGAUUUUUAUGUGGGGGCAAAAAAACAAAAACAGAAAAACACUAUGGGACACUCGAACAAUGUUUGUUGUUUGAUCUUUUGGAAAUGUGUACAAAAAUGCAAAAUUUCAGUUUUGGAUUGAUAUCAAUCGAGGUAACCAUGAAACCAGUUUAACCCUUUGCUUACUGACUGGCGGGAGCAAACCUUUGCUUUCCACUGCAUUGUCUCCCUGUCAUGUCAGCCAAACGGUUAAUCUCCUAGUGUCUUCUACUAAAUAGAUGUUGUUAGACUGUAUGUUGCUGAAUUUGAGCAGAACUUUAAGGAUACCCACAAUAUAUUUUUGGAAGAAGACUUCUCUGGAAUGAUGUUGGACUUUUCCUAGUCCCUGAGACCCUAACUUGUGAGGAUUUUUUAGCAAUGAUCACAAGUUAGGCUCUUGGGACCUAGGCGGAGGGGAACCAGCAACUUUUGGACUGUAAUGAUUGUGUAUCUGCGAUUAUGGAAUGAACCAUGUCACCGAAUCUGAGAUAAGAGCUGUAUUCUAAAAUGCUUUGUCUUUAAUUUUGUUUUGGUAUAAACUGUCCAUUUCCUUGCCUUUCAAACAAAAUAUCCAGACAAUCGAUCAUAUACUCGUAAAGCUACAAAAGACUGUUUCACGUUAUUUUAAUAACAUCUUUUAUUGUGAAUUGCACAUAAAUUGAGAAUUAUAAAAAAUAUUAAAGACUGUUUGGUUAAUCAUGUUACCUGUGAUAACUAGUCAUUUGAUUUCCAAUUUCUCAAAAACAAACAAAAAAAACCUGCAGAAUAAAAUAUAAUGUAUUUCUUAUAUGAUGAAAUAAUUUUGUAGAUGUAAAAUAUUUCUUGUAUAUUCCUAAAUUUUGUUUGCCAUAAUGCUUAAAUUAAAUAUUUUGUAAAAUGUGAAUAAAAUAUGCAAAUACCUGUCUUUUUUUCUAUUCACACUAUUAAUACAUGAUAUUUAAAAUAAUGUUUGUUAUAUGUGAUAUUAACCCUUAAAAAUGUAAAAUAUCAGAAUACAGUUAAAAUAUUUCCUAGCAUAAGCAUAUCAGGUUCUGCUUAACCUUCUCAACAGAGCAUUAAUUAUCAAUAAUGUACAAUAUAUACUACUACGGUUCUCAAAGGUAUUCAUAGCUUAUAUAUUUUAUAUUUAUAAAAAAUGUUUUAAGAAUAUAACUGAACACUGAUGUUCCAUAAAGACAAAUUUAUUUUAUUAAUGCUAAAAUUCACUCAAGUGACUGUGCUCAUUUGGAAAAUAAAUAUUUGUUUGUAUGUUAGAAUGUCUAUAAUUUGUCUAUCUACCUUUAUACAUGUAACAUAUAAAUACACUGUAGCUUGGGG